rnacentral:lncRNA from 1 species
GAGUCUUGUCUCACAAUUUAGUGGACCACAUGUCCCGUACUUUUUACUUUUUUGGAUUUAAGCUUAUCCAAAUUGUACAGCUUUCUUAGUCAGCAUUGGCCCGCUUGUUUUUACCUUCUAUCAGCUUUUUAACACCACAAAUUAUAAUAGAACUUGAUCCAAAUUAAAGUUUCAAACACUGCUAGCUAGUUCCAAUUUCUUCUGAAAAUCAUGAGUAUAAUGUCGUCACUGUAUGAGAUGUUAGGAAUUCCAGUUAAUGCAACAACGUUAGAGAUCAAAGCAGCCUACAGGAAAAUAGCAAGAACAUGUCAUCCAGAUGUUGUGUCCUUACCUAAAAAAGAAACAUCAGCUACUGAGUUCAUGAAGAUUCAUGCAGCUUAUGUUACCUUGUCUGAUCCUAUCAAGAGGGCUUAUUAUGAUCACCAAUAUUUCCGGCAGCCAGUAGUGUCAGUGGCAUCAUCGAACUGGGAGACCGAUCAAUGCUGGUAGUAAUAUUGUCUCAGUUAAUUCCACAUCAAUAUCGGUACUUAUGUUGCCAGGUUAUUUGAUAUGGCCCAAGCCUAUACAAGUUAGGCCAAAGGUUUAUGUUCUUAUAUAUGGUAUCAACGUCAAUAUACGUUAUAGGUCUAUACAAGUUAGGCUUAAGGUCCAUGUUCUUAUAUAUGGUAUUAACGUCAAUACGUUUACUCCAUACGUAUUGCACAUUUCAUGUUAUGUUGUAUUCGGAGGCGGAGCCGGCCCUCUUUAGGGGGUUCGGACCGAUGGAAAAAUAUACUAAUUAUGCAUGAUUAAAAUUAUUUUUUAUGUGGUUAUAAUAGGUGUUGAACCUCCUUCGAUUUAGUUUUCUUUGAUUAUUGAACCCCUUAUUUGAUAUCCUGGCGGCUCCGCCUUGGUUGUAUUAUGAAUUUGUCUCUGCACAACUUAAAUACGGAUGUCACUUAAGAAACUGUUGGGCCAAAAAGUAGGAGGACUAAAAGGCCUUGGUGUGGGAUUAUCUUGGCCCAAAUGACAGUAGCUUCAAUAAGGCUAAGUAUUGAAACAAAAGGAUUGUAUGUAAUAUGGUCAUGCUAAUGCAAAGUUUGUAUCUUUCAUCCUGCUUUAUCUGAGUCUAGUACUGAUUUUUCAAUAUUUCUACAUUUCCAUUUGGGAUUUUGCCUUUUGACUUGUUACAUUUACUUUCUGAAAUUGUAAUUGAAUUUGAGUUCAUUACAUAUACACAUAUAUUUAUGUUAAAUUAUGAGUCCUACUAAUUGCCUAUUUGUGGAACAAGUAAGUAAACGUGGUUCACAGAAUUAAAUACUAAACAUAGUGUUUUUACGUGGAAAACACCCGGCUCAAGAAAGGUGUAAAAAAUCACGACCUGUACCUCUACAAGAUUUAACCCAACUUCACUAUAAUACUUGAGCCUCAACAAUCAACAGAAUUACAAGACUUCUUAUUAACUAGGAAUUAAAACUUCUAACUCCUAUCACUACAAAAACAAAAAUCUUCCCAAGAUAAGUGUUCCCAAGUCUUCGAGUUCCCAAACUUGAAGACACAAUUCUUAACUCAGUUUAUAGAUCACUGAGACUAGAACAUUGACUAAUUACAACUCAAAAAACCUACUCACUACACAAAUUCUACAACUUGCUAAGUAAGAGAUCAGGUUCUUCUUCGAGUAUGAGAACUGAUAUGCUGAUUGUUGAUAUGCUUUUCAGUGCUUGAGUCCAGUGCUUUUGAAUUCGUUUCUUGUAUUUAAGCACCCACCUCAUGGAGUCCUUCAAUUGAUAUCAACUUCUAUAUUCAAUAGGACUCCAGAUAGUUUCCUGCUACUUGUUGCCGCCCCUCUUUUUUUUUAUUUUUCAAUAGGAUUCCUCUUUUCUCUUUCUUCAAGACUUCUUGUUCAACUCAACUUCUGCACUUCUUCUCUUUCAACUCAACUUCUGCAAGUCUUCUUUUUCAACUCAACUUCUAAUGUGAUAAAUGUUAUCCACUUCUGUUUGUACGCCAGGUCAUCAUAUCAAUAACUUAUCUGCAGCUGACCUUGGUUCAGUUGGAUGGAACAACUUUUACCACAUGUUUCAUUCUCAUGUCUAUCAUCAAAAUUCCACAUGCUCUAACAAUUUCCCCCAUUUUAAUGAUGACAAACAUAGCUGUAUAAUACCACAAACCCGACAUACUCACCAAGAAGUUAAGUAAAGGAAACAGAAUGAAACACAAAUUAGUUAAUUGAGUUAUAAGCACUGUAUAAUCUAUUCUUCCCUCUUUUGACAUCAUAAAAAAACUGGACCAAUGAGUGAAACAAGUCUUAUAAUUCAUGGCCACUGGGGCUAUCACUAAAACAUGAAGACUUUAGAGCAAAAAGAACAAGCAAUGUAUCAGUAACACAGAAGUGAGCCACAUAAAACAAAAAGAGACCAUUUCAUUGAUAGAUCAGAAUACAAUGAUCACAACCCAUAAUAAAUAAUAUGAGAGAACCAACUUAAUAAUACGCCCAAAUUACAACUCUUGUUAGAAAGUGUAAGCGGUCGCUGUCAAAUAUAGAAUCCAACUGGGUUGGGUGUCGAAUCCCACAGGGAAUACUAUGGCCACUAAGUAUUGCGAUUAUUAUUAGACUGUUGGUCGANNNNNNNNNNNNNNNNNNNNNNNNNNNNNNNNNNNNNNNNNNNNNNNNNNNNNNNNNNNNNNNNNNNNNNNNNNNNNNNNNNNNNNNNNNNNNNNNNNNNNNNNNNNNNNNNNNNNNNNNNNNNNNNNNNNNNNNNNNNNNNNNNNNNNNNNNNNNNNNNNNNNNNNNNNNNNNNNNNNNNNNNNNNNNNNNNNNNNNNNNNNNNNNNNNNNNNNNNNNNNNNNNNNNNNNNNNNNNNNNNNNNNNNNNNNNNNNNNNNNNNNNNNNNNNNNNNNNNNNNNNNNNNNNNNNNNNNNNNNNNNNNNNNNNNNNNNNNNNNNNNNNNNNNNNNNNNNNNNNNNNNNNNNNNNNNNNNNNNNNNNNNNNNNNNNNNNNNNNNNNNNNNNNNNNNNNNNNNNNNNNNNNNNNNNNNNNNNNNNNNNNNNNNNNNNNNNNNNNNNNNNNNNNNNNNNNNNNNNNNNNNNNNNNNNNNNNNNNNNNNNNNNNNNNNNNNNNNNNNNNNNNNNNNNNNNNNNNNNNNNNNNNNNNNNNNNNNNNNNNNNNNNNNNNNNNNNNNAUAAAUUCAAAAACCCAUAGCAAUAGAGAGUAUACUACAAGGUUUCCAUAACCCUAACAGAUAAAAUUAGCUACUCAUAAAUAAAACCGAAAUCAACAUAGAAAUAUUCAUCAUACCAAAACUUGGAACGAUCUUGGUGAUGAAGAUGACUAGCGAAAUUAAGAGAGAAACACGUUUCUCUCUCUCUCUCUCCUCAAGCUAAGCCGUUUUUCUUGUGUUCAAAAUAUUACAGAAUCUGAAUAAUGUGAAUAAUGAGCUAAAAAUUCAGCAAUAAUGCUUUUAAUAACAUCCUUCUCUAAUAAAUUGCUACUGCAUCCUUAACUAUUUAAAAAUGCUGAGUUUGCCCGGAAAAAAGUUUCCAUGCGUCACAUUCAGUCCAAGAGCUGCUUUCCUUUUUAUGUGAAGUUUUCCUUUGCUGUCCACAGGUCCCCAAAGUGCUGAAAUCUUCCUCAUUAGUACCUGAAAAGCGUGCUAAUCACAUAGGUCAGCUCACUUAAUUGAAAAUAGACUAAAAGUGCAAGAAUUAUGUAUUUUAUCCUCAAAACUUAGCUAAAACAUGGGUAAGUUAUGGUGCUUAGACGUAUAAAUACGCCCAACAUCACUUAACCAAAAAGUCGGAAUGAAAGAUGCCUAAGCAUACUAAGAGGGCUUAAGUGGAUGAGGAAGAAGGAAUAAGGGAGGUCUGCUUCUUAAUAAUAUUUGCAUUUUCAGCUCUUUCCUUUUUCAAAAGGGCUGUGAGGGAGGCAAUUUGAGCUUGAAGAACCUGUUUCUCCUCUUCACGAGUAGCCUGAGCAACUUCCAAUGCAGCUUGUGCCACAUCCACCUCACUUUGCUUGGCAACAAAAACAUUCCUCAGCCUUUGCAUAGGAUUAUCAGCACUCCUCACAGCAGUAGGAAACAUAGCAUGGUUCACAGACCCAAUGACAUCCUUUGUGGUCUGUAAUGACCAUGCUUUGAUAGGAAUAUGAAAGUCCUCAAAAAUAGGGGCAAGCCAGAACUCAUAUAGUAAAGCAUGGCCAUUUGCAUCUUGAAUUAAAACCCUUUGCAUGUGCUUAAUGAUGAGUGUAGGAAGAUCAAUCAGAAUCUGAGAGUCUAGCAAUUCCAUUAGGGUGAGAUUAAGAAAAUUUGCUACAGUUCUCAUUUCUUGUCUAGGAAGGAUCAUUUUGUGAACCACAUCAAAAUAGAAUUGGUGGAGAGGAGACAUCUCAUUCUUGAGAACCCUUCUAUGAGUUAAAAGGGAAGGAUUUUUAGAGAAUUUUCUAGAAAUAUCAAUAGCUGAAGGAAGGUUAUCAAGAGGAGGCCAAGCACCUUUCACAUAAUGACCCCAAGCCCCAGUAGGAACACGUAAAAUUCUACUCAGAUCAGCAGGGUAAAGAUUUAUGGUUUUACCAUGAACAGUGGUGGAGAACAUCUCCCCAACAGCAACUCCAUUAGUGUAAAAUUCAUACACUUAAACUUUCCCAAACUUCCUUUGAUAAUCACCUUGAAGAAACAGGUGUGACCACCCUUGAGCAUUCAGUUUAGUGAGCAACACGUCCAUAUCAGGACCCCCAAAAUCAGUGACAACUCUACCCCUAGCCAACUUACAUUUUUGAAAGUGGAGAACUUGAGCUGACAGAAAGGACUUGUCGGCAGGAGUAUCAAAAACAACAUCAUAGUCAAGAUCUGGAUCAGGUUGAGUAAAGGAAGUGGGAGGUAUAUUAGGAAGAAAAUCAGAAUCUGAAUCCGAGGAAUCAGAAAAAACAGGUUGGGAUACUUGUUUCUUCAGACGAGAAGAGGAUUUUGAAGAGCCUCUGGUGGAAGGGGAUCCUUUAACAGUGGAGGUUUUCUUAGGAGAAGCUUUCUUCAUAGGUUUUGAGGACGACGAAGUUUUGGAAGUGGGUUGGGAUGGAGAGAUAGGUGUGAAAGAGGACUUUGAGGUUUUGGCAAUGAUAUGCUUCCGUUUUCUUUUAAAACAAAGAAGAAUAUCAGGAGAGGAAUUACUGAGAAGUGGAGAAUCAAAAGGAGCAACCCGUUUCUUUUUACUUGCAUGAAGUGCUUCUUCCAACGAAGCAUUUGUUGUUGUUUCUUUCCUCGAGUAAGAGGAAUGCGAGGAUAAACAACUACAAGAGAAGGCUUAACUGACGUAGAUUCAUCUACAUUAAUGACAACAAAAGAGGGUUUUCAUUUUAGAACAGAUCUGGACCUUCGAGGGAGGAGAUUUGCAAUGGGUUCAUCAUCUUGAUCAACAAUUUAAAGUAGAAUUGGUGGAGGAAGUGAAAGGUUGGAAUGGAAUAAGGUAUUUGGAGAAAAAUGUGUAAAAGGAUUUGGGAAGUUUCUGAACGCAACAAAAUCAGAGAAUUUUUGGGUGAUUUGAGGAGGAAUUAGCAGAGGUAAGGUGAUAUUUGGGUGGAUGACAAUGGAGGUGAAAGUGUUUGUGGUGGAGUCAGGUGAAGAAGAUGAUGAAGAAUCCAUGGCUAAUGAGUCAGAAAGUUUUUGUGUUGUUGUAAAGAAGGUGUAGAGGGAAUAAGAAGGAGAGGGAAAAAGGAUACGUAUUUAAGAAGGAUUUGGAAGAAGUUUAAUCGUGUGAGAAACGGAUUUGGAUGGAAUCGUAAUGAUGAAGGGGUCUGAACUGAUGGGAAAGGGCUGGUAGCUUUUUAAGGUAGAUGACUUUUGGAUUUUUGGCGGUUUAAGUAUAACGUAAAGGACCAAAUAAAAAACUUAUUUCUCUGUUAUCCAAUCAUGAACAAGUGAAAAUCAUACCUGAACUGUGUAAACAAUGGUCAAAAUUUGCUUUGAUAGCUCUUUCUAUCUGCAGAAUUAACACAUAGCUAAGUUAAUUUACUCUAAAACCUUGGAAUUAGGAUACACAACUAAAUGUGUAAGACUGAAUUAAUCAACUACCACUUAAGUACAGUCUUUUCUAAUCAAUCAUUGGGGGAGAUUUAUACAAUUUUAAUCAUCCCCAAAGCUAACCUGUUUCUUUCAAAAUGUUCUCUACUCAAGGCCUUAAUAAAUAUGUCAGCAAUUUGUUCCUCAGUUGAACAAAACAUAAUUGAUACAUGACCUUUUUCAACAUUAUCUCUAAGAAAGUGAUGUCUAAUAUCAAUAUGCUUGAAACUUUUAUGUUGAACAGGAUUUUAGCUAUGUUAAUGACACUUGUAUUAUCACAAAAAAUGGGAACACAAACAACAUCUAUACCAAAAUCUAUAAGUUGUUGUUUAAUCCACAACAACUGAGCACAGCAAGACCUAUCAGUUAUAUAUUCAGCCUCAGCAGUGGACAAGGCAACUGAAUUUUGCUUCUUUGUGGACCAGGUAAUUAAACAUGAUCCCAAGAAGUGUGUCAUACCUGUAGUGCUUUUCCUGUCCACCAAUAUCCUGUAUAAUCAGCGUCAGAAUAUCCUAGCAAAUCAAAAUUACUACCUUUGGGAUACCAUAAUCCAAGAUCACUUGUUCCUUUCAAGUAUUUAAUGAUUCUUUUCACUGACUUUGGAUGUGAUUCCUUAGGCUUAGCUUGCAACCUGGCACAUAGCCUUACACUAAACACAAUAUCAGGCCUGCUUACUGUGAGGUACAGGAGUGACCCUAUCAUAUCUCUAUACAUAUUUUGCUCUACAUCUGAACCUGUUUCAUCCAUGUUCAGCUUUAUGGCAGUGGCAAUAGGAGUGCCGAUCUCCUUUGCUUCUUCCAUGGAAAAUCUUUUGAGAAGCUCUUUGACAUACUUCUAUUGGUGGAUCAUUGUCCAUGAUGCUGAUUGUCUUAUUUGUAAACCCAAAACGUAAUUUAGUUCUCCCAUCAUGCUCAUCUUAAAUUCACUGCUCAUGAGUUUUGCAAAUUCAUGAGUCAUAUUCAUAUUAAUUGAUCCAAAUAUAAUGUCAUCCACAUAUACAUGUACAACUAACAAAUCCUUUCCAUUAGUUUUUAAGAACAGGGUAUUAUCAAUUUUACCUCUGGAAUGACCAUUUGUAGACACGUACUUUUGUCCCAUCAAAAAAUUAUUUUUAUUAUCCUAUCCUGUUUUACCAUGCACCCCAAUCCGUGUGAUAAUCCCUCCACAAAAUAACAAAACAAUAACCUCUAACUAAUUUUAUCUUAUCCUAACAGCCUACCCAAUCAAAAUAAACCACCUCACUACCCCACCCCUACUCCACCUCACCCAUAGGCAGCCCAUCCCCUCUCUUAUAUUUUUGUUCCUUUUGACCAUACAUACAUAAAAUGGGGACCCACGGGGGAAAAGGGGGGCAGCAUAUUAAAAAGGGGAAUUGACAAUUUAUACAGAGGAUAUACGCAUAAGGGAGAGAACUACUUCUUCUUCUCCAUUAUCUUCUUCACUGGAAAAUACAAAUCCACACACUAUCAACAUAGAUACAACCUUUACUCGCAUAUAUUCAUUCAUUCGCACACACUCACUCUCACGGGAUCACACAUAAAUACAUCCUUCAUCAUCUUUCCAUGGAUUAAGAACAAGAAAAUACACGCACAACCAUGGAGGGGAAAAACACACUGAGAUCGAGAGAGGAGAGGCGAGGGAGAGAAACCCACUAAAAUUGAGGUCAAAAUCAUGAGAAUCAAGAGCAAAAUCGAGUGAAAAAGGGGAAGGAAAUGAGCUUUAUUCUUUGUUUCCCGUGGUUAUUAGGUGAAAUUGGCCGAAAAACAUUGAGGAUCACCCGAUUAGCCAUCGGAAAACCCUAGUCGUUGUUUUAUUUUUUUGUUACUGUUCCAACGGGUUCACCAGAAAACACCCAGCGUCUCUUGUUACUGUUCCGACGCGUCCAUCAAAAAAGUAACGUAAUUAAUCUCAUUUUUUUCUUAAAUUUGAUCCGAAACUGGUUCAUUGUUGGUAUUCCAUUUGAAUUUUCAUCUUAUUUUGGCUUGCUAGGUAUUCUUCGUGGGUUUUCGUACUGGUUUUUGGGAAACUUGGUUACUGUUUGGUUUUGGGGUUUCGAAUUGGAUUUCGAAGGUUAUCGUGUUGGAGUUGGAUCAUAGUCGAAAUUUUGGUAUUCUUCGAGGUUCCGGAACGACUCUUACUUCUCUUUUUAAGUCAAUCAAAAGCUCUUGAGGUCCAAUUCUAUCCUCUCUCCUCUUAAUCUUCACAUAGUUAUGAAUGAUUUAUGUGUUUGUUUUGGCAUGUUUGAAUCUUCAUCAUUGUAGUUUGUUUGUUGUUGGAUUUAGAUGUGAAAACUUGAUUGGUGGAUUGUGUAUUGAAUUAGUUUAAUCAUGUUGUGAUUGGAUUUGGGGGCUGGUAUUAAAAUUGGUUAAAUUUCUAAUUUCAAUUAGUUUAUUUAUAUUAUUAUCUUGAUUAAUUUGAACAUAUUAAACUCGAUCAUAUGAUAUUAAGUCGAGAAUUGAUAGGCAAACAAUAGGCUCGGGUAGGCAAAUUUAGGACUUGGGGAUAUUGAAUGCUCGAAAUAUGCGUUGAAUGGUUUGGUCUUAGUUCUUUCAUUUUGAAAUGUAUUUUUUUAAUCGGGGAAUGCCCCUCGAUCAUUUGUAUUUAUUCGUCGGAGAAUGCCCCGAAGUAUUUUAUUUUUGGAGGACGUUCGUGAUGAAGGCCCGAGGCAUUGGGUAGCAUGGGAGCGUAGUUAAGGAUUAGCUUAGAAUAGAGUAGGUUACAUUUUAGCAUUUUUUUCAUUUUUUGGGACUAUAUAAGUGGACUAAACACUGAAUUUUGAAUUGUUUUGUGUUGUGUGCUUGAUCGAUCAUUUUAUGUGCUUUGUGUGGUUUAUGCACUUGUAAUGUCAAAUUUGCCGAUACGCUCCACCAAGCGACCGUGAUCAAACCACGGGUCCAAGAGGUGCCUAACACCUUCCCCUCGGUCAACAGAAUUUCUUAGCCGGAAUCUCUAUUCGCAAACCAGUUUAAUGAGUCAAAUCGUUUUAAAAAAGAUUUUCCAAAGGUGACUUGGCACAUCGGAUUAUGUUAAGUGGCGACUCUGAGUUUUGAAUGUAAAUGAAUCCUUUUCGAAACAAAUUUUCAUAUUUUGUCAUUUUGACAAUAAAAACCCUUUCGAAACUAAUUUUUUUUUUGUUGAAAAAGGGCCGUGACAGCUCUGGCGACUCUGCUGGGGAUUUUUCAGAAUUCGAGCUUAUUUUUGGAGUUGCAUCAUCUUAGUUUGACUUUAUGAGUGUAUAAACAUUGUUUGUGUUUAUUUUAUCAUUAUUGAGUGAUUACGUGCUAUUUGUUUAUAGUUUUCUCUUGUGUGUUACCGCUUUAUAUCUGACAUCAUGUGCAUAACUUGAGUCAAUUUUUUCUGCAACUAGUCCUGGAGUGCACGUCGUGCACACAAACUUUAGUUGAGUCACCCUUAUUUUAGGAGGGGGAACCGUUGGGCGUAUGAAGUGGGUGGAAAGCAAAGCAGCCACUAUCCACCAUAUGCUCCCCUGAACGGCCUUGUUAGUAUACUUCAACGUAGGUCAGCCUUUAGGUCAUGUUUAUCUGCAUCAUAUUGAGACCUAGCGGAACCCACUUGGUCCUCUGUAGGAGACACACCUCUGAAGCAUCCCUAAGUGCUAAAUGUUGCAUCUUUGAGGGUAACGUGGUCAUUUGACGGAUCGAUUUGGGAAAAACAUGUGUUAGAAGUAAAGUGUGUAGACAAAAAAGUGUUGAAAAAAGAGAAAAGGAAUAGUGAGUCGAAAAGAAAAAAAAGAGAGUUUCGUAAGUUUUUAGAGUUCUUUAUGACUUUUAUUUUUUUUUCUUUCACAAUUCAAAAAUUCAAAAAGAUUUUCCUUUUGUUCCUUUACCAUGCAUUCAUAAUUCAAAAUUUUCAAAAAGAUUUUUUUAGAUAGGAGCUUUAUAUAAGAGGAUAAUUCAACAAAGAUGAUAGAAGUUUGGUAUAUUUCAUAACAAAAAUAUCAAAAAGAUUUUUCUUUCAUGGUUAUUGGUGUCAUUUUUGUAUGAAGUGUCAAAUUAAAAAUCCAAAAAAAAAUUUAUUUUCAUCGAGUACUCGUGUCUCUCAGGCCCAAUUUUUGUUUGUUCUAUAAUCCUUAAUUGUCCAAUCUGGACGAACUACGUAUACCUGAUUCCUGCCCCUUGGGGCGGGAUACAUAGGCAACCCUCGGUGGGUUCGGUAAUCUUUAUUUUUGGCCUUUGUCUUAGUCUUAGCUUAGGUUUUUCUCCCCGUAAUCUAGUGUUGUUAGUUAUCUUAGCCAAGUAGGCUGAUUUUAUUCAGUGGUACUGUUCGGAAAUUUGAAUUCAUAAAGUGGCAUGUCCCUUCGACAUGUCCGCGUCAAAGUCUCAAAGGUUGGAAUUUUUUCUCCUAUCGAAUUUUUGAGGUAACGUCGUAUGUGUUAUUGUAGGAUUGAUCUGUUCAGAGUCCUUAUGGUUGUCAAGGUACCCAGAAAGUUGAUCAAGUGGUGGGGCACAUUCAAUUACUCUGAAAAACACGAAGUGAGGAAAGUCUUAGGCAUUCUGGUAGCACUUCUUGAUCUCACGCCCCGUCCAGAUGUAAUAGAGAUUGUAUUGACUUUUUGUGAUCCAAAUAAUUUGGUGUUUAGGUUCGGAAGUUGUGAAUUGACUCCUACUCUGGCCAAAACAUCUCGUUUGUUUUGAUUGCCUUAUAUGGGUUAACGGAUGAUUUUAGCCUGAAAUCAUACGGGCAAGAGAUUUCUUCGACUUUGUGGGUUGAAAGAUAACAAGAAUUUAGGGUGCCUCAAAUAAUUAUGGAUUUCCUUCGAUUAUUUGUUUGCUAGAUUUGGGUCCUCGGAAAGUUUUGACUACUUUUGGGAUGAAUUUUGUACUACCAAGGAGAAGUGGGAACAACAUCGUCUCGAGGUAUUCUGUUUGGAUCUACUGGGUAUCUUAGUGUUCCCGUUAGAUGAAAGGCAUAUCAAUACCCAUUUACAAUCAGUGGUGAUGGAUUUAGUCAAGAAAAAGGAGCAAGUUACCAUUGUACCAAUGAUCUUAAUUGAAAUAUAUAAGGCUUUGACUGAGGUAAAAGGAGGGAUUCGAUUUUUUGAGGGGAGUAACUUAAUAUUACAGUUGUGGAUGAUGGAGCAUUUGCAUGUGCAUUCUUUAGUUAGAGUAGAUGUGGUUGAUUGUUGUCUGGAUGAUCAGGUGUAUGCCAUGGAGGAGAGAAUGCGUUUUUAUAAAUUUUCUUUACUUGUGGGAGUCAAUGCUUUGGUCGAAUUUCUCGAAGCAAGAACACAUGACAAUAUCCUUUAGACCUAUUGAUGGCUCAAUCCUAAGGUAAUUUUUUCUGGAUGUCGCAUGCAACCUCUUUUAGUUUUGAUAGGGCUCAAAUGCACUAGGCCUUACAGUUCGAGUAGGGUAAUGCCUCAGUUGGGCAGGGAGCAAGAUAUCCCACCGAUAUUGGACCUUUAAAAGGAUAUCGAGUACUUUAAGGAUAUAGCCAAAGGGGAAAUCAGGUACGAGCAAUUCUGGCUUAAUGCAACAAAAAUGGGUGUAGAUUCUUUCAAAAUAGGUCUGGACAAUCCAGGGUACACUUAAAGAUAUGGAGUCUGGCUUCAAUCCAUACCUCGGGGUGUCAGUAGGCCAUUACCAAUGCAGCUUAGAGGGAGAGUUCAGAAAGAAUGCCUAGUUAAUGACCUUCAUGCGGGGGCCAAACUGGAAGAAUUAAGAGUCCAAUUAUUAAGUUUGCUCGCAACUGUGGAAGGAUAUCAGAAUAGUCUUUACAGCUGUACUCCCUAGGAGGCAGGCUCACGGGCUAGAGGCUUUCUCCCUAAUAUCAAAGUAUCAUUGCAAGGUAUGUUGCACAAUUUUAGCGAGAAAGAGGGAACUUCACAGGCAGGUCCAUCUCAGCCAGGGUCAUCCCACAAAACAACACUUUGAAGGAGCAACCCUCAUCUUUUAUUUAGUUUGAGUCCUUUAUUUUUGUCAUUGUAUAGUUGUGUCUUUGUUCAGUCGGUGUCAUGUUUGUUUUAAACGUUAAGGGUUUUUACUAGGAGUAUUACGUAUGUUAUAUUAUGGGUCUAGAAUGAUGUUUAGUCUUUGUUGAUCUGUUUUAAGUUGUCUUAAAUUCGAAGUUUGUUUUCGUUGUCUCUUUUAUGAAAUGCCAAUUUUGCGGAAUUUUUUCCCUUUGUGUGUUCUUCCUAAAACCAAAAAAAAAAAAGAAAAAUAAAAAAACCAAAUCAAAAUCAAGAAUAAAAAAUCUUCAACUUUGUGGUGUUUAUGCAUGUUUUCCCCGAACUACGCAAGAUCUGAUUCAUGUAUAACAUGAUACGUAGGCAAGCUACUUUUGGGUUUGAUUUAAUUAUUUUGUUUCAUUGUUUUUCAUUAUUUUUCCUUUUUUAAAGAAAAUCAAAAGACAUAAAGAAUGAUAAAAUGAAGGUAGAUAGCGAGAGAAGAAAAGAAAGAAAGGAUGAUGAGACAAGAAAAGGAAAGAACAGAGACUGGUACAAAAAGAGAGAGAAAUAAGAGAGAAGAAAAAGAGGUGUGGUUGGAGGAAAGAAGCGAAUGAGUGUAGAUGAAAAUCGGGAUGAUGUUAAAAUGACCUCGCUUCCUUCAAAGGCUGGUAGAAAUGAACAUGAAUCUAGGACAAUUUUACCAAUGUGAUUCUCAUGCUUGUUGUGUGACCUAAUCCUAACGGGGGCUGUCUUUGAUGAGCAUGUUCUUUUAGAUAACAGUGGUUGGUUUGCAGUACUCUGGCUAGUCACCUGUACUUCACUAGAUCAAAAGCAAAGCUCGCCAUAGCUAGUAGGGAGAUUGAAAAUUUGCUUAUUGACCCAGAUCAGGAUCCCCAAGAGGAAAGUUCAGAACACAAUGAUGAGGUUCUAAGACUCAGGCAAUAAUUAAUAGAUCUGCAUCGAGCAUGGGAUAGUGGCAUGCCUCCUCUUCCGCACCCUGAAGAUCUUGGCAAUAUCUCUAACUACCCACCGCUUUUUCAGACUCAAUUAUCUGCUCCCAUAGAGUCACCCGAACACGCACCAGGAUUCACUCUACGACAAUAUUAUCCUGGCACUUCUAGUGUGCCCUUGGCAGUUCCCUAACAGAGGCCCGCUGCUCAACCGACGCCACCGACAGUGCCUGUUUUUGUGGCUCCACCACCACUUGAAGCUCCCACCUAUGUUGUGCAUCCGAUAAUAGUGCAUCCUCGGUCUACUAGUGAUCAAGUAUUGAAGGUUUCAGAUAAUCAGUAUUAUGCCCAAGAGCCUAAUUUGAGGAUUAAUGAACCGUAUGGGUACACUCAGGCACCUGCAUUUUCAUUUGAUACGGAGAAGCUCGUCGCAACCAAAGAACAGGAAGUUGUAGCACGGAAAUUGAAAAGUUUGGAAUAGGCCAUAAGGAAUUUGCCCGAAAUCAGAGGUAUAAGAGUGUUUCUUGUAAAGAUUUUUGCAUGUUCCCAGGCGUUAACCUUUCCCUCAGCUUUAAAAUGCCCAAAUUUGAGAAGUAUGCUGGGCACGGUGAUCCCGUGGUGCACUUGAGACGUUAUUGCAACCAGUUUAGGGCUGCAGGGGAAGGGAAGAGUUGCUUAUGGCUUUCUUUGGCGAGUGUCUUUCUGAUCUGGCUUCAGAAUGAUUUAUCGAUCAAGAUAUCGACAAGUGGAACAGCUGGGAUGACUUAGCUUCUGAGUUUUGCAAUAUUUUCAGAAUAACGUCGACCUGAUUCUUGAUGAAAAAUCCUUGGUCAACAUGAAGAAUAAAAACACUGAAGUCUUUAUGGAAUACGCGAUAAGGUGGCGUGAACAAGCUUCCAGGGUAAAGCCUCCAAUGAAGGAGAGUAAGCUGAAAGAGGUCUUCAUUCAGGCAUAGGAUGAGACCUAUUUUUCAAUAUUUACUUCCGCCAAUGGGAAAGUCUUUUAUUGAAGUCCUCAAAAUGGGAGAUAUGAUAGAGGACGAAAUUAAAACCGGUCGAAUAGUGAGUUUUGCCGCGUUGAAAGCCACCACACAAGUGAUUCAAGGUGGAUCUGGCGCGUUCAUAGGUAAAAAGAAGAAAGAGGAUAUGGAGACCGUUAUUGUUGGACCCCCUUCCUAUCUCAAAAGACCGCCUUACCCCUAUCCCCAAUCCCAAGCCCAAGCCUGUGUACAAGCUCUAUAUAUUCCUCCCCACCAUUACUACCCUCCGCAAAACUCACCAUAUGCCAUUCCACCCCCUCCUUACCCAGUAUAUAGUGCAUAACCAUAUGCCCAAACCCCUUCUUACCCGUAAUGGCGUGCGCAAGCUCCACAAAAUCAUCCAUCAGCUCCACCAAAUUACGAAAACCCCGCCAGACCCAGUUUCCAACCCAAGCCCGAGUACAAGAAAGAGAAGGUGGUCAAACAUUAGUUCACGUCUCUCAAGGAGACAUAUGCUAGCUUGUUUGAUAGGUUGAUAAAGAUGAAGGUCUUAAGCCCGAUUUAAAAAAGGCUUUCAAAUCCACCUUCCAGGAAUCUCGAUUAUUCUUUAAGGUGUGCAUAGUAUUCUGAUAUGCCAGGCCACGAUAUCAAAAAAUACUGGUAUUUAAGGAGAGCCAUCCAUGAUUUAAUUGAUGCAAAUCAGAUUUUGGUCUAGGCCUCGGAGGUUCUAAAUAUUAACCAAAAUCCGUUGCCAACCCAUGCUAAAACUAAUAUGUUAGAAUUAAAAUAUGAUGGGAAAGAGUCGUCAAGGUGUUAUAAGCCAAUUAUCAGAAUACAGACCAAUGAGGAUAAAUCAGUAAAUAUGGCGUACUCAUUGAAAGCAAUAUCAUUGAGCCAAGAAGAAACGGGAGAGGAUAAAGUCCAAGAAAGCACGAAGAAACCUGUGAUCACAGUUAAAGGAAUCCGAGCAAUCGUUGGUUUAAGUCAAGACAAGCCUAAGUUGACGGUGAUAGGAGCUCCAGGUAAGCCUAUAUUAACUGUGAAAGGAGCACUUGCGGCACUUAUUAUCAUCAAACCGGUGAUCCAAUCUCCGAUAGUUGAUAUGAAAAAGAUUUUCUAGAAUUAUAAGCGGACUGUGAUGACUUAUCAGGGAAAGGAAGUAGUGAAAGAUGUAAAUGAGGUAGGAUAUUUGACUCGGUCAGGAAGAUGCUUCGUGCCUGAAGGUUUAAGGUAGUCCAAGCCAAUUGUGAGUGGACCUUCAUCUAACAAAAAACCUAUCACCGAAGAAGAAACCGAAGAAUUUUUGAAAAAGAUGAAGUUUCCACAGUAUUCAAUAAUAGAUCAGUUGAAUAAAACCCCUGCUUAAAUUUCCCUCUUAUCUUUGUUGCUGUAUUCUAAGGAACAUCGUGCCAUUAUACUAAAGGUAUUAAACUAAGCAUACGUUCCUAGGUAGAUUACGGUAAAUCUUCUUGAGGAAAUGGUUGAAAAAAUCUUUGAGGUUAAUUGGAUCAGCUUUUCUGACGAUGAAUUGCCUGUUGAAGGUACAGGGCAUAAUAGGGGUCUUCAUAUUACCGUGAAGUGUGAAAAUUUCUACGUCACUCAUGUUAUAAUUGAUGGAGGUUCCGGCGCAAAUAUUUGCCCUAUUUUUACCUUGUGAAAGUUGAAUAUUGGUGUUGAGAGGAUCAAGGCCAACAAUGUAUGUGUCAGGGCUUUCGAUGGUAUAAAAUCAAAAUCCAUUGGCGAAAUAGAACUAAUGUUGAUUAUAGGGCCUGUUGAGUUCGCCAUAGAGUUUCAAGUAUUGAAUAUCGACUCCUCUUACAAUCUAUUGUUAGUAAGACCGUGGAUCCACAAGGCCAAGACAGUUGCAUCUACAUUGCACCAAAUGAUCAAGUUUGAGCAUGACAGGCAAGAAGUAAUUAUUCAUGGUGAAGGAGAUUUUUCCUCCUACGAAGAUUAUCCCUUGUCCCUUAUUGAAGCAAAUAAUGUAGAGGAGACAUUUGUCUAUCAAACUUUUGAUACAGUGUUGGUGAAUUGUAUCGUUGAAGGCAGGUUAUUCCAGGGCCACAAUUGUCUCCCAUUUCUGUCAUGAUGAUAAAUGAAAUGUUAAAAUAUGGAUUCGAGCCAGGAAGGGGUUUGGGAGUGUCUCUUCACGGUAUAGUUCGUCCCAUAUGUCCGAGGGAAAACAUGGGCACUUUUGGUCUGGGUUUCAAACCUACGGCUAAAGAUCUGAAGAAAGCCAAGGAAAGAGUUGGAACAGUUUGAAGACAAGCCGAAUCCUAAUUUGAAUGAAACUGAGCCAAUUAAUCUAGGGAAUCAAGAAGAUGUUAGGGAAACUAAAAUUAGUGUACAUGCUUUGCCACAGCUAAAAGAUGGAAUGAUUUAAGUUUUAAUUGAUUAUAAGGAUGUUUUUGUAUGGUCUUAUAAUGAUAUGCCUGGUUUAAGCACUAAAUUAGUGGCUCAUAAAUUGCCAACUGAUCCCGCCUUCCCCCCUGUAAAACAGAAGUUGAAGAAGUUUAAAACUGAUGUAAGUACCAAAAUUAAAGAGGAAAUCAUGAAAUAACUUGAAGCCAAAGUCAUUCGAGUGGCUCGUUAUCCUAUGUGGUUAUCCAAUGUUGUUCCUGUCCCAAAGAAAGAUGGAAAAAUUUGAGUAUGUGUUAAUUACCGUGAUUUGAACAGAGCAAGUCUGAAAGAUGAUUUUUCACUGCCCAACAUCCAUAUUUUGCAGGUGGAUUGCUAUUCUGGAUACUACCAGAUCGUUAUGGAUGAUGAAGACACAGAGAAGAUGUCUUUUAUCACACCAUGGGGAACUUAUUAUUAUCGAGUAAUGUCGUUUAGUCUGAAGAAUGCUGGAGCAACAUAUAUGAGAGUCAUGACCACUAUGUUUCAUAACAUGAUGCAUAAAGAGAUUGAGGUUUCUGUAGAUGAUGUGAUUAUUAAAUCAAAGAAUCAGGCUAACCAUGUUAAAGAUCUAAGAAAGUUUUUUGAAAGGCUCCACAGGUAUAAUCUCAAACUCAACCCGACAAAAUGUGUAUUUGAAGUUCCAUCUAUAAAGCUGUUGGGGUUUGUAGUCAGCUGUCAGGGUAUCGAAUUGGAUCCUUCGAAGAUCAAAGCCAUUCAGGAUCUGCCACCGCCCAAAAAUGGAAUGGAGUUGAGGAGUUUUCUUGGUAGGCUGAACUACAUUAGUAGGUAUAUUGCUCAACUCACAACUACGUGUGAGCCCAUUUUUAAGUUUUUUGAAAAAGAGUGCUGCGGUAGAGUGGACUGAAGAAUGUCAGAAAUCAUUCGACAAAAUCAAAAGAUAUCUGUCAAAUUCGCCCGUGAUGGAACCACCGGAGCCUGGGAGGCCUUUGAUCUUAUGUUUAUCGGUCAUAGACAAUUCUUUUAGUUGUGUCCUAGGUCAACAUGAUGUCAUGGGCAAAAAGGAGCGGGCUAUUUAUUAUCUUAGUAAGAAGUUCAUAACAUAUUAGGCCAGGUACACUCUACUUGAAAGGACGUGUUGUGCCCUAACUUGGGUAGCACAGAAGUUGAAGCAUUAUCUUUCGUCCUACACUACUUAUCUCAUUUCCCGCAUGGAUCCUUUGAAGUAUAUCUUUCAGAAGCCUAUGCCGAUUGAUCAUUUGGUAAAGUGGAAAAUAUUGCUUACCGAGUUCGACAUUGUAUAUGUAACUCAAACUGCCAUGAAAUCGCAUGCCUUGGCAGAUCAUCUUGCUGAGAAUCCCAUCGACGAAGAGUAGGUUAUUACUGGCUUACUAUAGAGAGAGAUUCUAUUCGAUUUGCUUGAAAGUGUCAUCAAUGUCAAGUACAUGAUGAUCUGAUAUAUUCACCUCCUAUUGAUUUGCAUGCAAUGUCUGCUCCAUGGCAAUUUGUAGCUUGCCUAAUGGACGUGACUGAUCCGACUGAGCCAAAAGAGUCAAAUGAGCAUAGAUUCAUUUUGGUGGCCAUAGAUUACUUCACAAAGUAGGUAGAAGCAGUAACUUUCAAGUUAGUAACAAAGAAGGCGGUGGUAGAUUUUGUUCAUGUAAACAUCAUUUGUAGGUUUGGAAUCCCAAAGAUGAUCAUUACAGAUAAGGCCGCCAAUCUAAAUAGUCAUUUGAUGCAAGAAGUAUGCCAACGGUUUAAAAUUGCACAUUAAAAUUCCACUCCAUAUCAUCCAAAGGCCAAUGGUGUUGUCGAAGCCACCAUUAAGAAUAUCAAAAAAAUAGUGCGGAAAAUGGUACAAGGGUCUAGGCAAUGGAACGAGAAGUUUCUGUUUGCACUGCUAGGUAAUCGUACUACUGUUCGCACUUCAACAGGGGCAACUCCAUAUUUGUUGGUAUACGGGACAGAAGCAGUCAUUCCCAGAGAAGUUGAAAUUCCCUCUCUUUGAGUUAUUGUGGAAGCAGAAUUAAUGAUGGUGAGUGGGUCAAAACCCGAUUAGAACAGUUGAGCUUAAUUGAUGAAAAAAGACUGAUGUCAGUAUGUCAUGGUUAAUUGUAUCAGAAAAGAAUGGCUCGAGUUUAUAACAAAAAGGUACGCCCCAGGCGUUUUGAAGUUGGUCAGUUGGUAUUGAAGCAUAUGCUUCCUCAUUAGGUUGAAGCUAAAGGCAAGUUCUCCCCAAAUUGGCAAGGUCCCUUUAUUGUGAAAAAAAUAUUGCCCAAAUGGAGCCUUAUAUUUGACAGAUACUAAAGGCAAAAUGGCAGAAAUGGCUAUCAAUGCUGAUGCGGUCAGAAGAUAUUAUGUAUGAUAUUUUUUCCUCUGUUGAUUCUAUUACAUGUUUAGUACUUGCAUUUUUGAAGAUUGAUAUGAUGAAGGCAUUUAUUCUGCUAUCCAAACAUUGUGUCAUCCUCUGUUUACCUCGUUUGAGCUUAGUUCUAUUUUUCUUUCAUAUCCAUUUUUUUGAAUAAAAACAGAGUAAAAUGUAAAAUGUCAAGAAAAGAAGAAUAAAAGAAAAGCAAAAAAAAUAAUAAAAGAAAAAAAAGAGAAGAGAAGAUUAGAUCAAAACUAUGAACAUGCUGAUGGAACUACGUGCGACCUGAUUCUCCUUUCUUAGGAGUGAGAUACGUAGGCUGCCCUAUUUAGGGCUCGGUCCAACCAAAUAAAGAUUUUAGAGUCACCUAGUAAACAAAAACUGGGGCAUGAGUUAAUGUGUUGUUUGAGUUAAUUCCAAAAGUUGUAAGUCCCACCCCCACUUCAAGUGUCAUUUGAGCCUCUUGCCAUCCUUUUCUAACCUUAUCAAAAAGUCAAGUUACAACCAAAGAAAGCCCUUCAGAUCAAUAUUUGAUACUGUUAAGGCUAGGCAUGCAAUGGAUAUAAUGAUACAUUGUGGGGAACAACUUGUCUUCCUCGGCAUAAAAAAUCAGAAAAGAAAUAAAAAUGAGAGAGUUUUAUUGGUGAAAACUCUCGCAGGCACCAUAAAACGAUGGUGAGUUAAGUUAAAUAAAAAAAAUGAAAAUGAGAGAGUCUUAUUGGUGAAAACCUCAUGGGCACCAUAAGGCGAUGGGAAGUUGAGAAAAAUAAAAAUGAGAGAGUCUUAUUAGUGAAAACCCUUAUAGGAACCGUAAGGCGAUGGCGAGUUUGAGAGAAAAGUGAAAAGGAAAGAGAUUUGUUGGAAAAAGUCUUUUAAGAUAUCGUCAAUUGAAUGAGAUGUAUGAGUCCAAUGAAUUUGAAGAAGUGGCUCAGCGGCAAAGGCAUGAAAUCAACAACAAAUGGGAAGUUUGGAUAGGUAGAUCAGACAGCUUAAUCCAAAAUGCACGUCAUACUCAUUGGAGUUGGUUGCCGUAUUCAGAUAAGUUUUCUUUUUGAAUAAGGGAUAUUGCUCCUUUAUUUUAUUUACAUAUUCAUAGUUUGGUCUUUUUAUGUCAUUUAUCAAAAUAAAAGUCACCAUUAUUUCUUUACAUUUUAAGUCAAGUCUGUGUCAAAACAAGCGAGAAAGAAUUUCAAAACUGGCUACCAAUCUUUCCAAUUAUAUGAGGAAAAGUCAAAGGCAUUUCCCCGAUCAGGUCAGGGUCAAUGAUGCGACAAGACAGGGGCAAGUGUCAAUAAUUUGAAACAAAGAUGAAAGGAAUAACUGCUGGAGCAAAUACCUGGAAAGCCAAGUGUUGCAACCCACCACUAAGCUUUCAACUAAAAUUUUUUUUUUGAUGAAAUAGGGGAAAGUUUUGUUCAUUGAUUUCAGCUGUCAUUGGAAAGCAUAUCCAGGGAAUUUACUUUAUGCUCAAGACCCUUCUAAAAAAUGGGAAUUUACUUUCUGUUCAGGACUCUCCUGGAAAAUUGGAAUUUACUUUCUGUUCAGGACCCUCCUGGAAAAUGGGAUUCUACUUUCUGUUUAGGACCCUCCUGAAAAAUGGGAUUCUACUUUUAGGUCAAGACCCCCCUGAAAAAUGGGAUUCUACUUUCUGUUCAAGACCCUCCUAGAAAAUAAGAUUUUAUUUUCUGUUCAGGACCAUCUUAAAAAAUGCGAAUUUACUUUCAGUUCAGGACCCUCCUGGAAAAUAAGAUUUUACUUUCUAUUCAGUACCAUCCUGAAAAAUGGGAUUUUACUUUAUGUUCAGGACCCUCUUGGAAAGUGAGACUUUACUUUUUGUUCAGGAUCCUCUUGAAAAAUGGGACUUUACUUUUGUUCAGGACCCUCCUAAAAAAUGGGAUUUCACUUUCUAUUCAGGACCCUCCUGAAAAAUGGAAUUUUACUUUAUGUUUAGGAACCUUCUGUAAAAUGGGAAUUUACUUUCUGUUCAGGACCCUUUUGAAAAAUGUGAUUCUACUUUCUGUUCAGGACCUUCCUGAAAAAUGGGAUUCUACUUUCUGUUCAGGACACUCCUUGAAAAUGGGAUUUUACUUUCUGUUUAGUACCCUCCUGAAAAAUGGGAAUUUACUUUCAGUUUAGGACCCUCAUGAAAAAUGGGAUUUUACUUUAUGUUCAGGACCCUCCUGGAAGAUGGGACUUUAUUUUCUGUUCAGGAUCCUCCUAAAAAAUGGGAUUUUACUUUCUGUUCAGGACCCUCCUGGAAAAUGGGAUUUUACUUUGUGUUCAGGACCCUCCUGAAAAAUGGGACUUUAAUUUUUGUUUAGGACCCUCCUAAAAAUAGAAUUUUACCUUAUGUUCAGGACCCUUCUAAAAAAUGGGACUUUACUUUCUGUUCAGGACCCUCCUGGAAAAUGGGACUUUAAUUUCUGUUUAGGACCCUCCUGAAAAAUGGGAUUUUACUUUCUGUUUAGGACCCGCCUGGAAUAUAGGACUUUACUUUCUGUUUAGGACCCUCCUGGAAAAUGGAAUUUUGCUUUCUUUUUAGGACCCUCCUCGAAAAUGGUAUUUUACUUUCUGUUCAGGAACCUCCUGGAAAAUAGGAUUUUACUUUAUGUUCAGUAUCCUCUUAAAAAAUGGGACUUUACUUUCUGUUCAGGACCCUCCUGAAAAAUAGGAUUUUACCUUAUGUCCAGGACCCUCCUAGAAAAUGAGACUUUACUUUCUGUUUAGGACCCUCUUGAAAAAUAGAAUUUUACUUUCUGUUCAGGGCCCUCCUAGAAGAUGGGACUUUACUUUCUGUUCAGGACCCUCCUGAAAAAUGAGAUUUUUCUUUCUCUUCAGGACUCCUAGAAAAUGAGAUUUUACUUUAUGUUCAGGACCCUCCUGAAAAAUGGGACUUUACAUUCUAUUCAUGACACUCCUGAAAAAUGAGACUUUACUUUUGUUCAGGAACCUCCUGAAAAAUGGGAUUUCACUUUCUGUUCAGGACCUUCGUGGAAAAUGGGAUUUUACUUUCUGUUCAGGACCCUCCUGAAAAAUGGGAUUUUACCUUAUGUUCAGGACCCUCCUGAAAAUUGAGAUUUUACCUUAUGUUCAGGACUCUUUUGAAAAAUAAAACUUUAUUUUCUGUUCAGGACCCUCCUAAAAAAUGGGAUUUUACCUUAUGUUCAGGACCCUCCUGAAAAAUGAGACUUUACUUUCUGUUCAGGACCCUCCUAAAAAAUGGAAUUUUACUUUCUGUUCAGGACUCUCCUGGAAGAUGGAACUUUACUUUCUGUUCAGGACUCUCCUGGAAAAUGCGAUUUUACUUUCUGUUCAGGACUCUCCUGAAAAAUGAGAUUUUACUUUCUGUUCAGGACCCUCCUGGAAAAUGAGACAUUACUUUCAGAAAAAUGAAAUCUUUCUUCAUCAUAAUCUUUGUUUGAGAUAUUUUCGUUCUAGUUUUGGAUGUGAUUUUAGGAGCCCACCUGAAAAGCAGGGCGCAUAAAUGGAAAGUCAAGCAACAAGGUGUAGAAUUUCAAUGCCAAGCAACAAGUGAAAUUGCAAGUUAGGAGCCCGUCUGAAGAACAGGGUGAAGAAGUUGAAAGUCAGGCAACAAGUUAAAGAAAUUGUAAGUCAGGAGCCCGCCUGAAGAAUAGGGUGAUGAAACUCAAGUCAAGAAUCGAAAAGAAGCUGCUUAGAUAGUAUUUUUGUAACUUCAUUUAUGUCUUGACUUGUAAUUUUCAUUUUGAUGUAAUAACAAAGCCGCAAAUCGAAACCUUGAUGGAACUUCACUCGACUCUCCAACUCGGUAUAGUCCUUCUCCUUCCAAUCCUUUAAGAUACCUGUCACUUGAUUCCCUUAUAACUUGGGUAGGUGGGAGAGUCCUAAGUCAAGAUGCGGUUGUCCUUCUUCCUUCUACUUCUUCUUUCGAAUAAUGAUCAGGAUAAAAUUCUGUCUCGUUGUCUACUUCUUUGUAUGAAAAUACUCUGUGUUUACAUUCAAAGGGGGCAUGAUGUAGACACGUAAUUUUAUCCAGUAAAAAAAUUAUUUUUAUUAUCUUAUCCCGUUUUACCACGCACCCCAACCCAUGUGAUAAUCCCUCCACAAUAUAACAAAACAAUAACCUCUAACUAAUUUUAUCUUAUCCUAACAGCCUACCAAAUCAAAAUGAACCACUUCACUACCCCACCCCUACCCUACCUCACCACUAGGCAGCCCACCUCCUCUCUCAUAUUUUUGUUCCUUUUGACCAUACAUACAAAAAAUGGGGACCCACAGGGAAAAAGAGGGGGGGCAGCAUAUCAAAAAAGGAAAUUGGCAAUUUAUACAGAGGAUAUAAGCACAAGAGGGAGAACUACUUCUUCUUCUCCAUUAUCUUCUUCACUGCAAAAUACAAAUCCACACACUAUCAACAUAGAUACAAUCUUUACUCACAUAUAUUCAUUCAUACACACACACUCACUCUCACGGGAUCACACAUAAACACAUCCUCUAUCAUCUUUCCAUGGAUUAAGAACAAGAAAAUACAUGCACAGCCAUGGGGGGGGGNNNNNNNNNNNNNGGGGGGGAACACACUGAGAUCGAGAGAGGAGAGGCGAGGGAGAGAAACCCACUAAAAUUGAGGUCAAAAUCAUGAGAAUCGAGAGCUAAAUCGAGUUCAAAAGGGGAAGGGAACAAGGUUUAUUCUUUGUUUCCCGUGGUUAUUAGGUGAAAUCGGUCAAAAAACAUUGAGGAUCGCUAAAUCAGCCAUCGGAAAACCCUAGUCGUUGUUUUAUGUUUUUGUUAAUGUUCCAACGGGUUCACUGAAAAACAUCCAGCGUCUGAUAACGCUCAAUCUACAGCUCUCGUGGGAGUGUAAAGCGGUCGUUAGCAAAUAUAGAACCCAACCUGGGUUGGGUAUCGAUCCCACAGAGAAUAGCUUGGCCAACAAGCAAGAGAAAUUACUAGACUUUUAGUGCAAGUCUCGUAGGAAAGGGGGGAUUGUAGUAUGUAACCAAAACAAGAAUGUAAGAACUGAAAAUAGCAAAAUAAAGAGAGAUUGUCACGUGUGUUGUAAACAAUGAGAAUUGAGGCGUUGGGGUUAUGUCCACCUUCUGAGGUAUACGUCUCUAUUGGCUAUGAGUGUGUAGAGUCUUGACAUGUAAUUGCUUAUAGAGAAUUGUAGUCGAUGGUAAAUCCAAGCGUCUCUCGACCUAAACAAGGACUAUUUCACUUUAACUCUCUCGAGCUUAAAGCGUGACUAACGGUACGAAUUCUCCAAGAAGUUAGUCCAGGUACGGCACUAGCUUUUUAAUAGGAAAGGGUGUCCUACUACCUUGACAUUAUCUCUUUUCCAGACAAAUAACUUUUCUCUCGAACAAGUCAGAUGUUAGACUGGCGUUGGUCUAUGCGUCUUCUUUUCUAGACAAAUAACCUUUCUCUCGAACAGGUUAGAUGUUAGAAUGGCGUGUUCUUGUGUUUGAACCGCAAAGAAUGUAGAUUUAAGAUGAAGAGAAUAAUGAUAUAAGCAAUAUACUUGUCUUGAACUCACAAACUCAUAGCUAUAGAUAGUAACUCAUUCGGCUUCCAUAACCCCAACUAAGAGAUUUAGUUACCCAUGAAUGCGAAGGAUAUCACGUUUUGCAUGGUGGAUGGCGUGAAUAGUAGGUGUUUGGCGUGUGGUUUUAGUGAUUCCGUAGCAAGUAACGAUUCUCUUGUUGUGGAAUUUAAGAGUAGAAGAAUGAAGAAUUGAGAAUGGGUUGUAGGAAGAUGUCUUAAUUGUAAGGAGAUGAAUGAAUUGUCAGAAUGUCUCCCUUCUUGAAAAUCUCUAACAUGAUAGGGUAUUUAUAAUACUCCUAUCCUACUCCUACUAAACUAAUAAAAUAAAUAACCAAAUCCUAAUAUACUAAUGAAAUCCUUGACCCAAUUGUACUAGGGUAAGGUUACAAAAUUAUAAUCCAAAUAGAAUGAUGAAACACAUAACCUAAUUGCACUAGGUUAAUGUAUUAUGGCAAAAAUCCAGCUUUGUGUCUGUAAGUCCCAAAGUCUUCAGAAAUGCUGUUUUAGCCCGGGACAGAUUUUCCAUGCAGCAGAUUUAGUCCUUUAUGCGUCCAGCUCCUUUCCAUCUCGUUUGUGAGCUUUCUUUUGCGUCAAGUAAGCCAUAAAUUGCUGUAUUUUGCAUCAUUUAUACCUGAAACUUUCCUAAUCACAUUUGUUAGCUCAUUUACAGGAAAAAGGACUAAAAGUGUACGAAAUAGAUAAUUAGUUCUCGAAACUAGGCUAAAAUAUGGGCAAAAUAUAUUGAUAUAGGCGCGUAAUUUCGCCUAUCAUCAACACCCCACACUUAGAGCUUUGUUCGUCCUCGAACAACAUAUCAUGUCCUUCUAAGCAUUGACUUAAGGUUUUUACAGAAACAACACAAAACAUUCUUCAAGACAAGCACAACAAUUAUCAACGAAGAGUAGCUUUCCGAUUAUAAGUAGAAACAAUUUAACCUCAAGCAUAGACUCGUGAUGGUGAUCAACUCGCAUGCAAACGUUUAAGGUACAUAGAAUCAUAUACAACUAUCCAAAACUCAUCAACCAUGUGUGUCUCACAAUAUAGUACCCAUAAUCACUCACAAGUAUAGCAUAUUUUUCAAACAUGGGCAGCAAAGUAUCCUUGCGCUCACUCUCACAAAGAAUUCAUAUGUAGCAGCUAAUGACCAUAGGCUUGCCCUUAAUGUAGUACUCCACUAAAUGUCGGAAUGUUAAGGUUAGGAUCAAGUAGGUCUUUUGAUGGUUGUAAUGUAGGCUAAGGGACGGGUAGGAUCAACUAUUUUGGCCAGAAAUAGUGACUAAGUUCCUAAGCACUUUAAUACAUCACAUUGUAUUAUUGACACUUUUUUUGUAGCACCCUUGUUCUCCUCUUUUGUUUUUCAAUUUUAAAGCACAACUCACUUUUCAGCUUUCUUUUCCUUUUUCUUCUCACAACAUACCUCUUAUGAUAGCACUUUCUUUUUCAUAACAUAUUCAAGCACCAUUACAAUUUAAAGCAUCAUACUCAACCAAUUUCCUCUUAUGUUGUCACAUGACUUUUUUACUUUAAAGCACUUAGGAAUUUGGAUCAAAUUACGGUCUUGAAAAAAAAUGAAUUAGGCUUACAUACAAGGUUGUCAAAGAAAUAGGCUAAAGGCUCAAAAGGGUUUAACUAGGAUGAUGUCCAUGGGUAGGUAAAACUGAAGGUAAACAAAUAUAGGUUGCCAAAGAAAUGCCUAAAUCAUAUCCUAAACUUACACUCCUUAUUUUCGCUUUGCAUACAUACCAGGCAAGUUCUAGCAUCAGCCACAUACAUAGAAUAUACUAUUAUCUCACACACACAAGGCACAUGGUCGACUUGAUUGGUAGCAAUAUAGACUCUCAACCCAACAAGUGAAGGAAUUGAAUCACACACUAUCACAUAAUGAGUCACAACUAGAGCCUAAAUGUCUCAAUAGUCACAAUUGUAAUACAUACUAUUGUUAUAAUCUCAUGCUGCCUAUUAAAAUAAUUUCAUGCGAGGCUAGAAAAAUUUUAACUACUAAAAACUAAAAAAAAACGUCACACGAAAAAAAUCACAAAAAAAAUCGGACUCAAAACAAAAUAAAUAAAACAAAAUAAACAAGCAAACAUACAAAUAUAGCAUGCAGAUUCUGCCGACACCCCACACUUAGACUAGACACUGCCCUCAGUGGAAAAUAAAGUCGAAGAACCUGAUUAGUCGGACUCUUCCUCAAUGUCAUACCCCCUUCGUUCGAGUCAUCGUAAGAGUCAUCGUCAGAGUUCUCCUCAGCAUCAGAAUCAGGCAAGCGUCUAUCAUCAUCAGUUGGCACGUCAUCAUCAAGAGGUUCCUCGAAAUAUACUCCCACUCCACACAUCUCCCGGGCAUGUCUGUUCAUUGGGUAGUCGUGGUCCAGCUGUUGGAGCUCUUCAGCAGUUGGAAUACGUCCACCACUCAUCAUAGUGAAUCUCGUCAUGCCAUAGAGAUGACGGAAGAAACUCUCGUCACGAGCAUGUCUCUCCGCAGUGGUAAGGUUGACUCCAUGCGUUGUUUCAGCAUCUUUGACCUUGGUGAGGUCAACCUUCUUUGGGGUAUGUGGGAGUUUGUGGUCAGCUGGUUCCUCUUCUAUAUCCUCCUUCCGCAACAUUGCUGUCAACAAAUUGCCGAAUGUGAAAUAGGACCUGCUGUGGAGUCUGGCUUUCCUCAUGGUGGAUCGAAUGAUUGCCCCAAAGUUGAUAGGGACAUUCGUCAUUAAUGAAUAAACCAGGCACACUCUAUCUCUCGAUAUCUUUGUGUAUUGCGUCCCAGGAAUGAGGCAUGAGUUGACAAUGCGCAUCCAGAUUCUUGCUUCCCUAUUUAGUGGAGCAUAGGGGAAUGUGUUGUGACGGCCUGUUUCCUUAUGUCUGCCCCAUCUCGCCAUCGAUCUGCUUCCACAAAGCGUGUGUCUUAUAGCUCUGUAAGGAGGUCUGCUGUACAGCUCUUUGUAUGGUGCAGUGUCGACCGAAGGUAGGCCUAGAAACGAGUUGAUCCAAUCCGCUGUAAGCUGUAACACUUGGCCCCGAAUUUUGACUUCGUUGCCUGUUGUGUUUGGCGACCAGUUGGCAUAAAACUCUCUUGUCAAGUCAAGAUUGCACUCUCCCAUGUCACGGAAGAUGAAAUCCAGCUUCAAAGCCAUAAUCUUAGCCAACAUUUGCGGCUCCUUCUUUGCUAAGGUCUCCUUAUUGAUUAAGUCGACGUGCACAUAUUUCUUUUCUUUGUUGCUGCUGUACCAUGCCUUGGCUUCUUCCUCAAGAACCCAUUUGAUUCCGAACAUUCUGCGUGGUAGGUGUGCGGAAGAUGAUUCGCCUUGGUCUUUUCGGCUUCUCUUUUUGUCCUUGCGGGUUGUGGUAGCCUUCUCCUUGCCUUGCCUUGCUUUCGGUGCCAUUGUACCUGAGACUAGAAAUAAUGUUAGAUGCGGCACAAUCGCACUUUAGACAAUUCUAUAUGCAAGCAUUAGGGGUACCACCCCACACUUAAUCUUGUUAGCAAAAAUCAGUGAAGUGAAAGUGGUCGAGUACUCAGACUUCGUCGACAUACGUCCUCGGAUUGUAUUCCGACAAGAAAAUCAGCAUGACAUCACUUAUGAACAGCCAUUUGGACGUCUUUCAUGGUGCAUAUAGCGAUACUAUAACAUAGGAGUUACCACAUGGAAUUGCUAUUCGAACAACCAACACUACCUCCUACGUGGAUAGUCACUAUAACCGUAUCCCGAUGGCCGGGGUGGUGAAUCAUGCAAGCAUCCAAACAACACUUUCAAGCAAUAUUCAUAGCCAUAUAUGUUCAGCAAGUAUCAUAACAAUGCCAUUGAAACAAAAUUCAAGUCGGAAACAAGUCAAGAAUUGCAUUCGUAUUCAUUCAAUCAUACGAUUUUUGCAACAAUUAUCCAAGCACAUGAACAUCACCACUAAUCUCACGUGAUUUAGCAUUUAAUAAUAAGCAUAGUAAAGUAGUACUCAUGAUAAAUAGAUGAAGAAUAAGAGAGCACUUACUUGCUUGAAGAUUGUGGAGAAGUUGUUGUGGAUUGGAAGAACAAAGGAAGAAAAAUUUGAGAGGAUUUGGGAUGAUAUGCGGCGCCUUUAGGGUUGAUUCUAAUGUGUUUGUGAAAUAAAAACAAGUCCCCUUUAUAUAGGAGGAGUAUGGGUCGGGUUAUGACCCAUUUACAAUCGGAUUUGGGGACAAAAUCACCCUAUAUGCGGCGCAUAUCCCUCGGCAUAUCACAUGUAUAUGCGGCGCAUUGUCCAUGGCAUAAUGGGACAUAGGCGGCGCAUAGUCAAAAGCACACCUAGGAAUAGGCGGCGCAUAGGGUAUAGCACACUAGAUUCCGAGUCCUUAGGCUAUAGAAUAGGUUGUGCAUCGUUCGUGGCCUAUUUUUACCAAGGCCUAGCCUUCCUCGAAGCCUAUUAUGACGUGAGAAAGGCUCAAUUCAUAGCCUUAUGCAUCACCAUUCCUAACUUACCGCCUUUACCAUACGACGCGACCAAAUCGUCAAUUGAAAUCAAUCUCCUCGUUGCAUACUUCUUACACCUAUAUUUGCUCAAACAAAUGAAAACGAUUAGUACGAUGGGUUGCCUCCCACCAAGCGCCUUAGUUUUGGUCGUGGCACGACUCUUAUUUUUGGAUUUUCAUUUAUCAAAAAGAAAAAAUACUAAAACGACAAAACGAUAAAACAAUAAAACGAAGGGUUGCCUCCCAUCUAGCGCCUUAUUUAUUGUCGUGGCUCGACGUAGUAAUCUCGAGUACUUAGACUUCGUCGAGAUAAGUGAUGGCCAUGUCAUUUAUCGAGUCAAGAGGACCGAUAUAUGGCUUAACACGUUGGCCAUUCACCUUGAAGAUAACACCCUCAUUAUUUUCCAAUUCGACUACUCCAAACGAGUAGACGUGGGUGACUUUAAAUGGACCAGACCACUUUGAUUUUAACUUACCUGGGAAGAGCUUGAAUCUGGAGUUAAAGAGUAGCACCAUGUCACCUUUUUGGAAGUGUCGUCGAACAAUCCGCUGAUCGUGAUACUUCUUCAUCCGCUCCUUGUAUAAAUCUGAUCUUUCAUAAGCAUGGAGACGGAAUUCAUCUAGCUCGUUCAGCUGCUCCAACCUCAGGUUCUUCACAUCAUCCCAAUUCAGAUUCAAGUGCUUCAAUGCCCAUAAUGCCUUGUAUUCAAGCUCGAUGGGUAGAUGACAAGCCUUCCCAUAAACUAGCUGAUAAGGUGACAUGCCAAUGGGUGUCUUGAAUGCAGUCCUAUACGCCCAUAGUGCAUCAUCUAGCUUCCGAGACCAAUCCUUCCGAUUCGCAUUGACCGUCUUGGCAAGGAUUUGCUUGAUCUCCCGAUUGGAAACCUCUACUUGUCCACUAGUUUGGGGAUGAUAAGGCGUAGCUACCUUGUGUUGCUUGACUCCAUACUUGGCCAAUACAGAUUUGAAUAGCUUGUUGCAGAAGUGAGAUCCUCCAUCACUUAUGAUAGUACGAGGUACCCCAAAGCGAGAGAAGAUAUUCUUCUUUAAAAACGCUACAACACGCUUUCCUUCAUUAUCGGCCAAUGCUACAGCUUCAACCCAUUUCGACACAUAAUCCACAGCAACCAAGAUGUACUUCAUUCCAAACGAAUUUACGAAUGGUCCCAUGAAAUCAAUACCCCAUACAUCAAAGAGUUCUACCUCCAGGAUUGUGGACAUGGGCAUUUCAUGGUGUUUUGAAAUAACACCUUGACGUUGGCAUUGGUCACACCUUCUCACAUAGUCGUGUGCAUCUCUGAAUAUUGUAGGCCAAUAAUAACCACUUUGCAAGACUUUUCUUGCUGUUCGAUUACCCGCAUGAUGUCCUCCAACUUGCGAAGUGUGGCAUGCUUCUAAUAUAGUGGGCACUUCGUCAUGGGAUAUACAUCGUCGAAUGAUACCAUCCGCACAUCUUCGAAACAAAUAAGGCUCAUCCCAAUAAUAGUGCUGAACGUCAUGCAUAAACUUCCUCCUCUGGUGGUAAGAUAAAUUUGUAGGUAACACAUUACUCACCACGAAAUUCGCAAAGUCGGCAUACCAUGGUAAGUCUUCUAUUGUUGUCGCUAAUAUCUCCUCGUCAGGGAAUGCAUCGCCAAUCUGAUUUUCUGAUUGCGCCACAUACUCAUUCUCAAGUCUAGAUAGGUGAUCAGCCACUUGGUUCUCGCAACCUCUUCUAUCUUUGACUUCGAAAUCAAACUCUUGCAGCAGCAACACCCAUCGAAUCAGCCUUGGUUUUGCAUCCUUCUUUGUCAUUAGAUACCUAAGAGCUGCAUGGUCUGUAUGAACGAUCACUUUAGUACCUAAUAGGUAGGCGCGGAACUUCUCAAACGCAUACACAACCGCUAAUAGCUCUUGUUCAGUGACGGUGUAGUUCCUUUGGGCUUCAUUGAGGACCUUACUCGCAUAGUAGAUAGGAUGAAAUAAUUUCUCCUUUCUCUGUCCAAGAACAGCACCAACGGCUACACCACUAGCAUCACACAUGACUUCGAACGGGAGCGUCCAAUCUGGUGUUACCAUGAUAGGGGCUUCAACGAGUUUUUCUUUAAGGCAUUCAAAUGCCUUUAAGCAAUCAUCAUUAAAGUCAAACUUCGCAUCUUUCUCCAAUAGCUUGCAUAAUGGACUAGAAAUUUUGGAGAAGUCUUUGAUGAAUCUACGAUAAAACCCAGCAUGGCCAAGAAAACUACGAACUCCCUUCACCGAAAUUGGAGGUGGUAGCUUCUCAAUUACCUCUAUUUUGGCGCGAUCAACCUCUAUUCCUUUUUCGGAGAUCUUGUGCCCAAGAACAAUUCCUUCUUUUACCAUGAAGUGGCACUUCUCCCAAUUCAGCACAAGGUUGAACUCUACACAUCUUUGUAAUGCCAUGCUUAAAUUCACCAAACAUGCUUCGAAAGACUCCCCAACAACUGAAAAGUCGUCCAUAAAUACCUCCAAAGUGUCUUCUACCAUAUCAGAGAAAAUAGACAUCAUACAUCGCUGAAAGGUGGCUGGUGCAUUACAUAACCCGAAUGGCAUACGUUUGAAGGCAAACGUACCAUAUGGGCAUGUAAACGUUGUCUUCUCUUGGUCUUCUGGUGCAAUAAAAAUCUGAUUAUAACCUGAAUAACCAUCAAGAAAGCAAAACCAUCCUUUUCCCGCUAAUCGAUCUAGCAUUUGGUCCAUAAAUGGCAUGGGGAAGUGAUCCUUGAGAGUCCAAGAAUUCAGCUUGCGGUAGUCCAUGCAUACUCUCCAUCCAGUGACGGGCCUGAGUGGAAUAAGCUCAUUCUUUGCAUUCGCAACCACCGUCAUACCUCCUUUCUUGGGAACACAUUGUACUGGGCUUACCCAUGUACUAUCAGAAAUAGGAUACACAACUCCUGCGUCUAACCACUUGAUAAUCUCCUUCUUCACCACCUCUUGCAUUGGUGGGUUUAGACGUCUUUGGUGUUCGAUGGUGGGUGUGCACUUUUCUUGGAGCUGAAUUUUAUGAGUGCAAAUUCCAGGUGGAAUACCAAGGAUAUCCGCAAUGGUCCAUCCAAUAGCUCUAAUAUACUUGCGUAAAAUUGCAAUAAGAGCUGCAACUUGUUGCUCACCUAAAUCGGCUGCCACUAUGACUGGAAGAGUGUUUCCGCUUCCUAAGAAUGCAUACUUCAAAUGGCUUGGCAGCUCCUUUAAUUCUAAUGUGGGUGGUUCUUCAAUAGAUGGCUUAGCUGGUGGUGUGGGUCGAUUCUUGAGAUCAAUAUCCAGCUUCUUAGGAGGAUAGCGAUAUGCUCCUAAUCCCGAUAGAGCACAAAUAUCAUCUUCAGAAAUUUCAGCAUCAUCAUCAUCUUCUUCCAUGAGCAAAACCUCCAAAGGAUCAUCAAGAAUUUGUUCUUCAGCAAGUAACUCAUCCUCGUCAUCAACGACAACAUCAGUCACAGAAAAUACACUUAGAUCUUUGGGUUGCUUCAUUGAUUUGCAAACAUCAAAGCGCACCACUUCAUCAUUUAUUCGGAAUGAAAGUUCAUUAGCUCUCAAAUCUAUGAGCACACUUCCCGUAGCAAGGAAAGGGCGUCCCAAGAUUAUGGGAACCUCUGAAUCUGCUUCGCAAUCCAAGAUGACAAAGUCUGCUGGAAAUAUGAAUGAAGAUACCUUCACCAAGACAUCGCAUAGAAUACCAACCGGUCGUUUUACCGACCUAUCCGCCAUAACAAGCUUCAUAUUAGUUGGUGUAGGAUCUCCCAACCCCAACUUCUUGUAGAUUGAUAAUGGCAUCAAGUUGAUGCUGGCUCCUAAGUCACAUAAUGCUUUAGCAAAGUCCAAAGAUCCGACGGUGCAAGGAAUAGUGAAAGCUCCGGGGUCGGCCUUCUUCUGAACUAUGGAUCGGGUAGCUAUUGCACUACAAUGAUGCACAUCUUCUUUCAGCUCAUAGCUUGCUGCCCUCUUCUUAGUCAAAAGAUCUUUCAUAAACUUCGCAUACCCAGGCAUUUGUUCAAGUGCCUCUACCAAUGGGACAUUAAUAGUCAGCUGCUUCAAGAUGGUCAUGAACUUGCUGAACUUAGUGUCAUCGGCCGCCUUCUUCAGUCUUUGUGGAAAAGGUGGUGGUGGGUAUGGAAGUGUUCUUUCCAUGGCUUUCUUCUCCUCUUGCUUCCGUUUAUUACUUUUUUCAGGCUGCACGUCACUAGGCAACACGUCCUUGACGUUGGAAGUGGAUAUUGCGGCGUCUUCCCUAGUGGCGUCACUAGGUGUGGCGGUUGUGUCUGCUGUUCUGUCAACUAUUUGCUUGCCUUCUGCUGAAGUUUCCAGCACCUUACCACUCCUCGUAGUGAUGGCCAUGCAUGACCCAUCAGUCCUUGGAUUUUGCACCGUAUCGCUAGGCAAGGUGCCGGCUUUUCUUUGGUUGAGUGUUGCUGAAAGUUGACUGAAUUGCUGCUCUAGUUGCUUGAUAGAAGUGGAAUGAGAAUCAACUAAUUGCUUCAUGGAGGCCAAAUCGUCAAUCACCUCCUUAACUCCCGCAUUCGUCGCUUCCACUCCUUUCAAUAACUUAGCCAUCAUGUCUUCCAUAGAAUUAGAUGUGGUGGUAUCACGUCUACCAGGGGGAACGUACAAACCACUGUUUUCAUUAUUUUUCUUCCAACUACCUUGGUCUUUACCUCCAGAUUUGUCAUAAUAGUUCCGACCUUGGUUUCCUUGGGCAUUCCCACGGAAACCCCCCUGAUUGUUCAAGUAGUUGGCCUCCUCUUCUGAAUCAGAUUCGUCUCUUCCUUUUGACGCAAUAGAUUUCACUUUUUCAGUCUUCCCUAAUAGAUGCUUUGUAAGAAGAUCCAUUUGGGUUUUCAUGUGCGCCAUAUCUUGAUCACGUUCUUCUUCUCUCCUUCUUUGAUCUGCAGACAUGCCAAUAGAUAAAGUGGGGCUUGCUACCUCAGAAUCCCUGGUAUGCCAAGCUCUACUUUGUUUCGUCAUACGAUCUAGCAUGUUGCUUGCUUGACCAAAGGUGAGGUCCAUAAAAGAACCUCCAGCUGCGUUGUCCACCACUGGUUUAGUUACUGAAUUCAAGGCUCUAUAUAAGAUCUCCAUGAGGUGAACAUUAGUCAUGUGAUGGUUUGGGCAUCUCGCUAGCUUUGUCUUGAACCUCUCCCAUGUUUCGUGAAGAGCUUCAGAGGGAAGCUGACGAAAGUUGCUGAUUUCAUCUCUCAAUUGAGCCCUCUUGGAUGGCGGAAAGAAUCUUUCUAGGAAAGCGUCUCUCAAUUGCCUCCAAUUUGUAAUAGAAUCAGGAGUCAGCCCAUUCAACCAUAAUGUUGCCUCCCCAGACAGAGACAAUGGAAAUAGACGUAAUCGAAUAGCAUUCUGACCAACUCCAGGAUUGUCAAAAGACUUGCAUGUAGAAAUAAAGUUGAUGAGAUGCAUAUUCGGAUCAUCGCCUGCUAGUCCACCAAAUAAUCCCUUGAGUUGCAAUAACUGAAUCAUGGUGCUAGUGAUGUUGAACUUGGCUCCGGGCGCUAAUGGUGGUGGAAUUAUAGCUCCAGUGGCUCCGGCACCAUCAAGAUCAUCAUCAUCAUCGUCGAAAGCUGGUUGCAAAGGUUGGCGAUCAUAUCUGUACCGAGCUUGUCGACCUCGUCUGUUGGUAGGUGUUGCCAUUUCAGCGCCAUGCCUUGGGUUGAUCAACUCGUCAUCUCCUAAAUCUUCAUCGUCAGGAUUUGUUGCUCGUCCAGGAUUAUCAAUGUUUUGUUGUUGGACUUGAGCAGCGGCAAGAGCAGCUAAUCUUGCUUGCUCAUGUUGAGCAGCCAUCCUGUCGAUUUCCGCUUGUGCUUCCAUUCUUCUGAUUCGUUGUGGUUCCGGAUUGAUUGGUAAUAACGGUUGACCAGAACUUCUAGUAUGGGGCAUGCACUAAAAGAAAAACCUGCAAUAAACAAAAACAAAAACUAAACGUAAAAGUACGAGAAUCUUUGACCAAAGGGUCUAGUAAUUUUCACGAACUUGAUUGACACUCGUAUUCCCCGGCAACGGCGCCAAUUUUUGAUAACGCUCAAUCUACAGCUCUCGUGGGAGUGUAAAGCGGUCGUUAGCAAAUAUAGAACCCAACCUGGGUUGGGUAUCGAUCCCACAGAGAAUAGCUUGGCCAACAAGCAAGAGAAAUUACUAGACUUUUAGUGCAAGUCUCGUAGGAAAGGGGGGAUUGUAGUAUGUAACCAAAACAAGAAUGUAAGAACUGAAAAUAGCAAAAUAAAGAGAGAUUGUCACGUGUGUUGUAAACAAUGAGAAUUGAGGCGUUGGGGUUAUGUCCACCUUCUGAGGUAUACGUCUCUAUUGGCUAUGAGUGUGUAGAGUCUUGACAUGUAAUUGCUUAUAGAGAAUUGUAGUCGAUGGUAAAUCCAAGCGUCUCUCGACCUAAACAAGGACUAUUUCACUUUAACUCUCUCGAGCUUAAAGCGUGACUAACGGUACGAAUUCUCCAAGAAGUUAGUCCAGGUACGGCACUAGCUUUUUAAUAGGAAAGGGUGUCCUACUACCUUGACAUUAUCUCUUUUCCAGACAAAUAACUUUUCUCUCGAACAAGUCAGAUGUUAGACUGGCGUUGGUCUAUGCGUCUUCUUUUCUAGACAAAUAACCUUUCUCUCGAACAGGUUAGAUGUUAGAAUGGCGUGUUCUUGUGUUUGAACCGCAAAGAAUGUAGAUUUAAGAUGAAGAGAAUAAUGAUAUAAGCAAUAUACUUGUCUUGAACUCACAAACUCAUAGCUAUAGAUAGUAACUCAUUCGGCUUCCAUAACCCCAACUAAGAGAUUUAGUUACCCAUGAAUGCGAAGGAUAUCACGCUUUGCAUGGUGGAUGGUGUGAAUAGUAGGUGUUUGGCGUGUGGUUUUAGUGAUUCCGUAGCAAGUAACGAUUCUCUUGUUGUGGAAUUUAAGAGUAGAAGAAUGAAGAAUUGAGAAUGGGUUGUAGGAAGAUGUCUUAAUUGUAAGGAGAUGAAUGAAUUGUCAGAAUGUCUCCCUUCUUGAAAAUCUCUAACAUGAUAGGGUAUUUAUAAUACUCCUAUCCUACUCCUACUAAACUAAUAAAAUAAAUAACCAAAUCCUAAUAUACUAAUGAAAUCCUUGACCCAAUUGUACUAGGGUAAGGUUACAAAAUUAUAAUCCAAAUAGAAUGAUGAAACACAUAACCUAAUUGCACUAGGUUAAUGUAUUAUGGCAAAAAUCCAGCUUUGUGUCUGUAAGUCCCAAAGUCUUCAGAAAUGCUGUUUUAGCCCGGGACAGAUUUUCCAUGCAGCAGAUUUAGUCCUUUAUGCGUCCAGCUCCUUUCCAUCUCGUUUGUGAGCUUUCUUUUGCGUCAAGUAAGCCAUAAAUUGCUGUAUUUUGCAUCAUUUAUACCUGAAACUUUCCUAAUCACAUUUGUUAGCUCAUUUACAGGAAAAAGGACUAAAAGUGUACGAAAUAGAUAAUUAGUUCUCGAAACUAGGCUAAAAUAUGGGCAAAAUAUAUUGAUAUAGGCGCGUAAUUUCGCCUAUCAUCAGCGUCUCUUGUUACUGUUUUGAUGCAUCCAUCGAAAAAAUAAUGUAAUUGAUCUCCUUUUUUUCUUAAAUUUGACCAGAAUCUGGUUCGUUGUCGGUAUUCCAUUUGCAUCUCAUUUUAGCUUGUUGGGUAUUCUUCGUGGGUUUUCGUACUGUUUUUUGGGAAACUUGGUUACUGUUUGGUUUUGGGGCUUCGAAUUGGAUUUCGAAGGUUAUCUCGUUGGAGUUGGACCAUAGUCGAAAUUUUGGUAUUCUUCAAGGUUCCGGAACAGCUCUUACUUCUCUUUUUAAGUCAAUCAAAAUCUCUUGAGGUCCAAUUCUAUCCUCUCUCCUCUUAAUCUUCACAUAGUUAUGAAUGAUUUGUGUGUUUGUUUUAGCAUGCUUGAAUCUUCAUCGUUGUGGUUUGUUUGUUGUUGGAUUUAGAUGUGAAAACUUAAUUGGUGGAUUGUGUAUUGAAUUGGUUUCAUCAUGUUGAGAUUGGAUUUUGGGGGUUGGUAUUAAAAUUGGUUAAAUUCCUAAUUUUCGUUAGUUUAUUUAUAUUAUUAUCUUGAUUAAUUUGAACAUAUUAAACUCGAUCGUAUGAUAUUAAGUUGAGAAUUGAUAGGCAAACAAUAGGCUCGGGUAGGCAAAUUUAGGACUUGGGGAUAUUGAAUGCUCAAAAUAUGCGUUGAAUGGUUUGGUCUUAGUUCAUUCAUUUGAAAAUGUAUUUGUUUAAUCAGGGAAUGCCCUACGAUCAUUUGUAUUUAUUCGACGGGGAACGCCCCAAAGUAUUUUGUAUUUGGAGGACAUUUGUGAUGAAGGCCCGAGGCAUCGGGUAGCAUGGGAGCGUAGUUAAGGAUUAGGCAUUGGGACUGUAUAAGUAGACUGGACACUAAAUUUUGAAUUAUUUUGUGUUGUGUGCUUGAUCGAUCAUUUUAUGUGCUUUGUGUGGUUUAUGCACUUGUAAUAUCAAAUUAGCCGAUAUGCUCCACCAAGUGACUGUAGUCAAACCACGGGUCCAAGAGGUGCCUAACACCUUCCCCUCGGUCAACAGAAUUCCUUAGCCGAAAUCUCUGUUCGCAAACCAGUUUAAAGAGUCAAAUCAUUUUGAAAUUUUUUUUCCAAAGGUGACUUGGCACACCGGAUUAUGUCAAGUGGCGACUCUGAAUUUUGAAUAUAAAUGAAUCCUUUUCGAAAUAAAUUUUCAUAUUUUGUCACUUUGAUAAUAAAAACCCUUUCGAAACUAAAACGAAUCUUUUUUUUGUUGAAAAGGGGGUGUGACACCAUUCUCUAAUAGAAACUUUGACAACCUAUCAUACCAAGCUCUAGGUGCUUGUUUCAGUCCAUACAAAGCUUUAUCCAAUUUAUACACAUGAUCAAGAAACUCUUUGCUUUCGAAUCCUAGGGGUUGCUUGACAUAAACCUCCUCUUUGAGAAACCCAUUCAGAAAUACACUCUUCACAUCCAUCUAAUAUAGUAUAAACUCCUUGUAGGCAGCAAAUGUAACAAGUAAUCUUAUAGCUUCCAAUCUCGCUACAGGAGCAAAAGUCUCAUCGAAGUUGAUUCCUUCCUCUUGGUUAUAUCCUUGGACCACCAACCUUGCCUUGUUUCUUGUGACUGUUCCAUGCUCAUCAACUUUAUUCUUGUACACCCACUUAGUUCCAAUUACUAAUCUAUCUUUUGAAAGUGGAACCAAGUGUCAUACUUUGCUUCUUUCAAACUGGUUUAGUUCUUUUUGCAUAGCUAUAAUCCAAUCAACAUCAAGCAAUGCUUCACUUAUCUUCUUUGGAUCUAUUUCUGACCGUGAAAGCACACAUACUUCUCAGUCCAGAUCUUGUAGUAAUCCCAAAGGUGAGUUCAGUGAGAACAUUUUCUAUGGGAUAAGAUCCUUGAGAUUUGUACCCUUUUAAAAUCAAGCCUAGUGAGCCACUAGGAUCACUGACAACAUUUUGAUCUGUCGUAGUUGGUGGCUCAGUUCCCCCUGUCACUGUGCCUUUAGUUUCAGUUUCUCCUGUUAAAGUACCUCCAAGUUUGAUAGCUUCAGUCAAUGAAACAGGUUGUGCAACCUAUUCCUCAGCAUUAUUUUCUUCCUACAGGUUAGUCUUAACACAGGAUUCAUCAAAGGUUACAUGCAUGCUUUCUUCAACACACUUUGUUUUGUUGUUUAAAAUCCUAUAUGCUUUACUAUUGAGUGAAUAUCCUAAGAAGAUUUCCUCAUCACUUUUAGCAUCAAAUUUUCCCAAAUUAUCCUUUCCAUUAUUAUAUACGAAACAUUUACUUUUAGAGAUUCUAAAGUGAGAGAUGUUAGGCUUUCUUUCUUUUAGUAAUUCAUAGGGAGUCUUCUCUAACAAAGGUCUAAUCAUGCAUCUAAUUAUGAUAUAUGCUGCAGUACUAAUUGCCUCAGCCCAAAGGUUUUUAGCAACAUUUGCUGCAAUCAUCAUUGUUCUAGCCAUAUCUUCCAAAGUUCUAUUUUUCCUCUCCACCACAACAAAAACUCCAUUUUGUUGUGGUGUUCUAGGAGCUGAGAAGUUAUGAUCUAUACCAUUUGUUGAACAGUAUUUCAAGAAUUUUACAUUCUCAAAUUCUGAACAAUGGUUAGUCCUUAUGGAAACUAAUGAAGUACCUAAUUUCUUUUCAAUCUUCUUAAUGAAGAUUUCAAAGACAUCAAAGGCAUCUUCUUUAGAGGCUAGAAACAAAGUCCAAGUAAACCUGGAAUUGUCAUCAACAAUUACAAACACAUACCUUUUUCCACCUCCGCUUUAAAGUUUCAUGUGUCCACAUAAGUCUACAUGAACCAGGUUAUGGCACUUGGUUGUGCUGACAUGGUUUUUGAACUUAAAAGAGGAUCUUACCCGCUUUCCCCUUACACAUGCACUACUUAGCUUUUCUUCCUUGAACUUGGUCUUAGGUAAUCCCAGUACCAUGUCUUUGGAUAAAAGUAUGUUUAGUUGUUUCAGACUUGCAUGACCAAGUCUUCUAUGCCAAAGAAGGGGAUCAUUUUCUAUAGUACUCAGACACGUCAGUUUAGGUCCUGGUAGUGCCAUGAUGUCAGCUUUGUAUAUAUUUUUAUAUCUCUUUGCAGUAAGCACAACAUAUUUAGUAUCCAUAUUUUUUACCUUGACUCCUGUAACUGUAAAAAUAACUUUAUUAACUUUAUCACACAGUUGUGAGAUGCUCAGCAGAUUAUGCUUCAAUCCUUCUACAAGAUAGACAUCCUUCAAUGCUUUUGACUCUGAUGAGUCAAUCUUUCUAAUUCCAGUUAUGAUUCUCUUUUUUCCAUCACCAAAGGAAACUCCUCCUCCAUUUAUUUUGGAGAGUAAAAAGAAAUUUUUCUUAUCCCCAGUCAUGUGUCUUGAGCAAGCACUGUCUAAAUACCAGUGCCUUUUGCUUCCUUUCACUUUCUCCUGCAAAAAGAAUUCAAAGGUUAGCCUUAGAAACACAGACAAGAUUGGGUCCUAUUUUAUGAGUGAAAGGAUGAAUUAAAACUCUCUUAGUCCAUGCAGGCAACACGUAGUGCAACCUGUUUCUCUGACAAGAACUAGUUUUUUUCUUUUUGGUCUGAGAAGAUCUGUUAGCCAGAUUUUGACUGUUUAAUCUGGUUUUUGUAGCUACUGGACAUUCAGUGGUGGGAUGCCCAAGGUUUCCACAAAUAUAACAUAAAUCUUUUGGAUCAUCAAAACUUUUGUGGAAUCCCAAACCUACCUUUUCAUUGAAUUUUUUCGCACUUAAUUUGUGAACAAUUCUAGAGGAGUUUGUCCACCUUUUUGCCCUUUCAAGAUCCAAUUUUAGUUUAGUGAUUUCCUGACUCAAUUUAUUUAUUUUUUCAGUUAUAUCAUGGCAUUCUUGUUUGAAUUUAACAAGCUCAAGUUCAGUAUCUUCUUGUUCUUUAGUCAUGGCCUUCUUCCCAUUUUCAGUGAGAGUUAAUUUGAGAACUUUAGACCUAAGAUUGUUAUUUGAAAUCUCAAGUUUUGCAACCUGUUUCUUAAGACUGCAAUUUUCCUUAUCAACUGUAUCUAAGUAAGCCUUUAAAUCGAUGAGAUCAAAUUAAGGCUUGUUAGACUAUUGAAUAAUUCAUCCCCAUCCGAGGUUAACUCUUGGAAAUCAUCAAUCAAUGCACUCAUUGAGGAAACAAGUUUUGGCUUUGAGAACAAUUUUAGUUUUUCUUUGAGUUCAAGUAUACUUACCUCAGAAUCCUCAUCUUCUUCAUCUAGAUCUGAAUCCCCAAGGGCCAUGAAUGCAGUUUCAUCAACUUUAUCUUCAUCUGAAUCAGAUCCCCAGGCUACUAUCAUUGCAUGCUCCUCCUUCCAUUUUGCCUUCAGCUCCUUUUCAGCCCUUUCUUUCUUCUAUUUAUUUCCCAGGCUAGACAAUCCCUAAUCUGAUGGAUCAGUUUUGCCACAUUUGUAGCACCCAUUUGGAUUGUCAUUGGAACGUUUGUUAGUACCUAUUCCCUUCUUCUUUUUGAAGAAUUUGUUGAAGUUCUUAGUUAUGAAGGCAACUUGCUCUUUAUCAAAUUCAAAUUCCUCAUCACUAUUAGAAGCUUUCAAUGCUAAGAUUUUCUUAGGAGCUGCUCGUUCUUUGACUCCAUCAAAUUCCACUUCAUAAGUCCUUAGGUUCCCUACUAGUUCAUCCAGAGUCAUACCUUUAAGAUCCUUAUUAGCCUCCCCGAUUGCAGUCACCUUGACAUUCCAUUUUGAUUUGGGUAAUACCCUCAGAACCUUUUCAACUUGUUCUUCCUCAGAGAUGACUUUUCCUAAGGAAGUCAGCUCAUUUGUUAAAGUGGUAAUCCUUGUAAUCAUUUCAUGCAAGGUUUCAUUUUUUUUUCAUUUUGAAUGCCUCAUACUCAGUGAAAAGAAGAGAGAUCCUGAAUUUUCUUACUUGAGAAUUGCCUUCAUGAGCAUUUACCAGUGCGUCCCAAAUUUGCUUAACAGUAGUGCAGGGGAUACCCUGUUGUAUUCAGCAGGUCCUAGUCCACAGACCAAGAUGUUCUUGGCCUUUGCAUUUUUCUUCAAAGCCAACAAGUCAUCGGGAGUAAAUUCACUCCUUACUUUCUUGACUUGUUCACCAUCAACCGUAUUCAUUGGAAUAGUGGGACCAUCAGUAAUCCUGUCCUAUAAUUCAUAAUCUUCCCCUUGAAUAAACAUCUCCAUCCUUGAUUUCCACCAGAUAAAAUGAGAGCCAUUAAAAAGUGGAAGUCUAGUAGUUGACUGACCUUCACUGUGACCAGUAGGAGGUACAGAAUUCAUCCUAUUGAUCUUUUCUUAGGUACGAGCCUUAUUUAAGACAACCUCGCUCUGAUUCCACUUGUUAAAUUUUUUAUUUUUAUUAUUUUAAUUUCUUUUUUAUUUUUAUUUUUUCAUUUUACAUUAUUUAUCUUUCAUCUCUUUUUUUUUCUCAUUUUCCAACCUUUACUUAUUAUGAUUCAAUAUAAUUACUCAUAACACAGAAGUAAAUACUGAACACAGUGUUUUUACAUGGAAAACACCCGACUCAAGAAAGGUGUAAAAAUCCAUUUUCUUCAUUUAGUGCAUUAUUGCAUUUUUAUUCUAGUGUUUGAAUUAAAGUAGUAUUUCAUUAUUGAAUGAGAUGACUUAGGUGUUUUUCCUUUCUUUUGAAUUAUUUACUUGUUGGAAUAUAAUAUAAGAGUAUUGUGUUUUUUUCUUGAAUUUUUUUGAAGACACAAUUCCUAACUCAGUUUAUAGAUCACUGAGACUAGAACAUUGACUCAUUACAACUCAAAGAACCUACUCACUACACUAAUUCUACAACUUGCUAAGUAAGAGAUCAGGUUCUUCUUUAAGCAUGAGAACUGAUAUGCUGAUUGUUGAUAUGUUUUUCAGUGCUUGAGUUCAGUGUUUUUGAAUUUGCUUCUUGUAUUUAAGCACCCACCUCAUGGAGUCCUUCAAUUGAUAUCAACUUCUAUAUUCAAUAGGACUCCAGAUAGUUUCCUGCUACUUGUUGCCGCCCCUUUCUUCUUCUUUCAAUAGGAUUCCUCUUUUCUCUUUCUUCAAGACUUGUUGUUCAACUCAAUUUCUGCAUUUCUUCUUUUUCAACUCAACUUCUGCAAGUCUUCUUUUUCAACUCAUCUAAUGUGAUAAAUGUUAUCUACUUCUUAAUGUGAUAAAUGUUAUCUACUUCUGUUUAUACGCCAGGUCGUCAUAUCAAUAACUUAUCUGCAGCUGACCUUGGUUCAGCUGGAUGGAACAGCUUUUACCACAUAUUUCAUUCUCAUGCCUAUCAUCAAAACUCCACAUGCUCUAACAAUUUAGCCUUACAAUUUUCUAUUUUUCUUCAAUAAACCUCUUAUUAGUUCGUUUUUUAUCACACACACAUUCAUUAUACCCACAUUACCCUUUCAUAACAACCUUUAUCUUCUAUUUUAUCUUUUGAUUCAAAAUUAAAUCAAAUCUAGUCUCACAUUUGUUUUUUGAAAAAUAUUAAACAGGAGUCAAAAUGAAAAUGGAAAUAAUACAAUUCUAUCUUGAACAACAGUGGGAAACCUAUUAGACAAGAUGGAAAUCAUCUACAAUCAAUAAUCAAUGUGCAUCGGCAAGAAAUUGUAACUAGUGAACCCAACUGGAUAUUCGGAUAAUUAAAACUAAAAAUUACACAAAUACACAACUUAUAUUUUCAAUAUUACAAAAAAUCUCAACUCCGUAAACAUAUUAUAGAAAUCUCAAAAUAUACACAGAAUGCUAUAUAUAUGUCGGCUAUGUUAUAUAUAUUAAUAGGGAGAUCGAGAGAGUAAAGUAAUUAAAAAAGCGGGAGAAAAUAUAAUUACUUCUAAGAGGAUUAGUAUUUAUGUUAUGUUAUUUAUACUAAUUAAAAUCUAAUAAAUAAGAGCCCAACGUUAAGGUCCAAAUGCUUAGGCUCCGUAAAACGUUCAGAUGGCCCAUAAGUUUUGCUCAUUUUCAUUUCACAGUGAACAACUGUUAUGUACUAGUUGUAUUUUGUUUUUUCAAAAGUAAAACACAGUUGCUUCUUGAUAAAAUAAUCAACAAAGGCAAAUAUUUCUCCUAAUUAAAGUCAUAUACUAAUACACAGUAUUUUCCACACACAAGAAAAAAAAAAACUAAACAAAGCUUGUUUACAGUCUACAUCCAAGGAAGUUAUUCGUUUUAUUUCUUUUUAUCCUUACAGGCCUCGAGUUUUAGCCCGUUAUAAACUAAUAAUGAGGAAAUUUAUAUUGGAAGCGUCACCCCAAGAAAUAGACUUUGUAAUUCACGAAUUUGGAUUUAAUAUGCCCCAACAUGAAUACGAAACACUAAGAUGGAGAGUUAAUUCCUCAAAAUGUCAUUGAACUUAUGUAAAUAUUCCACUAAAGUAAUUUUUGUUUCUUUUAAAAAAUUUUUGUCACUGAACGAUGCUCUUCUUUUCAUUAUAAGGUAAAACUAAGAAAUUGUUAAGGAUAUGUUUGGAGAACCACAAGGAAAGUGAAAUUAGAUGUAAUUACAUAAUUCAAUUCUCAAUUAGGAAUAGAGAAUUAGGUGUAAUUACGUGAUGUAAUUACAAAGUUACAUUUUUUUUUAAUUUUAAUUUCUUUUUCUUUUAAUUUUAUUUUUUAUUUUUAUUAUUUUAAUUUCUUUUUUAUUUUUAUUUUUUCAUUUUACAUUAUUUAUCUUUCAUCUCUUUUUUUUUCUCAUUUUCCAACCUUUACUUAUUAUGAUUCAAUAUAAUUACUCAUAAUUUUUUCUUCAUUUAGUGCAUUAUUGCAUUUUUAUUCUAGUGUUUGAAUUAAAGUAGUAUUUCAUUAUUGAAUGAGAUGACUUAGGUGUUUUUCCUUUCUUUUGAAUUAUUUACUUGUUGGAAUAUAAUAUAAGAGUAUUGUGUUUUUUUCUUGAAUUUUUAUUUGUGUUUUGUUUUAUGUUUCAAUUUAUUUGUUUUAGUACUAUAGACUUGUUAUUUUAUAUUGCAUGUCACUUUAAAUUAUCAAGUUAACUUGUGCAAAUAUCCUAUUAAAGUAACUUUUGUUAAUUUUUUUUAGGAAAAUAUUGUCAUUAAACUAUGUACAUCUUUUCAAAAUAAGGUGAAACUAAAAAAUAGUUAAGGACAUAUUUGGAAAGCCAUAGAAAAAUUAAAAUUAUAUAUUAUUAGACAAUUUGCAGUGGCAUGCAAUAUGAAAUAGCAUGUCUAUAAUACUAAAACAAAUAAACCGAAACAUAAAUUCAAAAUCCAAGAGAAAAACAUAAUACUCUUGUAUAAAAUUCUGACGAGUAAAUAUAAUUCAGAAGAACGAAAAACACAUGUGUCUAUAAUCUCAUUCAAUAAUAAAAUACUACUUUAAUUCAAACACUAGAAUAAAAAUUCAAUAAUGCGCUAAAUAAAGAAAAAAAAUAUGAGUAAUUAUAUUGAAUCAUAAGAAGUAAAGUUGGAAAAUGAGAAGAAAAGAGAUGAAAAAUAAAUAAUGUAAAAUGAAAAAAAAAAAAAGUAAAAAUAAAAAAGAAAUUAAAAUAAUAGAAAUAAAAAAAUUAAAAGAAAAAGAUAUUAAAUUUUAUUUUAAAAAAAUAAAAAUAAAAUGUAACUUUGUAAUUACAUCACGUAAUUGCACCUAAUUUUCUAUUCCUAAUUGAGAAUUGGACUAUGUAAUUACAUCUAAUUUCACUUUCCUUGUGGUUCUCCAAACAUAUCCUUAACAAUUUCUUAGUUUUACCUUAUAAUUGAAAGAGAUGCAUAGUUCAGUAACAAUAUUGUCCUAAAAAAAAUAAAAGUUAUUUUAGUGGGAUGUUUACACAAAUUCAAUGACAUUUUGAGGAAUUAACUCCUAAGAUAGAAAACCGAAAAAAAAAACUCUUAACAGUGUUAAUUUUCAAGUGCAUGUGCUUGUACAUUUAUGAUUUUAUGUACUUUCUUUUGUACUAAUAUAUCUCAUUAUAGCUAGGAUAGCAUGUAGGAAAAGAGUAGAUAUUUAGUGAAAUGAACUCCAUCAAAUAGUAUACUGAAAUCUGUUGAAUGCAGCAAAAGUUACGUAUGUAGUUGAAAUUAUGGGCAUUUCUCUAAAGAAACAAGACAGUUAGUUGCACAUAACAUGGGAUUGAAGAAGUGAUCGAUGAGCUGUUUUAUCACUACAUAAAACUAAAAGGGGAAGAAGUGAUAUAUAUAAGCUGGUUGAUGACUAUCUUAAAUUAGAAAGAUAUACUGUUUCAGACAUAAAAAAUUUAAGAAAGAAAAGAGUACAUUUAAAAUUUGUGGUCUAAAAUACCCUUUGAUCAUUUGUGCGACAAUAAAUUAUUUCAUGAAGGAUAAAAAAGAAAUUAUGAAUUAAUUAAAUUAUUUUCGAUUAUAUAAAUAUGACAUUCUUCACAAAGCGAUUUUAAAGGAAAUUAUACCACAAAAAUUGAGACAAAAGAAUAUUGUUUUAUAGCAAUUAUGAACUAAAUGAGGUUAGAAUAAAAAUAAUUUCUACGAAGAAUAUCAAAAUCCACCAAUUACUUGCCCUGUAAGUGUCCAAAAAUCUGAAUCUUUCUUUGCACUUUCCCAUAUUGAUGUUUAACAUUAAAAAAAGGAACUAGAUUGUGAGAUCACAGGUAUAUAUGUUUGUUCUUAAACCUCUCAAUUCUCGAUCAUCCUGAAUUUUUAUUUCUUGUGGAUGAAUAUUAUUAUAAAAUAUUUGUGGUAAUAACCAAGUCUAAAUACUUCACGAAAGAGUAACUAAUUAUGGGCACUGACAUAGUGACGAAGCUACAUAAAUUGAAAGGUGAUUGGUUGAACAAUUCUUAUUGUAAAUGUUAGAGAUAAGUGAUUUUAACGUAAGAAUUUCCUAUCCAUGAAACGGGUUGCCUGACGUGUUCCAAGGAAGCUGUAAAACAGAAAGUAAAGAACACAACGAUUUUUACGUGGAAAACACCCGGAUCAAAAAGGUGUAAAAAACCAUGACUUGCACCUCUACAGGAUUUAACCCCAACUUCACUAAAUAACUCUGAGCCUCAACAACGACUCUUGUAAUCAACAAAUAGGAAUUAUAAACUCUAAUUUCUUUAACUCAACGAUUAGGAAUUAUAAACUCUAAUUCCUAAUUACACACACCUCCCAAGGUAUGCGUUCCCAAAGUCUCUGAGUUUUCCCCAACUCGAAGACUAGCUCUUAGUUCAGUUUAUAACACAUUGAAACUAAUAUUACAUCAAUAGUUUAAACACAAUGAACAACUCUAAAAAUCAACGCUAAAACUCUUAGCUGGAUUCUACACUUAGGACCAAGUUCUUCAAUGUGUUUCUUCAGUGAUUGAGUAGCACUUCGUGAAGUCAAUCUGUCGAUUGUGUUUUUUUCUUUGUAAGUGCGUGAGUUUAUUCUGACUGAUACAUCUUCUAUUUAAGCACAACUCUUCAAAGAGUCAUUCUUUAUUUCAAACUCUCCCUUCAAUCAUAACUCUCAUUGCAUAGAGUUCUACUUCAAGUCCUUCUUCAAUUCCAACUCGUCUCCUUAGUGUUAUAGUCAAACCCCAACUCUCCAAAGAGUACGUUUUGCAUAGACUUCUUCAAUUUUCUGAAUCUUUCUCCUUCUACACACAUAGGACUCUUAAGGAUAUGCUGAGAAGUGAAACUCCUUAUUCACAUAAGACUCCUUUUUCAACUCAACUUACUUACCCUUAACAUCAAGUGUUUGAAUCAAAUUCAACUUGUUCUAUUCCCCACGUUAUCAGUAAGUUGAAGUUUCCAGUUGCACUGAUUUAACUCAUUCUGAUUUUUAAUUAUUUAUACCGUAGACUGCACUCUUGAACUUGUCGGAUCAGUGGAACACGUAUAUCAACUUGUUUCAUUCAUAUUGUCAUUAAUCAAAACGUUCCAACAGUAAAAUUAUACGGUAAACAGGUUAAAAAUUAUUUAAUAUAUAUAGUAUAAUAGGUAACAGAAAAUAGUAAUCAAAAAAUAUUACAAAUAACUUUUCUACAAUCGGCUAAAAAACAUUGAUUGGUUAAUUUUAUUUUCUUGCACUAUAUAUUAGUGAAUAUAAAUAACAAUAUCUAUUGCCUCAGUUCCAAAUAAAUUUAAAUCAGCUAUAUGAAUCAUGACUUCUCCAUCUUAAAACGUAUCAUCUUCAUACUAAGAAACAAAACUCAUGAUUUAAAGCUCAUCAUGCUACUUGAACUUUCUAACGAAUGUUGUCAUUUUUGAUGUUAUCUAAUCUUGUACGACCAUACAUCCAUAUAUUAACAUCGCAUCUCUGCUAUAAACAUUUCAUAAAUUUGUUGAACUUUAAAGUAUAUAAAAUCCUUCAUGAAACAAAGAAAACCAGAAGUAGGGUGGUAUUGACAAUGACAAUGGAACAAAAUUCCAAAUCCAUAUAAACUUUCGAUGUCUCAUUUUCGAAUUGCACAUAAAUAUUUGGACAGUGUAGCUACUCAUGUGAUAUGUCCUGAAAAUUGAUACACCUAAAAGAAACCCUUAGCUAUUUCCAUCAUUGCACUAAUAAUGAGUGCUCACAUAUUAUAAGUACAGUAAUCAUAAAUCAUAAUGAAUGUCCUUGUAGUUGGUGUUACAAACUAUAGUAGAAUAGCUUUUUUCUUUUCUGUUGCAUGUAAUUUCUUUUUCACCAAGGUACGUUCACAUCAUAAAGCAACAUGCCUGAAUAUUUUUUUUUUAAACAUCACACCAUAUAUGGUACUGUGUUACGUUGUAGCUUUCUGGUAACACAGUACAUGCUUUUGCUACACGUUUUUUUCCUUUUCCAAAAAGAAUGCUCUUCAAAUUAGAGUUCAUUUUGAACCGUUUAUAAGAUGUAGCAUAACUUUAAUUGGGACUAAGGAGGGUAGAAUACAUAACUUACCUUUACUGAGCUGAGAGUUUAUAGCAUACCUUACCCAUGUGUACUUAUGGUAUGAAAUACGAUCACUUUCAGUAUACUACAUAUCUUUGUCUCAGUUUAUGUGACACAAUUGAACCUCUAGAGUUAAAUUUAUAAGCUUCUAACUUCGUACAUGGAAUCUUAAGUGCUUUAAAAAACCAAUUUUACAUAUUUUUCAACUGUAUAAAAAAAGCUAGUAGUCAUUAUAUUGGCAAUUCAAAAUAUUUGACAGCUUACAAAAAAUUGUGUUCAAAGAAAAACUCUUUUUAAUAUAAACUCCAAAAAUUUAAGAGGUAUCACGUAAAACUAGUGUGGACAACAGACCUAGUAGCUGAAUAAUUCAAGUGUAUAUUUCGCAGUGCUUGUGGGAUUAGUCAGCACAGGUAUUUCUAAUCCUAUCUUACGUUUCUAUUAAGAAUACUUAUUAAUUAUAGUAAAUAAUUCAAUGUUUAUUGAGAGGGCAUAUAUAAUCGACAUGGUCCCAAAAUAUGGGUUGAGGAAUAUCAUCUUAAAAUUAAAGGGUGGGCUUCUGCCUAUGAAGAAUUUUGAUAGUAUUAAAGUAGAGUAUUAUUACUCAAGCAUUUUAAUAAAAUUCACUAUCGACUAACUUAUUAUUGAAUUUCUAAGCAAGAUUAAUUAUUAAUCCAUGUUUUUGGGUUGCGUUCUAGUUUUUGUUAGUAUACUUAAAAUAACGUGACAGAAAGAUUUAUACUCCCUCCGUUUAAAAAAGAAUGACCUAUUUUGACUUGGCACAAAGUUUAAGAAAAUAAAGAAGACUUUUAAAUCUUGUAGCCUUAAAUUAAAGUUGUAUCAAAUGUACCAAAAUGCCCUUUAAUCUUGAGGUCCUAAACAUGCCAUGUAGAAAGUUGAAAUUAAAGUACUGUCAAAAAGGAAAAGAGAUCGUUUUUUUUAAACGGACUAAAAAAAAGUAUGUCGUUCUUUUUCAAACAGAGAGGGAGUAGUAAAGUUGGCAAUACCAAUUUGGGAAUAAGUAAGAUCCUGUGUUUGUUAGAAAUUUCUAUUAGAUUGAAAAACAAUACAAUCAAUAAGUUUAUACAAGUUACAACCUUUAUUUACAUUAAAAAGAAACACCAUAUUUAUAAGCAACAAAUGGCUUAUGGAAGACAAUUUGUAAAAAUGAUGAGACACUUCCCCUUUAAUUAAUGUUAUUAAAAAUGAAAAUAUUUUGAUUGGAAGUUCUUGUUCUUACGCAAUGUGUGAGUCUAGACUAAUGAAGUUUGAACAACACAUGAUUAUCAAUUUUUUUUAAUAGUAAUGGGAACUUUACAAUUGAAUAUAUAGAAGUCUACCAAUCAACUAUUGAAAGCUUUGGUACCAAUUAUCGAUUGGAAUUGGACCAUAAUCUAUCUAUACUGGCAUCAUGAUUUCAUAUUUGGAAGGAAGAUUAAAAUUAGAAAUUGAUAGAAAAGCAAGGAUAUGGUGGAAAAAGUAAAAAAGAAAAUCCUAGUAGGCGAUGCACCGGAUGAGUUUAGUGAAAUUUAAGUACUUCGAGUAUGAAUUAGUCCGACCUCAAUAAUAUAUGAUUAUAAAAUAAAAUGUAGUAGUAGAAAUAUUUGUUUUUCCUCCGGUAACAGUGGCAAUAAUUGGUCCUUUACGUUACUUGCUAGCCAACUUUUGACAUUCGCAUUCACUUAACUGAAAAUUGGACAUUGUAAGAUAUCCAAUGGGGAGCUAUGAAUGGCCAAAAUGGCUUUUAUCAUAGUGAUUCAAUUUCUUCGGCUACUACAUACAUUAUUUCCUAUAAAUAAGGUUGUAACGGCCAUGAGUUUUUUGGUUUUCCAUUUUCAUGGAAAGCUAUAGAGACAUUUGCGCUUGACCAUACCCAAACUUAUACUGAAUCAUCCACACACCCCGCCGUCACUCCUAUCGCCACCGCCCUCCUCCUCCUCCUGCCCUCCGUUUAUGGCCAAUUUCAUCAUUUUUCUAAACCCCCCAUAGAAAAUAAAAAGAUUGCAAAUUUAUUGUUUUUUUAUUUGUGUCCUUUCUUGUUUUCGUUUUAGUUUUGAUACAAAAUUUUAACGUGAAUUCCCUUGUAUUUUGUUUGAUCUUCCAAGACUUUUAUUUUGCGGUGUUUAAGGAAGAAGAGAUUAGCAGUCCGCUAUUACGAUGGCGGACAUAGUGAAACAAAUUCUAGCACGGCCAAUACAAUUGGCAGACCAGGCAACAAAAGCGGCUGACGAGGUAUGUAAUUUCAAGGCUGAUUGUAUGGAGAUCAAAGCCAAAACAGAGAAGCUUGCCGCGCUCCUAAGACAGGCAGCACGCGCGAGUAAUGACUUGUACGAGCGUCCAACGCGUCGAAUCAUCGAUGACACGGAACAGGUUUUGGACAAGGCACUCACCCUCGUAAUCAAAUGUUGUGCCAGGGGAUUGAGUCGUGUUUUCACCAUCAUCCCUACUGCUGCAUUGAAGAAAACGGCACAGCAGCUUGAGAAUUCAUGUGGUGAUGUUCAAUGGUUGUUACGUGUGUCGACUCCAGCGGAUGACCGUGAUGAUGAGUAUCUCGGGCUACCUCCUAUUGCAGCUAAUGAACCGAUAUUGUGUCUGAUAUGGGAACAGAUUGCGAUUUUGUGUACAGGGUCGUUGGAGGAACGUUCUGAUGCGGCGGCCUCGCUUGUGUCGUUGGCUCGGGACAAUGAGCGAUAUGGGAAGUUGAUUAUAGAAGAAGGCGGGGUUGCACCGUUGUUGAAAUUGGCCAAAGAAGGACGAAAGGAGGGUCAGGAAAACGCGGCGAGGGCUAUUGGCCUUCUUGGUCGAGACCCUGAAAGCGUUGAACAAAUUGUGAAUGCAGGUGUUUGCUCUGUGUUUGCCAAGAUUCUAAAAGAUGGACAUAUGAAAAUUCAGGUUGUAGUGGCUUGGGCAAUUUCAGAACUGGCUGCUAAUCACCACAAAUGUCAAGAUCAUUUUGCUCAAGCAAAUACUAUUAGGUUAUUGGUUAGUCAUCUUGCUUUUGAGACAAUUCAAGAACACAGUAAGUAUGCUAUUGCUACAAAACAACAGAACAUGUUGAUACACACAGCUGCUGCGAUGGCCCAAUCUAAUACUUCUAGUACUAGCAAAAUCAGUGAUUAUGGAGGUAAGGUUGAUGAUAAUGACAAUAGAACUCAUAGUAAAAUUCCUCACCCUGUAGAUAAACAACCAGCCAACCAAAUGCAUAAUUUGGUUGAAAGUGCCAUGGCAAUGAAAUCCCAGGUACAGAAUCAGGCUAACAAUCCUAUUGCGGGUCAAAAUCAGCAGCAACAUCGACAAAACCCGAAUCAGCAGAAGAAUCACCAUGUUGGAUUGACAGGGACUAGCAUUAAAGGGAGAGAAUUUGAAGAUCCUGCAACAAAAGCUGAAAUGAAAGCAAUGGCUGCCAGAGCACUUAGACAUCUUUCUGCAGGAAAUGUUAGCAUUUGUAGCAAUAUUACAGAAUCCCGAGCUCUUUUAUGCUUUGCUGUCUUGCUAGAGAAAGGCCCUGAAGAAGUACAAUAUCAUUCAGCCAUGGCGCUCAUGGAAAUCACAGGUAAAUGUGUCAUGUUUAGCUCAUAAAAUUAUAGCCCUCCUGAUUGAUGAGUUGAUUAGGCAUAACCAAAGCUAGCCCGUUCGAAAGCUAUUUGGGCUGCUUGUGCAAUCAUCAAAGUAUAUAUUAAAAAAAAUUCAGGGUUGUUUGAUUUAAUAGUCUUGAUCAAACAAUGAAGGAAGGCUGGCUGAAUUAUGAGCCGCUAUUUAACACAAUUUGACCUGUUCUCCAGACCCAAACAAAUUUUAGACUGAGUUAAAAGCCAACCAUAUAUUAUUGAUUCUAUCCAUUUUAGCACAUGUGGCUUUAGCUCAACUUGCUCAUUGACACACUUAUACACAGGCGUUGCUGAGCAAAAUUCUGACUUGAGACGUUCUGCUUUCAAGCCCACUGCACCUGCUGCCAAAGCCGUGGUUGAUCAAUUCUUGAGAAUUAUCAACCAGGGAGAUUCAGAAUUGCUCUGUCCAAGCAUCAAAUCUAUAGGACAUCUAGCCAGGACCUUUCGAGCAACAGAAACAAGAAUGAUUCGUCCAUUGGUGGCUCGGUUAGAUGAUAGGGAACCAGAUGUAACUAGGGAAGCUGCAAUUGCACUCAACAAAUUUGCUUCCUCUGAUAAUUUCCUCAGAGUCGAUCACUGCAAGGCCAUAAUUCAGGCAGGAGGCACCAAGCACCUAGUACCACAUGUUUACUUUGGUGAACAAAUGGUUCAGGUUCCUUGUUUGAUUCUCUUGAGUUACAUAGCAAUGCAUGUGCCUGAUAGUGAGGCAUUAGCUGAUGACAAUGCACAUAUAGUUUUGGAGUGGGCUACAAAACAGGCACACCUAAUGCAAGAUCCUAUAGUUGAAGAACUAGUGAACAAAGGCAGAGAAAGCAUGGAACUUUAUCAGUCCAGAGGCUCACGGCUGUGAACCUAUCAACUUGUAUAAUACUUCCUCAGUACGUCCAAAAUUUAGGUACUGCAAGUAUUCCUUCUUUGAACUUCUUUCUAGUUUUAUACGUACACUUUACCCUUCCUAGACCUCAUUUCUCAGAUUAAACAGGCUAUAUGUUGUUGUCAUUGGAGUGUAUACAAGAUUAGCUUCAUUGUACAUUGACUGACAUGUUCAAGUCAGCAACAUGUCUCUAUGUGAGUUUGUCCCGAGGACAGAGAGAAAGAUGAGAGUUGUGGUAGGGUGAUGAACAACAUAAAGAGUUGUUUGGAUUAGCUUUUUUGAAGUGGCUUAGAGGAUAAAAGCUAAAAGUCAAAAUUGUUAGCAACACCACCUCAAAAAAGUUUAAAAGUGCACGCCUAAAAAUAAGUCAAACCAAGCACCUUCAAAGCCAAUCAAUUUAUGAUCUAUCCACAUAAUACAGCUCACCUAGAAAUGUGUUGCAUCAGACAUUCAUGAGAUUACACAUAUUGCCGACCCUAACCUAGGAUUGAGGAGUUGUUGUGGACCUUAUGGUGGUGGUUGUUAGCAUGGGCCAAGUGUCCAAUCCCAUCUAGUUUUGGUUAAAGUAGAAGCAUAUCUUUCAAAUUCUAUGGUUCCUUCUCUUUUCAACAGCAGUGAAUGGAGCAUAAUCUUUGCAAGAUGCAGCAUGCUUUUGCAUUUGCCUUGAUUAGUUUUAUCAUGGUUUAGGUUAAAAUUCGAGGCCCACUUUAUCUUGGACCAAAGUUGAUGCUAUCAUGUGUAACAGAACAACAUCACCUCCCAAAUCGAAAGGCAAAUGGCAACACAGAUACAGUGUAGAAUGCUUGGCGCUGUCCAAGAGACCGGUAGAGAUAGGUAAUCAAGACAGAUGAACAAAAACUGGUAGGCCUUGAUUUUGAAGUCAGAUUUGCUGCAGUCGAUCUUUUUGAUUAGUCUCCAUUUCCCUUCUUUCCGCAUAGUUUACUUUGGAGUUGGAGCAAUGGCCAGGAUGGUUGGACUCGUGACCUCGAGGUUUCUUUAGACUACUCAGAUGUAAUUUAUUCACACUUUUGUAACUCGGAAUGUGAAGCGUGUACAGAGAACGGUAAGAGUUGAUGAUAAUUUCGCAUUACGCUUGUAAUACACUUUAGUAUCCAAGAAAUUUUCACUUGUAAUAUAGUUAGAUCAUGUACAUUAGCCCCGAAAAAGUGCAGAACAUGCUACGAUGGCUCACAGCGCUUCAGCCUAAUGGUACUAUAGCACUAAAAUUAUUACUUUCACUGGGCUGGCAAUCAAACUCUCUCAUUGAACCAACAAUAAAUUUCUCACACACGAAGUGGUAUAAACAAUUAAACAUCAAAACUUGGAAUAAACAAUUUAAUCAAUUAGCCAUAAAAUUAUGCGAAGGGAAUAAGAAGUUAUUCCUUCACCAUUCACAAAGAGACACAACCACUUGAUCUAAAUCCAGCGAAUAAAGCAUAUUCAACAACAGCAUAAAAAACAUUGGAAUAAACUUUAAUAAAAGCCUAAAGUCAAAAUAAGCAAAACUCAAGAAAGGGUCAUAAUUUCCAACUUUUUGCCAUGAAAUCGAAUACCCAAUGUCUCCCUCUUCCAACAGAAAGCAAAGCAUCAACUCAAAGCUGUAAAUCACACACAACGAUACUUUUCAACAACACAGAAAACAAAAUUAACAUAACAACCAUCAAAUGGGUACGAAACUCCGAACGAUAAACAUAUAAUACAGAAAUUAAAGGGACAGAGAUUAUAGCAGCAACUGAAUAAUUGAUAUAGCUUUGAUGAAAACAUGUUUGUAUACAAGUACAGAGAGUAUCCAAAUCCAUUGCAGCAACAAAAAUAAGACUCCCCAUUGUCAAAAAGCUUCAAGAUAAUACUACUAACUACUAAAACCAGAAAAUAAAGAUAUAAAAGGAAACCAAAUCCGAUAUCCGAUAUAACACUAGAGAUAAAGCACCGGAAAUCAUAACUUAUAACUUAAAAGAUAAAAGCAUAGAGGGUUUCAGCAAUGAUCAGCGACCACCACUGGUGCAUUCACGAGCAAAGUGCCCGUCUUCACCACACUUGUAGCAGCCGCCGCCGCCUCCGCCGCCGGAAUAUCUCCCGCCGCCACCUCCGCCGCCUCCACCCUGGCUACAGUCCCUAGCGAAGUGCCCACUCUCACCACACUUGAAGCAGCCACCACCGCCGCCGCCAUAACCACCGCCUCCUCCAUAUCCACUGCCACCGCCACCAUACCGGCUUCCUCCACCGUAUCCACCACCAUACCCACUGUCACCGCCAUAUCCACCACGGCUACCCCCACGGCCACCACCGUAUCCUCCACCAUAACCACCACCACCACGGCCUCCUCCGCCUCCACCGCUACGUGACCCACCAGAAACAGCAGCACCAUCAGGUCCAGUAACAUCAACAGCCUUAGUACGUCCAUCACUACCAUUCUCAACCUCGUACUCAACAGCCUCACCUUCAGCUAAACUCCUAAAACCCUCAGAUCUGAUACCUGAUUGAUGAACAAACAGAUCUUCGCUGCCAUCAUCAGGAGUGAUAAAACCAAAACCCUUCUGGUCAUUGAACCACUUCACGGUACCCUUAGCCCUCUGUCCACUUUCUUCCGCCAUUUUUUUUCUCACAAACAGAAACCCUAAAAAGCCUUUUUGUGUUCUCCUUGGUAUUGUCACCGUGGAGUAUUUAUCAAAGGGGUGGCGAAAUUAUAUAGUGAGGCUCAGUGCCCCACGUUUUUCUGGGCCCAGAAAACAGUGGGCCAUAAAUAUCAAUAAGGUUAAUUACAUGUUUUAAAAAUAAAUUACUGUAUCAUAUAUCAAAUUAUUUAUAUUUGAGAUUAUAAAUAUUAACCAAUAAAAAUCAUUUGCGUAAAUCAAGUUUUUCGGAUUUCUUUUUUAGCGGAGCGAAUACGCCUUGCAUACUAGAAAAGGUAAAUUUUGAUGAUGCUUUUUUUUUAGUGGUGAUAAUAUGCCUUGAAUGCUAGAAAAGGUAAAUACUGAUAGUCAUAUUAGUCAACACCUAUGCAAUAUAGAUACUAAUACUGCAUAAUAGAAUCACUACAAAUCUACAAUAUUGUUAAUUUACGACAAAUACUGAAUAUUUCUAAUGUGUUAAGGGUUUUUAAUCCAAUUAAUAGGAGUGAUAAAUUUAGUCGAAUAAGUAAUAAGAAGAGACAAUCUGAUCCAAUAAGUAAUAAAUUCAAUCUAUUUAUUAGUUUCCUUUUGGACAUGAAAAUCAUAAUUCUCCUAAGUUGAAAUUGAAAUUGUGUUUAGCAAUUAAUAUGAAUUAAAGUUGUUUUUGAAAUUUUGUGAAGAAAAUUACUUGUUUUUACUUUUUCACAUAUAAUUUUAAAUUAUAUUUAAAAAAUUUAUGAUCAAAUACAUACUACUAAAAUAAAAUAACUUGACAAAAGAAAAUAAAUUUUUUUGACUUGGUCUCUUCGGAAAGAUUCUGCGUUUUUGCCCUGAUUUUCUUACUAUAUUUAAGUUUAUCUUUUAUUAGAAGGAAAAUAAAAGUUAUCAUAAUUACUUUUACUUUUCCUAAAAGAAAAAUAUAAAACUUUUUCAUAUUUUACAAACCUCUUUCUUAGAGAAAUGUUUUGUAACUCUAUAAAGAUCUCUCUUCUCAAAACAUAACAAAAUAACAUUCACAAUGUAGUCGUUUAAAGAAUUUUGUUUAGGAGAAGAUUUUCUCUCUAAUAGUUUUAUGUUUUCUUUCAUAUUAAGUUUUUAUAUGUAGGUCGAUUGACCAAACUAUAUAAUCAUUAUGUUUUUAGUAUGUUUUUCUUUUCAUCUGAUUUAUCGUCUCAAUAGUUUACAACUAAUAGCUUCCGCAUGACGCCCUCUCAAUUUCGAACUCAACACUGUCAUGGGCCCUAUAGCUACCAAGUAUAGUUGUAGAUGGGGAGGGGCAAGUCAAAAUAUGUAGCUUAAUAGUCAAAUUGCAAUGCAUUUGUAAUUUUCACAACUAUUUUAUCUGUUUUUCAGUCCAUAUCACUGUUGGAUACUCAUCGACGUACCUUUUUACAAAGGACCAAUAAAUAUCUUGAAAUGUCUAGGUCAAAAUUGUUGAAGGUUUUUUUUAAGGUUUUUUUUUUCUUUUUUGGUUCUCAACAUUCAUAAAUGAAGCAAACAAGUGAAGAAAGACGUCGCUAUAAUUCGUUGAUAUUCAAAACCCAAGUCCAUGUCUUCAAGCAAAGUGGAGAAAUUACACUCCUCAAUGGCUGAUGAAAGAAUCAGGAAUGAGGAUGUUGUGUUGGAUGUGUGGUCUCACUACAAGGGAUAGAGUCAGGAAUGAGAUUAUCCGAAAGAAGGUGGGAGUGGCUUCGGUGGAGGACAAGAUGAGAGAAGAAAUGUUGAGAUGGUUUGAGCAUGUGAUGAGGAGGAGCACGAAUGCCCUUGUUCGGAGGUGUGAGACUAGCUUUAGAUGGUUUCAGGAAGGGUAAAGGUAGGUCAAAGAAAUACUGGAGGGAGGUGAUUAAGCAUGACAUGGAGCAACUGCAGCUUACUGAGGACAUGACUCUAAACAGGAAGUGUGGAGGUCGCGGAUUAUAAUUGAAGGCUAGUGUGAGUGUGUGGAUUGUGGCUAGAUGUUAGGAGAGUGUGGGGUGGUAGUCCUCUUAGGUCUGUAAAUGUAUGGUUUACUACUAGGAGAGUAUCCGUUUUCCUAUUUCUUAUUUCGUAUUGCUUGUACUUUACUUAUUUUGUAUUUUUCUUGAUAUUUACUGUUAUUAUUUUAUCGUUUAUUUCUGUUGUGUCAUAUAUCCUGUUUCGAGUUGCAAUACGACCUUGCUAUACUAAUCUCUCUUGAGCCGGUGGUCUAUCGGAAACAGCCUCUCUACUUCUUCGGAGGUAACGAUAUGGACUGCGUACAUUUCACCCUCCCCAGACCUCACUAUGUGAGAAUAUACUGGGUUGUUGUUGAUGAAGGCCAUCCAGUCACAUAAAUAAAACAACAGCUGUGAAGAUAUUAAAAUACAAACUCGUCUACUCCAAACUACAUAAGCACUUUCACAUCAACGGCAACGGCAUUCAUACAUCACGGAUAUAUUCAAGCAUCAACUACCAUAACAAAACAAAAAUUGAAAAGCUUUCUCGAGAAACAUAAGGCAUACAAAUUGCACAAACAACUCUUCAACACCUCUCAUGGUCUUCCAAUGACUGUUCAGAUCAUAUUAUCAUCGAGUUAAUAGAGGUACAACAGGGGUCUUCUAUCCAUGUUUAAUUUCGACAUGGCAAAAAGCUCAUAGGUGGCUGUGGAGAGCCAGUGACUGGAGCGACCCGGAGAAAAUGGGCUUGCAACACAUGAGAAGCACCAAUGUGUCGAUUGGAUUAAUGAAAUUUGUCAUUGUAAGCACCCAACCACCAAAUAUAAAGCCCAUAAUAAACCUUAUUCUCUUCCUCUACGAAGAAACAAACUACUCCCUCCAUCCCAAAUUAUCCAUCCCAAAUUGAGACGACUCAUUAAUUAAGAAAAAUAAUUAAUAACAUAUCAAAUUUAUCACAGUAAAUAUAUUAAAUAAAAUUUAUAUAAAAAAUAAUUAAUACAAAGGAUAAAAUCUGAAAAAAAAAAAUAUCUAAAUUUGGAACGGAGGCAUAAAGGAUCGCGUAUGUAGGAAUGGCAAUGGGGCAGUGCAGGUUAAGCUAUGCUGUAUGAAUCAGGUUUUAAGUUAUGUGGUGUGGUGCGGGUGUGGUGAGGGUUAAAGUAAUUUAUUUUUUAAAUGGUGUGAUGGGGUAUAUGCGGAUUUGAAUUAACAAAAAAAAUUAAAAAUUAAUAUUGAUCUCGCAAAUAUACAAAAAUUAUAUAUGUUCUUUAUUUAAAUUUUAUGAUACUUAAAAUUACAUGCAUAACAGUACAAAUAAAUAAUUUUAUAGUAGCUUUUUUAAUAUCUCUAUUCAUUUGAAUAAAAAUAUGAUAUUUGAUCAUUACUUGUACGCGUUAUACUUUUUAACAAUUUUUUAAUGAAAAAUGACAUAAUAUAAAUUAGUUAUUAUUUUCUAGUGGUAGAUUUAAAAAUAUUAUGAUUUAUAAUAGAGCUAUAAAUUUUUCAAAAAAAAAAAAGAAAAAAAUAAAAACAUGAGGCGGUGUGGUUAUGAGUGUGGGACGAGUUUAUUCAGGUUUAAAUGUGAUGCGGUGCUUUUUUAAAACUUAUAGGUUUAGUAAAAACCCGCGUUUUAAAAACCCUAGGCGUACGCAUCUACCAAAUAGGGCAUUUAACAAUUACGGAUGUUCCUUUCCUUACAAACACAGGCUACAUAAAGGAUGGCUGGCAUACGUUUGCUUACUUAAAAGGAUAUUUAACCUUUUAUUGCACAUAAAAGACUGGUCAGUUUUCCCAACAAGUGAGUUACAGAUUAAACUUAAUAAUACUUGACAGUAAAUCAAAUGGGAAACGACUUGUGUUAAUAUUUUUAAAGUCCAAGGCAAAUAAACAAGCACCGAUCAAAUGGGAGAACGACUUUGUUCAAAUUAUUUUCAAGUUCAAGGCAAAUAAACACGCAUUGGCAUCAAGGCAUCUGAAAAAAAGGAUAGUUAACAUCUCAUCAACAAAUACAAAAAUAAUACAUAAAAUAAACUAGUCACCACAUUUCUUGAAAAAACACAAAUUCAAGCAGCAGCCGGAAUUAAUCAGAGGAAGCAAAGAAAAUAUUUCAGAGGAUAUUGCUCAACCAAAGAUAGAGACAGAUCACAAAAGAAAAAGCAGUCCAAGUCCACCUCCUAGUCAACCAUUAGACUCAACCACACCAUUUAUAUCAAAAAAGAAAUUAACAUGGACCAGCUAUACAAUAUAACAGCAUAAAAAUAUACAUAUCAAAAUUUAAAUAAAAAGUGUAGCCAAUAAUACAAACAGGACAUGGACACACAAAGGACCAUUUGCAACUAUAACCCAUACACUGAAUCAACACCACUGAAAUGCUUCAAACCACAGAAAGCACUGAAAGGAAUACUUGCAAAAUAAUAAAUCUAGCACCAGCAACGAUUGCAAAAAAAUGUAACUGUGAAAUUAAAGGGUCAAGAGACUAGCAGAAGCUGAAUAAUUGAUAUAGCUUCGAAAACAUGUAUGAAAGCAUGUACAGAGAGCAAGCAUUUCAAGCAUCAACAAAAAUAAGACUCCCCAUUGUCAACAGCUUCAUAAUCAUACUACUAACUACUGAAUGCAGAAAAUAAAGAUAACAAAAAGACCAUAUCCGAAAUUACAGAAAAGAUAGAGGUGACUAUAUGCACCGGAAACACAGACAACUUCAAAGCUAAAACAAACAGAGGGUAGAGGGUUUCACAGCAAAUGAUCAACGACCACCGCUAGUGCAUUCACGAGCAAAGUGCCCGUCUUCACCACACUUGAAGCAACCGCCUCCGCCACCACCGCCUCCGCCGGAGUACCUACCACCACCGCCGCCGCCGCCACCCUGGCUGCAGUCUCUGGCAAAGUGUCCAGACUCGCCACACUUGAAACAACCACCUCCUCCUCCACCACUGCCUCCACCAUAACCACCACCACCUCCUCCAUAGCCGCCACCGCCUCCCCCGUAACCACCACCACCUCCUCCACCAUAACGACUGCCACCUCCAUACCCACUGUCACCACCACCAUAACCACGGCUACCACCUCGGUCACCACCGUAACCACCACCACCACGGCCUCCUCCGCCUCCACCGCUACGUGACCCACCAGAAACAGCAGCACCAUCAGGUCCAGUAACAUCAACAGCCUUAGUACGUCCAUCACUACCAUUCUCAACCUCAUACUCGACAGACUCACCUUCAGCUAAACUCCUAAAACCCUCAGAUCUGAUACCUGAUUGAUGAACAAACAGAUCAUCACUUCCAUCAUCAGGAGUGAUGAACCCAAAACCCUUUUGGUCAUUGAACCACUUCACAGUUCCCUUAGCCCUCUGUCCACCUUCUUCCGCCAUUUUUCUCUCACAAACACAAACCCUAAAAACCCAAACACCCCCUUUGCCUUUGCGUGUUCCCUUUGGUAUUGUCACCCUGCUCUUUUUUCACUAACAGAAGCCUCGGCUAUAUAGUGAGAGACUGAGUGACACGUUUACAUUUUCUGGGGCCCACGAUAUAGUGGGCCAUGAUAUUUGUGCUUGGGAGAAUGAAAUCGACGGUAGGAUAUUUUCGAGGUGAACAAACGGUCAGGGUCUAAUAAGGAUAAGACCAAUGGUCAAAUUUCAUUUAAUUGGACGAUUUUGUCCUACUUGUUGAAUGAGUAGAAAGAGUGAACUAUGUGGAUUAAUGGGGGUAGUAUAGUCAUUUCAAUAUGAUCAUGCAGAAAACGUUACUACUCCUUCCGUGUAGCAGUCUAAAAGCUGUCAGUCAAAAAUAAAUCAAACAAAAUAGACAUGUAACGUAAAGCACACCCCAAUUUCAAAUUAUUUCUCUUCACUUUUAAAGUUAAUUAUAUUUUUCUUAAUAUUUUACAUUUAUUUUUAUAUAUUCAUGAUAUGAAAUAUAAUGUUCACUUUAGAAAAAAAUAGAAUUAUAUGAAUUUAAGUUAUCAAUAAAGUAAAAAAAAUAAAAAUUGUUGUGGAUAAUUAAAAAAAUGUCUGUUUAACGUAAAGCAUACUUUCUAUUUAAAAUUUUUGGUCAUAAGUUUUAAAGUUGAUUAUUUUUUUUCUUAAUACUCCAUUCAUUUUUAUAUAUUCAUUAUAUUUUGAUGUUCAUUUUAGAAAAAGAGAGAAGUGUUCUAGUGAUAAACAUCCACGUCACAUUUUAAGAUUGUGAAUUUAAAUUAUCAAAAGAGUAAAAGGAUAAAAAUUUCUAUGGAUAGUUAAAAUAAUGUCCAUUUUAACAUAAAGCACACUCCGUAUUUUAAAUUAUUUCUCAUAAAUUCUAAAAUUAAUUAUUUAUUUUUUAAUAUUCCAUCCAUUUUUAUAUAUUCAUCAUAUUAAAUAUGAUGUCCAUUUCAAAGAAAGAUAGAAAUUGUUGCAAUGAUAAGCAUCCACGUCAUAUUGGAGCAAAUCUCAAAAUGUGACACGGAUGGUUAUUGUUAGAGCCUGACGGAGAUGCUUAUCAUUGGAGCAAUUCUAUUUUUGUUUAAAAUGGACAUUAUAUUUAAUAUAAUGAAUACAUGAACAUAAUUAACUUUAGCACUUAUGAGAAAUAAUUUGAAAUAGGGGUAUAUUUUACAUUAAUAUGGAUAUUUUUUGAACUAUCCAGAAGAGUUUUUAUCUUUUCUGUCCUUUAGAUAACUCAAAUCCACACUCCCAAAAUGUGAUGUGAGUACUUAUUAUCGGAACAAUUCUAUCUUUGUCUAAAAUAAACAUCAUAUUUAAUAUAAUGAAUACAUAAAAAUAGAUGGAGUGUUAAGACAAAAUAAUUAACUUUAGAACUUAUGAGAAAUAAUUUGAAAUAGGGGGUAUGCUUUACGCUAAAUGGAUAUUUUUUAAAGGGAAAAAUUUCAAAAAUAGCAACAGUAAAGCCUUAAAAUUAUAAUUUUUAUAGCAACAGUUUUAAAAUUACAAAAACUAGCAAUAUGUAUUUUAUAUUUUAGUAAAAGGUUGCUAUAAAAACACAUAUACAAAUAUGUUAAGACGUUCCUUAUUAAACUCUAAUCAGGUAGAGUUAAUUAAGGGAUUAAACAGUUCCUUAUUUUAAGCUACAUUUAAUUAACAGACUCCUUUACCUUUUAUGACUCUUUUAAUUUUACCUUAACCGUUAAUAUACAUAUUCAAAUUCAAAAAUCGUUUUCCAUAUUUAUCACGUAAAAGCAAAUUCAAAAAAAAAAGUUGAGAGAAUGAAAUAUCGUUGAUGAACAUCUGUUUUUUACGAAGAAUAUUUGAAUAAACAAUCUGACAAUUACAGAUAUGGACAAACAAACUUUGAGAUCAUAUUUAUGGGAUUGCGGAAAUAUUUUGAAGGUUAGUAACAAUAUGGGUUAACGAUCAUGAAUUAAAAAUUUUAGAUCGUAUUUUGAAUUUUAUAAGUUAUCGGUAAAAAUUUCGUUAUCGACAUUUUGUUUUCAAAAUAAUUUUUUUCCUUGUCGUCAUGUAUGUAUGAAACUAAAUUGCAGUUCUUAUACGCUAAAUUUGAAAUUUAGUCGACGAUAAAUAUUAUUCGACUAAAAUAUUAUUUUUGCGUUGGAAUUUAUUUUUCUGUUGUGGAUGUACAAAUUAAUUAAUUUUAUUCAGUACAUAUUAUAUAAUUGAAUUUGUAUUUAAUGUUUUCUAGUGUUCUGGACAUUGAUGAUGGGAAGCAUACAUGUUCUCAUUAAACACACUGGUAGUAUGAACAACAUUGAACAACAAUAUGAAGAUCACAUCAGUGAUGCGAUAUCGUUGAGUAUAAAUGCUUCGUAAAACCAACUCUACGCACUACUAGCUUCGUACAUUGAUGUUGAUUUGACAUGCAAAAGCAUUCAAAUUGAAUAUCAGUUAACAGAUAUUGAAGGUAAAAUACGUGUACGUAAUGACAUGGAUUUGAAGGUCUAUAUUAUGCAGAAAAGGGAGAUAAAGAUAAUGAGUGCUUUGCCUUUGUAUAUAAGUGUUUCUAAAAAGGAUAGUGUCAACACAUUUGUAAGUUCAUCAAUAUGUAAUGUUGAGAGUAUGAAUUUGUCUAUCAUUGUGCGUAAUGUGGUAAAUACAAGUACUGAAAGAGCAUUGAUAGUUAUUACUUCAGAUGAAUGUUUGGAUAUAUCUGAGAUGGAUACAAUAAAGUAAUUAUCUCGGACCCACAUAACAAACAUAUUGUGGUUGAACAAGUUUAUACCACGAAAAGGGUGUUAAAAUUUGUGAUGAAGGAUUACACGACUCGAGAGAAGUUCCAAUCACGAUCUGUUAGAUCAAGUAAAACCUGAUAAGUUUGUCAUGUAUAUAAAUUUUUUUGUUUCCAUGUUGGUAAAUUGUAUUGCAGCAUAUGCAUUUACAAUAUACAUAUAUAUUAAAUUUUUUAUUUUUUCGUGUUAGUAAAUUAUAUUUCAGCAUAUUUUUUUUAUAGUUAUGCAUUGUUGUGCAGAUCCAGUAAUUGUGAUUUUUUAUUCCGUGCAUCUGAUAUCAACAAAUCUAGAAUGUUUUGUGUUAGAGAAUUCUUACCAGAACACACAUGUCUGAUAAAGGAUAAGAUUUAUCCUAAGUUUCAUGCUCUAGUAAGUUGAUUAGAGGUAUAGUGAAAUCAAAGUUUAAAAGCCACAAAAGAAAAUACAAUGCGACUGAUAUCAGAAGUGACAUGAAGGAAGACCUGGGUAUUGAUUUGACAUAUAUUAUGUGUUGGCGAGCUAAGGAACAAGCACUUGAAGAUUUAAGAGGAAAAUCAUCGGCAUCAUACGAAAAACUAUCUGCAUACACAUAUUUUGAACACUACUUACCCAGGGUCACAAAUACGAAUGAAAAAGCAUGAAGAUAAUGAGUUUUUGUAUAUUUUUGUUGCACUAACUACAUUCAUACAAGGGUUCGAUUACUGUAGACCUGUGAUAGUUGUUGAUGCAAGUUAUCUCAGAGGACUGUACAGUGGUACAUUUGUAGCUGUCUAUACCAUGAAUGGAGUCGGUAAGCUAUUCUCGACAUGUAUUUGACUCUAUAAACAACUGUAUAUGUUUAUAGAAUAUAUAUAUGCAGCAUAUUUAUCUUUGUACUAUAUAUUUCUUAUGUUUUAGGAUAUAUGUAUUUGUAUUAACGUUUUGAAUUAUGUUUAUGAAAUAAAUGACAGUCAGAUAUUUGGCAAGAGAUAUGUGUUUAUAGAGUACUUAUUUAAUUUCUUUUUGGUGUUGACUGGGAGAUAGAUAUGAUUCCAGCUGUCUGUAUAUAUAAUAUAGCUAUGAAUUUUGUUUAUGUGUUAAAUGACAAUUAAACUUGUUGCCAGUUGUAUGUAUUUAUAAAAUAUAUAUUAUUUUUUUAUGUCUAUAUAUAACGUACUAUUAAUGUAUUUGUUCCAUGUUCGGGCCAUAUAUUUUCAUUGGCAUUUAGAAUACUAGAUUCUGAAAAUGAUGCAUCCUGGACAUGGUCUUUUGAGAAUUUAAAGGAAGCAUACGGUGAAAGAGAACAUAUGUAUGUGGUUUCCAAUCAUAAUGCAAGCAUUAUAAAAGUUGUUGCUGAUGUGUAUAAUAAUGUAUCACAUUACGCUUGUAUGUGGCAUUUAGGGGAUAAUGUGAAAUUUUUUUUAGAAAGUCACAUGAUGCAUUGUCGAAAAUCUUCUAUACCAUGACAAAAUCAUACUCAAAGUCUGAAUAUAAUCAAUUAAUGGAUAAAGUGGAGGUAGUUGAUGUUAGGGUGAAGAAUUACUUGGAAUUAGCGGGAUACGAUAAGUGGGUUAUGUCAUAUGCAACAGUUCAUAGGGGAUGGACCUUAACAUCAAAUAUUGCAAAGUUAAUUAAUGUCGCAUUGGUAUCAAUUGGAGAACUUCCACUAUACGAUUUUUUAGAAGAAGCUAGAUUGAUGUUUGGUAGAUGAAACUGUGAAAACAGACCGGAGGCAUUGUACACACGGACGAAUCUUAUUGAAAAAUUUUAAGCAAUUCUCCAACAGAAUGAAGCAAAGUGUACACAUAUAAAGGUAUGAUGAAAUAGAUGUAAUCAUUAAAAGUUAUCUGUUCUUGAAUUUUGAUCUGUUGUAUGAAUCAUAUCUUCAUUUACAAAUUAGUAAAAAUUUAACAAACGUAUGUGCUGUAAUGAAAAAAAUAUGUAUAUCAUACGUAGACAUAUUAAUAUACAUUUGCUGCUUUGAAAAAAUACAUUUGCUAAACUGUAUCAUAUUGCACUGCCAACUUUUUUUUCAAUAUUUUUUAUGUAUUAAUAUUUUCAGGUUAUACCAGCGUCAGAGUACGUCUAUACAAUCUACGACAAGGAGAAAUAUUUUAUUGUUUGCCUAAAGGAAAAAAAAUGUUCUUGUCAUGUAUUCCAAUUGAAUGAGAUACCAUGUGUCAUGCUUGUGUUAUACUUGAUAGCAAGAAUCUUGAAAAAAGACCAUAUUGCUCUAAUCUGAACAAGCCAAAAACUGUGUUGAGAACGUAUGAUCGUUCUGUAUAUCCUCUACCACAUAAAGAUGACUGGGCGAUACCUCAGGAAAUAUUGAAGGAUGUAGUUUUACCCCCGAAAUACAAGCGGCCCCCUGGAAGAUCUGCAAAGAAGGAGUGUGGUAAAUCUGGAAGAUAUAUGUUCGAAAAGAAAAGCAAAAAUUAUUGUAGUUCAUGUGGACUAAAAGGUCACAAUAGGCGUUCUUGUAGGAAAUACAACAAAUGAUAAGUUUGAUCAUGUUUUUAGUUAAAAUUCAGUUGCUUUAUUUUUUUUUUUCAAUUUGAAUUGUGUCAUUUUGAAUUUUGAACCUUUUAUUGAUAUUGAUAAUUUGUUACAGUUCAGAAAAUGCAACUUUAUGAACUUGAACUUGUUGAUUUGUUAUCAUACAAUACAAACUGAAAUGAACGUUAUCAUUUCAGUUUAUUAAGUAUUUGAUUUGUCAUAGUUCAAUACACAUUGUUGAUCAUUAUGUUUGCAUUAGACGUAAAUAAAAAUACAAACUGAAAUGCACUUUAGUAUUAACAAUAAUGUGUUUCUUUCAAAAGUACAAAUGGAAAUCUGAAAAAGAAACAUGUCUGUAUGUUUAUUAAGUAGACACAUAUAUAUAUGGAAAUCAAAUAAAAAUAUAUAUGUAUUAUAUACGAUAAUGUGCAACUGAAUGACAAAUGUAUUUUAAAAAUACAUUUGCUCAAUGUAAUGAUCAUAUAUAUGUAAAAAAAAAUACAUAUGCUUACUGGAAUGACAUAUUUAUGUUAAGAAUAUAUUUGUUCACUGUAAUGGUAAUAUGUAUUUUAAAGAGAAACGACAUCUUUUUCCCCAUGAACUUGUCCUCCAAACUCACUUUAGCACUUAAACUUAACUUCCGUUUAUUUACCCCCCNNNNNNNNNNNNNNNNNNNNUUAACAUCUUUAAAGUGUAUUUGUUUGACCCCUAAAGCUAACAUGACAUUUUUUUAAAAAAAAGGAGCGCGUUUAUUUAUUAAAAAGGAAAAAAAAACCGCAUUUUUUAAUUAAAAACUGAUAUAAUCCCACUUUUUAUUUUAAUAUAUAUUAAAAAAAAAUUCUUCUUCUUCAAUGCCCCCACCCCCCUCAUGGCAACCCACACCUACACCCUACACUCUUUUCUUCUCCAAUUGAUCAAGAACAAUAAUACUCAUUUUCUUUAAACCAUCAAUUCCUCCAUUAACAAUCUCAUCCAUUUUCUUCAACCAUUAAUUUCUCCAUUAGCAACCUCAUCCAUUUUCUUCAACCAUUAAUUUCCUCGUUAACAACUUCACCCAUUUUCUUCAACCAUUAAUUUUUUCAUUAACAAUCUCACACACUUUCUCCAUCAAUACUUUCAAGAUGGUAAUUAAUCGAACACAAGAUGUAAUGAUUAAGAUAUAAUAAUUCAAUAUUCUUAUACCAAAAAAAGAAAAAAAAUCACCCUUCAAUUGAAAACUUUUUAGAAAAUAGAGUUUUUUUUUUUUUGACUUUGCUUUUUUCUGAUUUUAGAAAUCAUAAUUAACAAACUAUGUGAUUGGUCUGAGAUCAUCAUAGCGAUUAUGUUGUUUCAAAACCAAAUCUUCAGCCCUCACAAUCAAANNNNNNNNNNNNNNNNNNNNNNNNNNNNNNNNNNNNNNNNNNNNNNNNNNNNNNNNNNNNNNNNNNNNNNNNNNNNNNNNNNNNNNNNNNNNNNNNNNNNNNNNNNNNNNNNNNNNNNNNNNNNNNNNNNNNNNNNNNNNNNNNNNNNNNNNNNNNNNNNNNNNNNNNNNNNNNNNNNNNNNNNNNNNNNNNNNNNNNNNNNNNNNNNNNNNNNNNNNNNNNNNNNNNNNNNNNNNNNNNNNNNNNNNNNNNNNNNNNNNNNNNNNNNNNNNNNNNNNNNNNNNNNNNNNNNNNNNNNNNNNNNNNNNNNNNNNNNNNNNNNNNNNNNNNNNNNNNNNNNNNNNNNNNNNNNNNNNNNNNNNNNNNNNNNNNNNNNNNNNNNNNNNNNNNNNNNNNNNNNNNNNNNNNNNNNNNNNNNNNNNNNNNNNNNNNNNNNNNNNNNNNNNNNNNNNNNNNNNNNNNNNNNNNNNNNNNNNNNNNNNNNNNNNNNNNNNNNNNNNNNNNNNNNNNNNNNNNNNNNNNNNNNNNNNNNNNNNNNNNNNNNNNNNNNNNNNNNNNNNNNNNNNNNNNNNNNNNNNNNNNNNNNNNNNNNNNNNNNNNNNNNNNNNNNNNNNNNNNNNNNNNNNNNNNNNNNNNNNNNNNNNNNNNNNNNNNNNNNNNNNNNNNNNNNNNNNNNNNNNNNNNNNNNNNNNNNNNNNNNNNNNNNNNNNNNNNAUAUUUAUAUAAAUAUAUAUAUAUAUAUAAAAAUAAUGUAUAGGAAAUUAUUUUUUUAAAAAAAAUAGUAAUUUCUUACGUGACAAUGACGUGGCUCCGAUGUGGCAUUGACGUGGCGUUGAUGUGUAGGUGAGUGUAACACACUCUCCGUUAUGAGAGUGGUAUUCAGUUUUGAGGGGUAAAAAUAAUACACUUUAAAGAUGUUAAGGGGGUAAAUAAAUAGAAGUUAGUUUAACUGUUAAAGUGAGUUGAGCGGACAAGUUCAGGGAGGAAAUCAUGUCUUUUCUCAAUUUUUAAAUACAUAUUUUCAAUGAAAUGUGCACGUGUAAAACAAUAAUUUGUUCACUGAAAAUGAAUAUGAAUGGUAAAAGUACAAAUGUUCACUUGAAUAAGCAUAUGUAUGUUAAAAAUAAAUAUGUUCACUGGAAUAAGCAUGUGUGUUAUUAUAAAUAUACACAUACAUUAUUAAAAAAUACAUAUGAAAAACUGCAUAGAACAGUUUAUAAAGACAUAUACUAACCAUGAAAAAUUGGAGAUUAAACGAUUAAACAUCAAAAAAUUAACAUAACAACUAAUGAACAUUGAAAUACCAUCUUUGCCCAUUAAAAUGAAAUAUUUCAAAAAAUAAUAUUUAUCCACCUAAAUUUAACUGUCGUUAACUUCAACAAAAUAAAAUACAAAUCAAAUGUCAUACACUUCUGUGCGUUCUAUUAACUCAAUUUUUCAAAGAGGCCUCAUUGGUGCUUCAUCACUUUGUGCCUCCGCUUCGGUCUUUCAAGUAGCAUAAUCCCGCAACAGUGAAGCGUAUCUUAUGCAAAUAAGAUCUGAUCAAAAUCAGCAUAUGAAACACCUUCACCAAAAAUAAGGCACUCGGCAUACGUAAUCAUAUAUAAGCCACAGUCUCUGCAAAUACAUGCAUUAAUAAGUAAGUAGUUGUUACAAGUUUAAUACAUAUGUAUAUAUACAAGUAAUAUGUGUACUCAUUACUUACAAGCUGUCACUUGGUUGUUGAGGCAUAUUCUCCACAACUGAAAUACCAAAUGGAUCCAUCCUAUCAUUCAAUUUGUAAUUAGGAUGAUUGUCAAUUUCAAUACUCUUAUUCUCGUAGAAUUUACAUGCAAUGAGACAUAUAGGUAUAACCUUUGCUAACUUUUCAAUUUCACUAAGCACCACAGCAUCAUAACCAGCAGCUGACAAAGAAUCAUAUACAUAUAUGCACCUAUGAUUGAACGAUAUAACCGCAAGAACCUAAUGAUGUUUGGACUUUACAUGAACAGGAAUGAAAAUAUGGUCAACCGUAUGCCAUGGCACUGUAGCAUGCAUGCGGAAUCCACUUAUGUACUUAUUCAGAUGGUAUUCCUUUCCACCAGCAUUAAGAGAUGUAUCAUCUACUUUAUACACAUAAAAAAUCCUUCUAACAAUGUUCAUGAAAUUGUAGUCUAUAGUGCUGAACGUAUAUGAGCUAUUGGAAUCAUACUUAGACUUCUUUCGCAGAUAAUAGAAGCAUACAUCAAUUUGCUGCAUUAUAAAUUAAUUUCAUACUUAAUAGUAAAUAAAAAAAUUAAGAUUCAAAGAAUCCAACACUACAUAUGUAAAUAUCAUGUACUUAUCAGUGAACAUAUAACAUACUUCAUAUGCAUAUACAAAUAUACAUUUUCAACUAUAACAAUAUAAGCAGUUACAAAUAUUCAUAUGUAACACAGGACUAAUAUUUAUUUCAAUAUACAACUCAUCAACAUAAUAAUACAUCACUUACCUCAUCUGACCAUGUCUGGCUAGGAGUACCCAUAAUGUAGACCCAAUUCUUGUCUUCAACAUAUAAAACUCCAAAACUGGUAAGCGGUAUUUUUGCCUUGCCCUUCAAAAAAUUAUCUUCUUUGCUGUUUUUGUUUAUUCAUCAUACAUAUUAGUAGAUCAUUUACAUAAUCUUAAAUUACAAAAUAUAGUACAAAUAAGUUGUAACCUAUAUACCUCUUCGAAUGAUAGUUAAGAAGAUCCAAUGAAAGUCACGUCAUGAACUUGUCGGUGCUCUUAGUGUCUUCUAUAUCAUUAAUAGGAUGAGAUAUGAAGGGAUGUUUCUGAUCGAAUGUUCUCCGUUGCGCUUUUAUGCAGAAACAAAAGUUUAAUUGUAUGUCUUAAAACUGUCACAUAUGUAUUUAUGAAGUACAUAUUAACAAAUGUAUUUGUUACUACUUCAUUGUUACAUAUCUAAGCUAUCAAACUUCAACAUAAACAAAUUGUCAUCAAAAUAUAACCAGUUCUCAUUAAAAACAAAUACAACUGAUCCAAAAAAAAUUAAACAUCAAAAUACAAAGAAUACUUCAUUAUCCAUUACAAAAGAAUAAUAAUUUUAAUAUAUAAAGUAAACAAAUACUAAAAAAAUUAUAUUAAAAGUACUAAUCAUCUGGUGAACCAAAGUUCAUUGUGAAUGGUGACUCCUUGUAUCUAGAUGGUCGCCUAAUCCUUGAAACAGGCAUUGGCGUUUGUUGUGCUUCAUUUGCCGAUGAAUGUACAAUUAUACUUCGUUCAAGAUUGACAUACGCAAUAAGACUACGAAGAAGAUCUGAGAGUCAGGAAAAUCUUAAUCAGCAUUGCUUUCAUCAUUUACUCUGUCUUGAAUGUGAAAUGGAGUCUUGUGUUGCUGAUCUAACUUUGAUUUAUCCACAUCAUUAACCUCUGACUCAUCUUCUGUUGGUUUAUUUAAAUUCUUCUCGACAACAACUUCUUCGUUCUGUAUAAAUUGUAUAAAGAUCUAGCAAGGUUGGAUUUUCAAACAAAUAAAUAAAAGAAAACAAUGCACGUAUUUAAGAUACCUUGCACUCAAUUUCGACUUCAGCAUUGGCUUUAUUUAUGAAGUCAAGAUCAAUGCUUCUAAGGACGUCAUCUGAAAAUGUGAAUUGAGAUUCUGAUAUUUGUGCUUCACCAAUACUUUCAUCAAUCGAUUUUGUGUUCUACACAACAUGUUCAUACAAAUUAAAUAAAAUAAUAUUUUUCAAUAACUAAACAACUAACCUAGAUAUAUUCAGCAUACCAAAGAGACACAUACAUCUUUUGCUUCAUGCACUUCUAUAUCAGUUUUUUCCUUUCAAAAAAAGAAAUAAUAAAAAAUUAAAACAAUUAAUAUUCAUCAAUAUAAGUAUACCUAACAAAAAAAAAUUGAUCUAUCGGAACAUCAUCAUUAUCCUCAUGAUACCCAUCAAUCUCAUUAUACACAUCAUUCAUAUUGUUGCUUUGAUUGUCUGCCAUCUCUGUAGUCACCUUUUUUAAUGUUGUUUUAUGUAAUGAUAAAUUAGAAUUGUAUAUAAUAAAAAACUUUACAAUAAAUGUACGCAAUUUACUUACCAAUGUGCCUUCAAGAUUCUGAUUAAACUCGUAAUCAAAUUUUGGAGUCGCUUGAAGGGAUGAUGUAUUGUUAACAUUUUCAUCCGUUGGUGGCUGGUCAUAUUCUCUGUCUUUUGCUUGUUUCUUUGCGUUUACAACAUGAAAAUGCAAAUAAAAAAUAAAUAGUAAACUAACUAUUUAGUUUAGCUCUGCAUAUGUAUAUAUGAUUAUACAUAUCAUAAACUGAAAAAUACAUAUUAAAUAUAUGACAAAGAGAAUGAGUUCUCCAUAUUUCAUUAUUAAAAAUACAAAAUCUGCAUGCUGAAUUUGUAUUUAACAUAACUAAUGUAACAUAUGACUAUGUAUUUAUUAUUUUACUUAUUGUCAUUUAGAAAAAAAUAUAUUUUAUCUAAAAAAACAGACUCAACAAACUGUAUAAAUUCAUAUGUUGUGUAUGUAUAUAUGUUGUAUUUUUAUUCAACCACACUAUAUAUAUUUGUUUAAUAUGUAUUUAACCUAAUAAGUGUAUAUUUAUAAAAAUCGUUUACAUCAGAAUUGUUGUACCUUGAUUUCAUUAAUUGCAUUCAUGAUUUGAUCACACCUGGAUGAUAGUAGGCCACACAUAUCAUUAAACUCUUUCCAAACCUGAAUUCAAAGAAAUAAUUAGAAAUACAAAAAUAAAUUAAUCAAAAACUUAAACAGAAAUUACCUUAUCACGAAACUUAUCAAAGACUUUCUUCGAGACAACGACGUCUUCAACUUCAAAACUGAAGGAAGAUAGAGCAGGUGACUGAAUCGGAAUAGUUUUUUUACUAUCAGGCCGAUUUAUGUCUUUCCUAUUUCCACGCAGCGUAGCUUUUGUUUGAAUUGACUUGUGAAUUGGAGUCCUCACAGAAGGCAUCUUUGCAGUACGGGGUGGAGGGGUCCUUUUUUGUGGCUGCUCAUCUGUACCUUUAGAAUGUGGCUUCAAUUUUUUCUUUGUGGGUGAAGCUGAUGAAUCGACAUGAUAUUUUUUUUUUGUGGUUAACUGUUUUUGUCUUUGUGGAGGAUCUUGAAAGUCAUUAUUCGAAUCAAUGUCAUCUUCAUUAUGACUUGCAGCUCCAGGAACAAGCUUCUUUGAUAUUUGAAACGCUGAAAUCUCCUUUCUUAUUGGCUCGAUAUUUUUAAAAAGAACCUACAAUUUAAAUUAUAUAAAGAACAAAAUAAUUUAGAUGCUAAAAUUAAUGACAUUAUAAAACAGGUAAUCAUGAUCCAUACCCAAAAAUGAAUAAACAAUGACAAAUGAUAUUUUGUAUAUAUAUAUAUAUAUACCAGAUCAGAAAAAGUAUUUAAAAAAUAAUCAACAUCACAUAAAAAAGAUAAAAAGUAAAACUAACGUUGUCAUCUGUAUCAUGAAACAUACUUCCCAUAAGAGUUUCAUAUUGUGGGUGAGGAGAAUUUGUCUUCCAAUUUAAAAGACGUGGAAUUUGAGAGUCCACCUUGGAAGCAACAUUACGAGGCACAUUUGAACAACACUCGUACAAUCAAAUUUGAAUGGCCAGUGGCAUUUCAAGAAGCAUAUAAAACUUUUCUUUCGAUUUCAACUUUUUAUGCAAGCUUCUAGUUAAUUCUUCAAAGGCAACCGAUCCCCAAGGUUAAUCACUGUAGCGAUCACUCUCAACCAAAUCAAAGUGUAGGCGUGGAAUAGCUACGGUAUCAACUGAGGAUAGUAAGAAUGCGUGAAUAAAAUACAAAUUGGUAAACUUUAGCGCAUCUUCAUCAUUAUCAUUCCCUCAAAUUUUGUCAGAAACAUCCGCAAAUAACUUUUUUUUCUGUAUAAAACUCUCACCAUCAAAAUAUUGAUCAAUAAUUCUGUUUGGACGCUCCUCGUCAAACACAAAAUCAUCCCUGUUUAUAACACAAUUCAAACCAGUCACCAAAGCAAACUCUCUAAGAGUGAAAUGAAAAAUUGUGCCCUUUGCAUGAAUGACUAUGACACUUGUAGAACUUUCCUUCGUUUCAAGUGACAUAAUGCAUCUCCCUAAUUGUGCUUGGACGACACAAUCUUUCUUCUUCAUGAAGAAACCAAAUAUACUUUUAGUACGAAACAUCUUGUACUGAUUCUUCGUUAACAUUGAUUUAAUACGGUCUUCAAUGUCGUUGACCAUAUGACAUUCUAUAUGAGGAGCAAAUUGGGGCAAUACUCAUGCCCUGUAUAUUUGAUCAUGCAUGACCUAUGCAGCAAAAAAAAAUACAAUACUAUGUCAAAACAGUAUCUUAUAUGUAUUUAUGAAAUAUAUCUUAAAAUUAGUAUGUACAGAGUGUCUUAUAUGUAUUUAUGAAAUACAUCUUAAAGUUAGUUUAUACAUUCUAUACAUAAAUCUAUCAUAUGUAUUUUGUGAAUACAUCGCUAGUCAGUAUCUAAGUUAUCAAAACAUCUAAAUUCAAAAAUUGUCUUCACCUGAUGAAUAACAAAUACAAUUAUGUACGUACAAACUACAUCCAACAGAGAAGAACUACUUAUCACAUUCAAAUUCCAAUGACUACCAAAUACAACUUAACAUCAAAUACAAUUCUUAGUUGUUAACAUAAAAACACAUAUCUAAGCUGUAUAUAUUUUCAAAAUACAUAUUACACUUAUAUUUCAACAAACACAUAUGUAUUUUCUGAAUACAUGAAUUGUACAAAUUUAAUUAACAAGAAAAGAUAUAACAACGAAUAUACGAAUUAUAUAACAAAUGUAUUUUCAGAAUACAUAUACACUUAUAUAAAAAUAUAUAUACAAAAACCUUGCCAGUAAUUAAUACAACUAUCUCACACAAAUGUAAUAUGUAUUUUAACAUUACAUAUGCUCACUGGAGUGGUCUUAUGUAUGUAAAAAAUACAUUUCAACAAACAAGAACUACAUAUCACAUUCAAAAUCUAAUGACUACCAAAUACAACUUAACAUAGAAUACAACAAAUGUAUUUACAGAAUACAUAUUACACUUACAUAACAAUACAUAUAUAAAUUCUUGCCAGUGACAAAUACAAAUAUCUUACACAAAUUUUAGAUAUCAAAUACAUAUUUAAAAUAUAUUGUAUGUAACAUAUACAAUUCAUAUCAAUAACAAAAUUUUGGAAUAGCACCAUACCUCCUCCACUUUCUCUUGUUCAGAUUCAUAAUUUAAUGCAACGAGACUUAUUAUUUUACUAGAUUCUCUUUUUUCAUCCGAUUUUCUUUUUUCACUGAUUUUUCAACUUUUGUGGGAUUUGGGGAUGAACAUUUUGUUAAUGCUUUUCCUUUCAUUAUUUUCACAAUUUUUUUCGGAUCGUUACGGUAUUUCGAUCUUACCUCUUCAAUGAUAACACCUUCCUUAGAUAGAAUAUUAGUAAAACCCAAGUUAAAUUCUUCGUCUUGUGUUAAACCAAGACUAAAUGAUGGUACUUCAUCAAAAACUAAAUUCUUCGAUUGAUUUUCUCUAAAUAAACUACUACGAUUUGUAUGUUGAGCCAUUAUACAUUAACUCGUACAAUUUCAACAUAAAAAUAAAAAAUUGAACCCAAAGAGACGUUCACAGACUAAUAUUGAAAAAAUGACGUCAAGAAACACUUUAACAGAAAUUAAAUGAAAAAAAUAACAUGCAUUAACUGAAAAAGAAACUUACCUUAAAAAGUGGAGAUGAUCUUUAUGAUCGUGGGAGUGAUAGGCGGAAUUUGAAAAAAAAAUAAAUGGGAAGUUGAGGGGAAGUGAAAUUGGUAAAGAAGGGUAAAAAUAAGGAUCUGAAAAAAUAUGGAGAGAUUUUACGCGCCUUUAAAAAAAAAAGGUAAAAUAAUGUUAGUUUUGUUAUUACUUGUAAUUUUGCCAAACUAUUGUUAUUUCUUGUAAUUAAUGUCUUAAGGUUGCUAGUUUAUGUAAUUUUUACUCUUUUUAACUGUCCACAAGAGUUUUUUUCUUUUUUGUCCUUUAGAUAACUCAAAUCCACAAUCUCAAAAUGUGACGUGGAUGCUUAUCAUUAGAGCAAUUCUAUCUUUGUCUAAAAUGGACAUCAUAUUUAAUAUAAUGAAUACAUAAAAAUGAAUGGAGCCUUAAGAAAAAAUAAUUAACUUUAAAACUAACGAGAAAUAAUUUGAAAUAGGGGGUAUGCUUUACGUCGAAUUAUAUUUUUUUUAACUAUUCACAAAAGUUUCUAUCUUUUUUGUCCUUUUGAUAACUCAAUUUCACAAUCUCCAAAUGUGACGCGAGUGUUUAUUAUUGGAACAUUUCUAUCUUUGUCUAAAAUGGACAUCAUAUACGUAAAGCACACCCCCUAUUUCAUAUUAUUUCUCACUAGUUGGAAUGUUGUUUAACUUUUUACUAAUACUCCAUCUAUUUCUAUAUAUUCAUUAUAUAAAAUGAUGUCCAUUCUAAACAAAGAUAAAAUUGCUCUAAUGAUAAGCAUCCAUAUCACAUUUUGAGGAUGUGGAUUUGAGUUAUCAAAAGGACGAAAAUAGGUAGAAACUCCUGUGGAUAGUUACAAAAAUGUCCAUUUUAACGUAAAGCAUAUCCCCUAUUUUAUUUUAUUUUUUCAUAAAUUUUAAAGUUAAAUAUUUUUUUCUUAAUACUCCAUUCAUUUUUAUAUAUUCAUUAUAUUAAAUAUGAUGUUCAUUUUAAACAAAGAUAGAAAUGCUUUAAUGAUAAACACCCGCGUCAUAUUUUGAGAUUGUGAAUUUGAGUUAUCAAAAAGGCAAAAAAGAUAAAAACUCUUAUCGAUAGUUAGAAACAUGAGAAAAAUUGAAGGAAAGGUGUCUUUUAAGUCUUGAAUGAAGGAUUGGUGACACUGACCAACUUAAAGUGUCAAACAUCAUUAGAAAACUUGAUUAAGUUAAUUGUGAACUUGAUUAAUAUUUUUAAAAUUUUCUAAUCUUUUAAAAAUACAAAUAAACCCAACCCACACCCCUCUUCAAUUCAAAUCAACACUCUCUCCUCUCUCUCGAGAGCUUUUCUCCUCUGCAACAUAAUACCCAUCUAUUCGAUUCAUAUUAUGGGCACCUAGAACCAUAAACAUGAAUCCAACAUAAGUCUACUGUUACAACAGAAUAUUUAUCUGGUGCCGCAGAUAAUGGAUCUGUUUAAACAGAUUGCUCUUAUGUUGCAUUCAUGUUCGCGUGCUAGCUAUUGUUGAAAAAACAACACACUAGCAGUUACCCAGAUGACAAAUUCAACUAAAAAGCAUAAUUUGACUUACCAAAGUCUCCUCUCAAGUAAAUACCAAAAUUGAAAGUGAUUUACGAAAUAAAAUUUGACAUAAGAAUUUGGUCAAAGAGCAACAGUUGGGGUAACAACAACAACAACGGUCAACAAGAAGAAUAUGAAGAUGAUAAUGAAGUAUAAGAUGAUGAUAAUGAAUCAGAAGAUGAUGAAUAAAGCAGCAGCGACAAUGAACAACAAAUAUCGCGAAGAGAGAGAAAAUAACAACGGAUGAGGAGAGAGAAAAACGUGUUUUUUUUCCUUCUUUUCCCGUUAUAUUAACUAACAUUUGAAUCAAAGUGUAAAUUUAAAAACUUGUGAGUUAUUUUGAAAAUUUCCAAACUUUCUUAAUCGGGUGAAAAUCGUUCUCCCCCCCCUCCCCCCAAAGUUUUUUUUAAAAAUCAACCUCCUCCGAACUAUCAACAAUAAUCAACCUCCCCCCUUUAUCCCAUGCAAUGUUCAUUUUGUCCUUGUAAUAUGAUAAUGUUUAUGGACAUUGCAUAAAAACAUAAACAUUAUCUUCUUUUUUAAAAAAAAAAUUCAUAUAACAAAAUCUUCAUAAAAAACAUAAACAUUAUCUUCUAGGAAAAAAAAAAAAGAAAUACUAAUUCAGUAUAUAAACUAAUGAUGAUCUUUAUGAAGUAAAUUAGCAUGAUGUAAGAAAAUUAGUUUUAUUAAUAAUAAUCAAAACUAUAAUAUUUAUUUUACAAGUGAAAAUAAUAAUUAAUACUAAUUUUAUAAACAUAUUUCAAUGCAAAAAAUACAAACAAUAAAUGAAAGAGAUAAGCCUUUAGUAAAACCUUUAUUACAUAAAAUAGAGACCACGUCAAAGGUGUUACGCCAUCUAAAAUGAUUGACAAAGGGUAUCACGUUAGCUAAAAAGAUUGAAAAAAAUACGCUAAAAUUUAAUUUAAGGGGUAAUAGGACCCCCGUGAAGUUGACCUGUGUCGUAGCAAAUUUAGUCAUAGUUCGAGGGUACUUGAUGUUUUUCUCGAAUAAAAAUAAGGUCAAAUUUUAAAGAUUAUAUUAUUUAUAUAAAUUAUAAAAUAUGUAAUACUCUAUUAAUGACAAUCACAUCUUAUUUACUAAUAUAGACAUUAAUGACAAUCACAUCUUAUUUACUGAUAUAGACAAUAGAUAAUAUCGUUUCUUAUCACUUGAUCCCCAUACUAAAAAUAGAAGUUUUAAUUUAUCUGCUCAAUUUGUGAAAUCAAAAGAAUUGUAUUUUAUUUUUUUCUACCAUUUUGUGUUAAAUAACUAUAUAAAGUAACAGUAUAGACAAAUUUAAAGUUUCAAAUUAUUAUUAAUAAGGUUAAUUUAGCAAAAUAUACAUCUAAGUAAAAUUUUCUUAAGGACUGUGUUAUAUCAACAAAAAGUCAAGUAAUACGAAACGAAUUUAGUAAGAGAGUGAUAAAACACGAAAAUAUGCGUAUAUGCAUGUACAUACAUAUGUAUAUAUACACAUUUAGGGGUGGGUUGUUUGGAAACAAGUUAUUUCGGGAUUAGUUAUUACAAAAUAAGUUGUAUUAAUAUGUAUGUGUGAUAAUUUAUCUCAUCACUGUGGUAUAAAUGGUGCGACAAAUAAUUUUGACACUACCUAAUACAUCUAAUUAAACNNNNNNNNNNNNNNNNNNNNNNNNNNNNNNNNNNNNNNNNNNNNNNNNNNNNNNNNNNNNNNNNNNNNNNNNNNNNNNNNNNNNNNNNNNNNNNNNNNNNNNNNNNNNNNNNNNNNNNNNNNNNNNNNNNNAGACAAACUUCGACGGUGGGGGGGGGGGGGAGGGGGAACUAUUUUCACCCUUCUUAAUCCAUAAUUAAGUAAUUGUCAUUUCUACUUAAUUAUUAAGACUCGUGUCACCCACGCCUCAUUUUAAAUCUCUUUCGUCAUCUAUGACCCAAAGCCCCUAGAAACAUGUGCAAAGCAUACCCCCUAUUUCAAAUUAUUUCUCAUAAGUUCUAUAGUUAAUUUUUUUUUUUUAAGACUCCAACCAUUUUCAUGGAUUCAUUUUAUUAAAUAUGAUGUUCAUUUUAGACAAAGAUAGAAUUGUUCCAAUGAUGAACACCCAUGUCACAUUCUAAGAUUGUAAAUUUGAGUUACCCAAAGGGUAAAAAAGACAGAAACUCCCGUUGAUAGUUAAAAAAACGACCAUUUUAAAAUCAAGAGACUGAUUAUCUUUUAAUUCUUAAUUUAUUUUUAGUAUUUCUUCUGUUCGUUUUUACCUGUAAUUAUUUCACUUUUCAAAGUCAAUUUGUAUAAAUUUUGAUUAAUAUUUUAAUAUGUAUUUUUUAAUUAUAUUAAUAUGAGAAAGAGUGCAACUCUUAGCAUUUUUCGUAUGGUUUUCGAUCAUAAAUUUUUAAAUUUUAAAUAAUAAAUUAUACAAUUUAAAAUUGUCAAAGUUCAUACAAGUUGCCAUCGAAAAACGAAAUAGUGACAAGUAAAAGCGAACGAAGAGUGUAUUAAUUAGAAUUAUUUUUCAGUAUACUUGUCAAAGUCUUAAAUUUAUUAUUUAAAAAAUUGAUAUAGUAAAAUUGUUAUUUUGUAAAGAGUGUGUCAAAUCAGUAUUAGAUCAGAGAGAAAUAAUUAUUUUUGAGAACUAUUUUUCCGUCUCAAAUUGCUUGGCCUUUUUGCAUUUUGCACAAAUGUUAAGGAGAAAUUAAUAAAUGGUCCAAAUUCAUUAAUAUGAUCUUAUUUAAUCUUGAUUAGAUGAAUCUUGAUUAUAUUUAAAAAAAGAUGAUUAAUUAUCUCUUGAAUUUUUUCAAAUACCAACUAUUUUAAGAUAAAUUAUUUUAACAAAUGUGUCAAAAAAUAAUUUUAAACGAAAGACGUACAAAUAAAAUUAAUAAAAUAAAUAUUUAAUGAGGACUUAAGUGUUGGAUGGUGAUGAAAUAGUCUCUUUUUUCCCUCGGAAUAAUAAUGUUUCACUUUUCUUACAGCGUAAACCUAUUGGUUGCUUGUAGAGGUACUUGACCACUUAAACAAGUAUCAUUUGUAGGGUGAAAUAGUCAGAUUUUUCUUAUAUCAGAAGUAUUUUUUAAGGUACUUACAAAGUAAAAUACGACAAAUAAUUGAAAUGAUUAAAUCAAUAGUGUAAUUCCAUUUUUAUCCCUCUCCAACAGCCUCUUCCUAUCGCAUUUAUUAUGACUUUAUUUAACUAGUAAAAUGUUUCCAUCAAUGAACCAAUUUAUGACAUCGGUUUUCCCAUUUACAUGCAAGUUCAAGUAUACGUGUUUUGUAUUUAAUGCAAUGGUGUCGAGAUCGAUCAUUUUAAUAAUCCUAGUAGGCGUCCCAUGAUACGCAAGAUAAACGUGCUUAUCUUUUCAUUAAAAAAUCAAACUCCCCCUUCAACGUUAAACAAUAAUCACUCCCCAUUUAUCUUGUCGUUUGGUGUGAGGUAUCAUUCUAAUAGUUCGGAGAUAAAGUUCAUGAUUAUUUAUUUUGCGUUUAAUUAGAUGUAUUAGGUAGUCUCAAAAUUAUUUGUCGGACCAUUUAUACCACAGUGAUGAGAUAAAUUAUCACACAUACAUGUUAGUACAACUUACUUUGUAAUAACUAAUCCCGAAAUAACUUGUUUCCAAACAACCCACCCCUAAGUGUGUAUAUAUACAUAUGUAUGUACAUGCAUGCGCAUAUAUUUUCGUGUUUUAUCACUCUCUUACUAAAUUUGUUUCGUAUUACUUAACUUUUUGUUGAUAUAACACAAUCCUUAAAAAAUUUUUACUUAGAGGUAUAUUUUGCUAAAUUAACCUUAUUAAUAAUAAUUUGAAACUUUAAAUUUGUCUAUACUCUACUUUAUAUAGUUAUUUAAUACUAACGUGUAGAAAAAAAAUAUAAUACAAUUCUCUUGAUUUCACAAAUUGAGCAGAUAAACUAAAACAUUUAUNNNNNNNNNNNNNNNNNNNNNNNNNNNNNNNNNNNNNNNNNNNNNNNNNNNNNNNNNNNNNNNNNNNNNNNNNNNNNNNNNNNNNNNNNNNNNNNNNNNNNNNNNNNNNNNNNUCAAAUUUGCUACGACACACGUCAACUUCACGGGGGUCCUAUUACUCCUUAAACUAAAUUUUAGCGUAUUUUUGUCAAUUUUUUUAGCUAAUGUGAUACCUUUUAUCAAUCGUUUUAGAUGACAUGACACCUUUGAUAUGGACUCCAUUUUAUUUAAUAAAGGUGCCACAUUAGCAUAAAAAAUGAUAAAAAUACGCUAAAUUUGAGUUCAGGAGAUAAUAGGACCUCUGUGAAGUUGGAGGGUGUCGUAACAACUUUGACCAUAGUUCGGGGUGGUACUAGAGACUUGUCUCUUUCAUUUAUUGUUUGUAUUUACUGCAUUGAAAUAUGUUUAUAAAAUUAGUAGUACUUAUUAUUUUUAUUUGUUAAAAUAAAUAUUAUAGUUUUGAUUAUUAUUAAUAAAACUAAUUUUCUUAUUAUGCUAAUUUACUUCAUAAAAAUUAUCAUUAGCUUAUAUAUUUCUUACUUUUUUUUUUCUAGAAGAUAAUGUUUAUAUUUUUAUGAAAAUUAUGUUAUAUGAAUAAUGUUUAUGUUUUUAUGAAAAAUUUGUUAUAUAAUUUUUUUUUAAAAUGAAAAUAUGAUAAUUUUAAAGAAGUUAAAAAAAAGAAUAAAAAAUUGAUGAUAAAGAGUAAAAUAGGAUUUUUAAAAAGUUAAUUAGGAUAAAGAGGGAGUAUGAUUAUUGUUCAAAAUUGAGAGGGGAGUUUAAUUUUUAAGAUAAAGUUGGGGAGGGAAAAUGAUUUUGACCCGUUAAUUUUCUUAAAUUGAGUUAGUGCAAGACUCAUUUUUUUUAAUCUUCAUAAUUAGAAUUAGACACAUCCAAUUUUAUUGUUUACUGUAUGUUAGACAGUGAAAAUAACAUAUUUUGUUUUAAGAGGCAUUUGAUCGGGAUUAAAAUCCAUUUUUUUUAAUUCACUUUUAUUUUCAUUCGAUUUGUUUCUGUAAUUUUGAGUUCUGUUGGUAGCAUUGUUCUCGGUUUGGGUUCAUUGAAUUGUUCACUAAAAACACCAGCACUAUUAUUUCUACAAGAUCAAAUACUUGGACCAAAUUUUGACUAGUAAUUUGGUAAUAUAUCUGCAUCCUCUAAUAGUAGUACUGAUCAUCCGUUUCAUAUUAGUUGACUCCCUAUAGACUUGAUAUACCUAUUAAGAAAAUAUUAAUUAGGGAUUUAUUUCGCCAAGUUAGCCUUAUUAAUUAUGCUUUAAAAAUAUAAAUUUGAGUAAAUAUACUUUGUAUAGUCAUUUAAUAUCAAGGAUAAUAUUAAAAAAACAUAAUAAAAUAUUCUUGAUUUCAUUAAAGCGAUAAUUAAAUUAAAAUAAAUAUUUUUAGAAAAAGAACGGGUGGGAGGGAGUAUAUCAUACCAUGUUUUAAAAGUUGAAGAUGAGAUAUUACCCAUUUCCAUGGUCCCACAAAGUGUAGUAAUAGGAGUUCGGACAGGUCAAAAUGUAGUCAAAACAUGUACGUGAGUAGUCAAUUUGACCCACAUGCAAUGCAUUUGUAAUAUUCACAAUUGUUUCUAGUCCUUUUCCAAUCCACGUCGGUGUUGGAUACUCAUGGACGUACCAUUUAAAUAUCUUAAGAUUCUCAGUUUUAAUUUGUAGCAAAUUUGUUUAAUGUAAUUUUCUCUCUCUCUCUCUCUUUAACAUUCUUGACAAAGAAAUUGAAGUCACUCCUCUUUUUCGUUUGAAGUAUAAACAUUUGCUAUCCUGAUAUCCACUAGAUAUUAGUAAUUUAUCAAAUUUUAGGACUCCAUAUUUAACUCAGGGAAGAUGAGUUCCAUACACUUCGCAUCAAGUACUAGUAAAGAGCAAAGCAUCAUCAAUCAAAAUAGAACUAAAAAGUUGCAAAUCUUUUUUCUAGAAACAUGUUGCAUACUACAUUAAUUAACAAACACUAACCAAAUGCCCAAAUCAAGCUAAAAAGGAAAAAGAAAAAAAAAAUUAAGACAGGGAAGGGAUGGGGGUGGGGUGAAAUUGUUGUGACUCGCAAAUUUACACAUAGAACCCGUGCAUCUUGAUCUCACUAUCGUUCCAACUCAUAAUGUCGUGCGAAAUUGAGGGUCGAAUAGGUCUUUUAACCCUAUUUCAUUUCCAGCAUGAAUAUCGGUAUCGAUGAGCUCAUAGGUGGUGAUGGCGAGUGAUGUUGGCUGGAGCCGGACUUGGAGCGCCAACCUGAGGGAUGAGUGGUGGUGGGGAUCGCGGUGGAGGUGGACAUUGGUAACACUUGGUGAAAAGACCAAAUGUGUCGAUUUGAUGAAUGAAAUUGGUCAUGCUAGCCCAACCACCAAAUCCAAACCCAACAAUCAGUACCCAAACCACCACAAAGAUGUUUAUCGUAAAUGUUCCAGCCCAACGGCCCACGAAUUUUGGGGGUUGCUCUACCGCAUUCUGCAUAGAGUGAAGCUAAAAAUCAGCACAUAUCCAUAACAUAACAAAAGUAUGAAAGACACAAACAAAUAACCUAGGAAUUAUUACUUCCAUUCUUCAAUUACCAUUUAACUAUGUUAAUAGUGUAAAUACGUAUCCAUUUAAGUAAUUUAUACCGUUAGUAUUAGAAGUACUUUUAUAAUAUCAGGUCACUCAAUGGACAUUUCGAUGUAAAUAAUACAUGUUACCUACUGCAAGAAGUAAAAAGUGACUUGAUAGUGUAGAUAUUGUUUGUGCUAAUAGUGUAUAGAACAUAUAGUGCAAUGUUACAUUGUUAGUGCAUAGAAUAUAAAUUCAAUUCAAAUUCUGAUCCUGCAUUUGAUUUGCUUUUAAGUUUUUAUUUUCCUAUCGAUAAACCGUAAACGAAUGGCCUUAAAUAACACAGUGCUCCAGCCUUUUAGUCAAAGUUGAAAGCGAGUUGGACUGAGAUGUAUCACUUGGCAUUAUAUGUUAAUAGGAAUAUAUUGUAUCUUUGAAGAAUAUAUUCCUACUAGAUAUAUAUUAGGUCCAAGAAUAAAUACGCAGUCCUUUUUCAAUUUCCUUUAAAUCCAAACACUAUGUACUACUAUGUAAGAUGCGAAUUCACUUUAUUCCUUCUUUUUAUUCUCCAUUGGUCCUUGGGAAUCAUAAUAUAAGCUUCUGAUAUUUCUUUUUCUAUUUUUGAAUUAGUAUAGGAUAUUAAAAAUUGGUGACAACUUUAAGGGACUGUUUAUGAAUUACCUCUCGAGCUGCAGCCGUUUUAAAGGUGAGCAUGUGAGCGAGAGCCGGGAUAAUGUAGACGGUGAAACUAACGAGGAGUGAACCAACGGAGGAGUUUAUAGGGCCAAAGAAUGGGAAGAUAAUGGCCAGAAACCAUAUCGGAACCACAACUGGCAACCGCACCGCCGCCCUCUUGCAUAGGCUCCUGCAUUCGUGCAAGCCUAUGGCCUUCUCCCAUACAAAAUACAAUGGUGUGCAUGCAAAACCAAAUGUUAUGAACUGCAAGAACAAGUUCAAAAACAACUCAAUGUUAGAUUCGAAUUAAGUAUCUUCAUAUAACCAUUUUAAAUGUCAUUUAGGGUGUGUAUUUGGCAUGAUGGAAAAGGUUUUCUUGCUCAUGUGCUGGGCGGAGCUAUAUCACAGGUUUAGCAGAAUCUAAUGACUUUGACUCAAACGCUUUAUUUAUGUUAAAAAUUAAUCUAUUUAGAACCGAGUAAGCAUACAAAUUCUGGUUCGGAAUCUAUAAAACUAAAAUACAUGACAAGUAGUUUUUUCCUAAUUUUUAAGCAACUUAUUUUUUUGAAGAAAAUAUUUGUCAAAACAUUUUGGUCAAACAUGAAAAGAUUAUAAAACUAUCUUUUUUCCUCCAUACCAAUCAACGACACCGUUAAUUGUAAAGGUAUAGGUGAUUGUGAUUAGUUAAAGAAAGUAAAGGGAAGUGCCUGAUGAAUGAGCAUGAGGAUGACAGCCAUGUCUCUGAAGGGUGAUUUAGGAAGAAGAGAAAAGGCAUUGGAGUGAUCAAGUAGCAAAUCUCCAAAUGCCCAAUACACUGAUGCUGCUGAUGGAAGGGUCAGUGUUAACACAUACAGUGUUGCCCAUAAGUAAAUUGCCUUAAACUUUUGUGGUUUCCACAUCGCGUGCAUUAUUUCUCUGACCAAAGAAACACAACAAUUAGUCUCUAACUCAUUGCCUACUCAUAAAUUAAGCAUAUAUUAUAAGAGUUUGAAUUUUACACGGUGAUGGGAGAAAUUUUACUCUUAUCAAGUCAUGUAACUGAUAAUGAAAAGUGAAAUUAAAAAUUUGGAAGAUAACAGAACGUAUCCGCCUAACAUGUUAAAAUACAUUGAUAGUACAAAAAUUCCUUCUUGGAAGUGUAUAUAAGUUAAAUUAGUGCAUAUUGUGGAAAAUUCUACUUCCUUUAUCUCAAUUUAUGCUCUAUAUUUUACUCCGAUCCUUGUGAGAAUUUUUAGUUACACAGGCAUCUACAAUUUACGUAAAUUAUUAGUUCUAAACAUUUUUUUUUAUUUAUUCAAAUAUAGUCAUCAAUCAAACACCGUAACAUAAAUUGAAAGAGGGGCAGUAUUUUAAACGUUUCUUUCAAAUGUACCUACAAGUUACUGACCUAUAUCCAUGGCCACAACCUAAUACUCCCUCUAAUUCUAAAUAAAGGCUCAUUUUAGGUUACACGUCCUUUAAUUAGCUACUCACUUAUAAAAAAUUAAAGGUAACCUUAUCAAUUUACUCCUAAAUAAAUUUUAUCUCUUUCUAAGUUGACAUUAAUUACUAUAUUUAAAAUCAAUGACGUAUUAGGAAGACUAUCAAAGCAUUCUCGAAGGCUUAAACAUACAGUUAUUUUUUUUCAAAAAAAAAUCACUAUACAAAAAGAGCACUCAUAAAGAAAUGGAGGGAGUACUAAUUAAAUGCCUUUUACAGUUCACAGAACCUAUAAAUCUAGUUGAGUUAGUAAUAUCAAGAUUUAUUUGCAGUCCCUUUCAUAUUCAAGGCAGGAGUAUUUAUUUCUUGCUUCUUUUCCUUGGUUAAUGGUUCCUUUCAAUUUAUGUACGGAAACAGAAAAAAGAACAUAAAAGGAAGAGAUGUUCAGAGGAUUUAACCAUUCCCCUCCAUCGAUUUAGUAGAGUAACAAAAUAAAGCAAAAGUGAUUCGAAAAAGAAAUUUUGCUUUCUAACUUAAAAAGGGUAAAAAAGGGUUCAUAAGAAGUAAUGACUUUUUUCUUCCCAUGCCUGAGAAAAGGUACGCUGCCAAAUUGAAAAAAUAAAAUAAAAUGCAUGUAAAAGGCUAAAGUAAAAGUUCACAGGUUAUAUGCACAGUUGUAUAAAGAAUAACAAUAAUAGUGUCUUGACAAGGAUUGGUCACCACGUAGUAAAUGUAAAGUUUUGAUGGAGUAUUUAAUCUCUUCGACAAAAUAAUAGUAGCCCACUAGGUCGUUUCUUCAGAAUAUGUCGAAACUAGUCUAGGUUGUGUCAUUUUCACAAAGAAUAAUAAUGUCAUAUAGAUAGGGGUGGAGCUAGUGUGGAGAGUCGAGGUCAGGCAAAAUUGAGUAGUUUCAAAACUUUAGAAAUCAUAUAUUUCAAAGUUUUAAAUCAGUGUCUGAGCGCUAAUUACUCCAAUAUUAUAUUUUUAACCUUACUUAUAAUAGGAAAAGGAAAUAAUUUGCACUAAAUUAAGAUUAUGAUCUGUCUUACACAGUAACGGCAUGUCCCCCAAAUGUGUAGAGAAUAUUUGUUGCUCCGGUGAAGUAUAGAACCAUUUUUGUUGGACCUGAAUGUUUCACCCCCUCCACCUGUUUAUUUUUACCCAAAAAAAAGAAAAAUAAAUAAAUUUACAAAUUACUAAUUAAUUAAUCAUGAAUCUCCACAUUUGUAUAGAUGUGAUUAAAAGUUUGCUUGAUAGUUUCACUUAGCUAGUUAGGGUAUAUUGUUGCUUGAACUCUUAAAAAAACAUCAACGAAUGUGUCAUGUGUAUAGUAUCUUCUAAAGUAGUGCAUAUUUGAAGGAAACACACGGGCGUAAUAAACGUACUUUUAGAAAAUCAGAGCAAUAUAAGCUAGGACAGUGGACUAGAUGUUCGUGAUUUGAAUUCAUGUCACAACUUAAUUAUAUUCAAAUUCUAAAGAUGUGAUAUAUUCUUAAUUUAGUUACAGAGUGACUUUGUUUAUUGUUAGACUACAUAAAUUUCGGUUACUUUAAUACGACAUGAAAAAAAAUCAUAAAUUUAUAUAAUAGCAUCCGAUAAAAUUCAAUAAUCAUACGUGAAAUUAAACGGGGAUGUACCUGGCCAUGGAGGAGUGAUGCGACAGUAAGAUACCAAGCAGUGUAAGUGGUCAUUAAUAGGCCAAGGAAAGACCAGAUUCGAUAGUUGUGAAAAGAUGGAAUGAAUACAGUAGUUGCACAACAAGCUCCAAAUAUAUAAGUCCAAGUUCUUUUGUCCAAAUUAUCAUUUAUGUAAUAUAUAUUGCUGCAAAUUUCAAUAAAAUACAAUACAGUAACUUAAUAUCAGCAUCAAUAAAAAAAAAAAAAAACAGAAUAUGCAGGGGAGGAGCAGGUAGAAAGUUAAACAAACAAACCUUGCACAGGCAAUAAGUUGAAUAACAGAUCCAAACAAAAGGAAAGUGCAAUUAAAUGCCAAGCCAACGUUCCUCCAAUGUUUUCCUAGCAACCCAUCAAGAACUUCAAACCACUGUACAUAAAAAAAAAAACACACAUUAAAAAAAUUAGACAUUAAAUUAAAAUACUAUAGAAAAGUACUCAGAAUGCCAUGUGAAAAAAUGGAUUUAUAUAGCUGUCCUUCCCCUUGUUCACAGACAAAAUAUCUAGUACUAUUAACUUAUAUCUUGUCGGAGUGUCUCAAGUUAAAUAGUAAAAGAAAAACAUCCCUUCGAAACCAGAAAAGUUUUUUUUUCCAGAGAAAUCUAAAUAUAUAAGUUUGAAUUAUGAAAAAUUCUGGAUACGCUACUGAUUGAUUGAUGAGAUUACCUGAAUGACGUGAUUGCGGAAAUCGACUUUUUCUCUUUCCUUUCUAGUUCUAUACUCAAUGUAGAGAAUACUAAUGAGAUAAGCAGUCCAACUGCCUAAUAAACCGUAGAAGAGUUGAAAUGUAAUGCCAGAGAGCAUUCCUAGUUGAGAAAAUGAGUAUGGUAGUGUCAAUAGCACUUGAGCUACCUGAAAUUAAGAAAAAAAAAAAAAACAUUUGUAAAAGAAAAGGAUAAAAAUACACUUGAACUUGUCUAGAAUUUCGAGCUGCACACUUAUACUUUGCGGGGAUUCGAAAUAAUACCUGAUUAGAAGCACAGCUAAACCAAGCAUCAUAAGCAGAGCCACCAUGCCAGAAUAAAUUGGAGAUUUUGGAUUUGAUGUCAGUGUUAUUAGGCUUCCCUUCACUCUCCAUCUCAACAUAAUUCCCUACUAUCACUGUUUCCACCACUUUGUCUGAAGACUCCAUUUUCUUCUUCUUCUUCGAACUAAAAUGUUUAGCAAUAUAUAUGUGGUAUAGGCAGCGUUCACUAAUGAAAUGGACUUAAAAACUUAGCUGGCUGUCUAGUAGUAAACAUACUGGUCUAUGCUAUAUUUAUAUUGUGAGAAAUGAAUGUUAAAACAACUUUGUUUGGUGGGCCUCAUGUCUCUUCCACCCCCAACCCCCUCUCUUCCCCACCCUCCUCCUCCUUUUAGCUUUUGUUUUUUCACUAAAAAAAAAUAAUUAAGAAAAGGUCCAAUAAAAUAAGGAAUUGGUGUUCUUGAGGGGUGAGAAAUCGUGACCAAGGUUAAACGAUUAGAAUGAGCCCACUAGUUGUCACUUAAACUACAAACACGUAGAUUGUUGAGGACUGGUUAGUACUGAAAAUGGUUACAUCUCGUUUGCAAUGGUUGUAACGUAUCGGAUUAUAUUAUUAAUUAUAUUAUAUUAUUUUGAUAGAAAAAUGUAUGGACAAAUCAAAUCAUUUUUCAAUAUUAUAUUGUGCCACACAAUAAUAAUCUGGAAAAAUUAGAUGAGUAUUUGUUAGGAAAUGUGAAGUUUUGAUGAUAGGCAUGUGAAUGAAACAUGUUGUAAAAGCUGGUUCAUUCAAGUGAACAAAGCUUAGCUGCAGACAAGUUAUUGAUAAGAUAACUCUGCGUACAAACAAGAGUGGAUAACACUCGUUACAUCAGGAGUUGAGUUGAACAAGAAGUCUUGCAGUAGUUGAGUUGAACAAGAAAUUUUACAGAAGUUGAAGUGAACAAGAGGUCUUGCAGAGAUAAAAGAAGAGGUCCUAUUCAAAGAAGAAGUGUGAGAGGCGACAACAAUAAUAAGAGUGAAACUACCUGGAGUCCUAAGGAAUAUAGAAGAUUACAUCAACUGAAGGACUCCAUGAGAAGUUGGCUUAAAUACAAGAAACGAAAUCAAAAGCUUUUACUCAUGCAGUGAUAAGAUAAUCAACAAUCAGCAAAACAGUUUACUUACUUGAAGAAGAACCUGGUUCUUUACUUAGCAAGUCUUAGACUGUUUGCAGUAGGAAGGUUCUUUGAGUUGUAUUGAGUCAUUGUAUUAGUCUCAGUGAUCUAUAAACUGGGUUAGGAGUUGUGUCUUCAAGUUAGGGAACUCGAAAACUUGAGAACAGUUAUCUUGGGAAUAUUUGUGUUUUUGUAGUUAUAGGAGUUAGAAGUUUUAAUUCCUAGUUUACAAGAAGUUUUGUAAUUUUGUUGAUUGUUGAGGCUCAAGAGUUAUAGUGAAGUUGGGGUUAAAUCCUGUAGAGGUACAGGUCGUAGUUUUUUAUACCCUUCUUGAGCCGGGUGUUUUUCACGUAAAAACACUGUGUUCAGUUUUUACUUCUGUGAACCACGUUUACUUACUUGUUCCACAGAUAGACAAUCAAUAGAGUUUAAUAUUAAACGUAGUAGGGCUCAUACUCUAACAAGUGGUAUUAGAGUAGGGUUGUCUUAAAUAAGUCUAGUACCUAAGAAAAAAUCAUCAUGAUGAAUUCCGCACCUUCUACUAGUCACAGUGAAGGUCAGUCAACUACUAGGCCUCCACUUUUUAACGGCUCUCACUUUAUCAGGUGGAAAACAAGGAUGGAGAUGUUCAUCCAAGGUGAAGACUAUGAAUUAUGGGUUAGGAUUACUGAUGGUCCCACUAUUCUAAUGAAGUUGGUUGAUGGCGAACAAGACAAGAAAGUAAGGAGUGAAUUUACUCCUGAUGACUUGUUGGCAAUUUACUCCUGAUGACUUGUUGGCUUUGAAGAAAAAUGCAAAGGCUAAGAACAUCUUGGUUUGUGGAUUAGGACCAGCUGAAUACAACAAGUUAUCAACCUGCACUACUGCUAAGCAAAUUUGGGAUGCACUGGUGAAUGCUCAUGAAGGUACCUCUCAAGUAAGAAAAUUCAGGAUCUCUCUCCUUUUCACUGAGUAUGAGGCAUUCAAAAUGAAGGAAAAUGAAACCCUGCAUGAGAUGAUGACAAGGCUUACUACCUUAACAAAUGAGCUGACUUUCUUAGGAAAAGUCAUCUCUGAGGAGGAACGAGUUGAAAAGCUAUUGAGGGUAUUACCUAAAUCAAAAUAGAAUGUUCAGGUAACUGCAGUCAGGGAGGCAAAUAAGGAUCUUGCAGGUAUGACCCUAGAUGAACUAGUAGGGAACUUAAGGACUUAUGAAAUGAAAGUAGAUGGUAUCAAAGAACAAGCAUCUCCUGAGAAAAUCUUGGCAUUAAAGCCUCUGAUAGUGAUGAGGAAUUUGAACUUGAUAAAGAGCAAGUUGCCUUCAUAACUAAAAAUUUCAGCAAAUUCUUUAAGAAGAAGAAGGGAACAAGGACUAAGAAAUGUUCCAAUGACAAUCCAAAUAUGUCACGCCCCAAAAUUCCAUCGGGCCGGACUGACACCCAAAGCCGAGAAGGCCCGGGAGAACCCGUUCAAAUACCUGUACUUUCACUUACAUGUCACAAAAAAUUGGACAGCACUUCGUUGCAUAUAGAAGGAUCUAAUUACCUGUAUCAGCACAACACGCACAAAUAUAUAUAUAUAAUACUUGGCCGUCGGGGCCACCACAUAUACAAAUAUAACGUUACUAUAUAAACUUCCAUGACUUUACCCUUCCUUAUGUCUACAAAGCCUCUAGGAUAUACAUGACAUAACUAGGGUCGGGACAAACCCCCGCCCACACGUGACUCAUGUACAAUAACAAAACAUAAGGAACCGACUCGGAAAGCUCCGAAGCAAACUGGAGCUCACCAACAAUAGCUGUAUGACCUGGCUCCUACUUGUGCGGUGUAUGAGCUGAGGUACCUGUGCCUGCAGCAUGAAAUGCAGGUCCCCCGUGAGGGACGUCAGUACGAAAUAUGUACUGAGUAUGUAAAGCUGUAAAUAAUCACAUAUGAUAUAGGAGCUCAAUAGAAAUCAGAAACAAGUGAAUAAGUCGUAAUAGGAGUGGACCACACUUACUAGAACUUGUGACAACCUGUACAUUGUAUUUAUUCAAUCACUUUACCUUCGUUCUUAUCGUCUUUGUAAUCAUUACUGUACUGUACUGUGACCAUUAGGCUGCCUCCAGUACAUAUCAACUGGGAUCGACCCAUGCUAGGCUUAUGCCCCUGGGAUACCACCCAUAAACACAUAAAUAGGGAUCGACCCAUGCUAGGCUUAUGCCCCUGGGAUACCACCCGAUAAGAGAGAACUUCCAUCACUUAGUUCAAUUAAUCUUUGAGAUUGUUAUUUCGGUCGCCACCACAUUUUUGAUACUUUGAAACAAUGAUACAUCAAUAGGAACCAAGUAAUAGACCUUCUAUACAAUAACGAUGUAAUAAAGACUCAUUGGUACAUCAACAAUGUGUUUCAGAAUCAUCAAUAUCACAACAAUGAAAUAAGAGCCUUUUGGUAUAUCAAUGAACAUUUUGACACUUUAUAGGAUGGAAACAACUUCGUUGGUAACGUAGAACAAUACAUGUUUUUGGACAACCUCGGAAUCUUACUUGAUGGAACAUUGGUGUUUUCAUGCCAAAGAACAUUGUUAGAGUAUGCUUUACAUACCUCGUUGUAGAUUCGGAUACCAAUUCAACACAACUUCCCGCCUUUACAAAUCACUUAUCUACAAUGAAAUGUUUGGCAUCUAGUAUUAGCAACCCAACACCACAAUUCUCUUCCAUAAUUCCAUACUACCAAUAUUUGCAAAACAUUCCAAAAACCAACUUGAACAAUAGGUUUAUGUGUGUAUAUAUAUAUAAUCAUCAUUUCAAUACCACAUCAUCAAUACUACAUCAUCACCCCAAAUUCCUUCACAAUUUAACAUAAUCCAACCAUGCACAAGAAUAAUCCAACAUCAUUUCCAAUCAUCUUUCAACAACAAUCAAAUAACAUACUUCUUAUGCUCACAUGCAUAUAUAUAUAUAUACAUAUCCAUAUAAAUAACACCAACAUAAUUUACAUCCUUACCAUAAAAUGGCCCUUUUGAUUUCGAAGUCCUGUUGGCACAAAUAAGGGGUGCUUCUCGAAGCCCUUGAGAUGGUGAACACAACUACGGAAUCAAUUUGGAUUUUCUACGGUUGAAUCACAAGAUAUUUGGAGUUGAAAUUAGGCUAGGGUUUCUUAUUUUCAAUAAUUUGAUGAUAAUUGAUGGAUAUGAGACUAAUUAUAUGUAUAUAAUGACCAAUUUUCGUCCAUGAGGUGAUGGAAAAUGACCAUAUUGCCCUUAAAAAUUUAAGUAAAUCCGAAUCUGUCCAUGGUGGACUGUUUUGGUAGGCUAAAGUAAAUCGGCCAUAACUCUUUGCUCCGAUAUCGGAUUUGGGUGAAAUUGGUAUAGUUAGAAAUAUAAUUCAAAGGGAUUUCAUUUCAUAUAAAGUAGGACACCCAGUUCGUCCUGUACAAGGAUUUAUGAUCGUUUGAAGUUGACCCUACAAAACUAUUUUGAGAGGCUGAAGUAAAACGAGUAUAACUCCUUACUCAGAUGUUGGAUUUGGAUGAAACCAAUUUCAUUGGAAAGAAGACUCAAAGAUAUUUCUUUUGAUAUGUAUUAUCUCUCCCAUUUCAUUAUAUUGAGUGAGUUAUGAUCGAUCAAAGUUGACCCAAAAAACUGGCAGGCCUCAGUAGUUUGUGUGCAGGAAAUUUUCCUGCACAUUUACUGUUCACAACAUCCCAGCCACCGUUUUAUAGUUUCGAACGUGCUCGAUUAUAUCCGAAACUUAUCCUUUUUUGGAAAUCUUUAUAUCGUUGGAAAGCUUAUUCAAUAACCUUCAUAUGGAACCAUCGACGGGCAAAUUACGGUAUAAAUAAAGUCGAUUCCUAUACACAUAUAAUCAAACUAUACACUUGAAACCAUCUCAAAAUAAUCAAUACUCAUACUUAAACUCAUAUAUACCUAACUUAGGAUCAAUACAUAUACUCCAACACAUAUAACAAUGGCUAAUGCACGUAAUUAAGUACGGGGUCUUACAAAAUAGCUACUACCAGUUUGACAAAACUGAUCAUCAAAUCAGAGACUGUUCAGUUUGGGAAAUAGAAUGGAAGAAGGGAAGAGUUGAAAAAGAACUGAAGGCAAAAAGAAAGGAGUAACAUGCAAUGAUAGCAGCCUGGGGAUCUGAUUCAGAUGAAGAUGAAGUUGAUGAAACUGCAUUCAUGGCUCUUGGAGAUUCAGACUUAGAUGAAGAAGAUGAUGGUUCUGAGGUAAGUAUACUUGAACUCAAAGAAAAACUACAAUUAUUUUCAAAACCAAAACUUGUUUCCUUGAUGAAUACAUUGACUAAUGAUUUCCAAAAGUUAACCUCUGAUAGGGAUGAAUUGUUCAAUAGUCUUGCAAGCCUCAAAUUUGAUCUAAUUGAUUUAAAAGCUUGCACAGGUACAGUUGACAAGGAAAAUUGCACUCAUAAGAAGCAGUUUGCAGCACUUGAGAUUUCAAACAAUGAUCUUAAGUCUGAAAUUGUCAAAUUAACUCUCACUAAAAAUGGAAAAAAGGUCAUGAGUAAAGAACAGGAAAAUGCUGAACUUGAGCUAGUUAAAUAUAAACAAGAAUGCCAUGAUUUAACUGAAAAAAUGAAUAAGCUGAGUCAAGAAGUUUCUAAACUAAAACUUGAUCUUGAAAGCGCAAAUAGAUGGACAAACUCCUCAAGAAUUGUUCACAAAUUAAGUGAAAGAAAUUAUAAUGAAAAGGCAGGUUUGGGAUUCCACAAAGGUGUUGAUGAUCCAAAAUAUUUAUGCUACAUCUGUGGUAACCUUGGACAUCCCACUACUGAAUAUUUUGUGGUUCCUAGAAGCAUAUCAAACAGUCAAAACCUGGCUAACAAGUUUUCUCAGACCAAAAAGAAAAAGACUAGUGCUGGUCAGAGAAACAUGUUGCACUACAUAUUGCCUGCAUGGACUAGAAGAAACU